UCUAUCUCUCUCUCUCUCUCUUUCGUGUUGCUAAUGGGAGUUGGUUUUGUGUAUGAUGUAAAAAACAGCCUAUUGGGGAAGAAAGCAGCAGCUGUUGAACUAAUAAAAGCAAGGCUGUCUGAAAAGCCUAAUGACCCUACAUUAUGGUUUGUUGAUGAGCCUUUUCUAUGAUCCAUUUUAUAGUUACUUCUCAUUUCAGUUAAAUCCAUUGUUGAUGUCACUUAUUGCAAUCUAGGGAUGAUUGUUCAUUGGAUGUGAGGAUAUUGUCAGAAGAAAAUGAAACCUUUUAAUUUUAUCUUUUACUUGCUGUAGCCGACUUAAAAGGUCACUGUGCGUUCUUACUGAUUGCUUUUGGUCUUGCAUUUGAGUCAGUGGAUUUUAUACUCAUAUUCUGACAUGUAUUGUUAGCCUUCUGACGGUUCUGCACCUUGGUCCUAUAUUAUCUUCAGCAGUAUUAUCUAAAAGAUCAUUUUUUGCCGAAGAAUAUUUGCAUUCUAAACUAGAAAAGGAGGGGCCGCCCGGGCCCGGGGGGGGGGGGGGGGGUGUGUGUGUGUGAAGGAAGCAUCAGGAGGUUGUUUUCCACUUAUCCUCUUCCCUGCCUGCAUUUUAGAUGAUUCUGAUGCACCAGGUGCCGUGAAAUGGUUGAGAAAUACAUACCAUCAAGUGAAUUCUGAAAAUCAUAUCCUUUUUGAGAAUAUUUGGUGCUAGACAUUUGAAUAUGUGGCCACAAUUUAAACAAUAAAGAUUUUCUGCACUGAUUUCUUAUAAUGGAUAUAUGCAUGUAAUUAUAAUAUGAUAUCUUUUGAUUAUUGACCCAUUUGUUUAGAAAGAAGGGGAAAAAAAAAACAUGGUUGAAAGACAACUGUUACUUGACCUUAUCUUGGUCUGUUCACUGCCGUUUGUUUCCUAUAACUUCUGGUGAUAAUGUAGCCAGAAUGAUGAGUUGAAUUGUGGUUUACUGACUUGUGAUACAUUUUGUAGGUGUUCAUUUUUGUUUUCUAAAUUUGUUAUCUAAAGGAAUGACAAGUUGACAACUCAGCCUCUCUCUCUCUCUCUCUCUCUCUCUCUCUCUGUGUGUCUGUGUCAGGGAUCUGAUUUGUGGAAAGAAAGAGAUCGGUUUGAAAGGUUUUCAUAUGCAUCCUUGGAACUUUGUAAGGUUUACAUGGAAAUUUCUUCCUCUUCUGGUAGCCGUCAAGAACUCUUUGCUGCUGAGAUGCACCUGAAGAACGUACUUAAACAAGUAAAAUACCUUAUAAUUCGAUAUUUAAGACACUUACAGAUGGUAUUACAUUGACAGCAGUAAAACAAAGAAGCAACUGAAAGUUAUCUUCAUAUGAGAAUGAAAGCUUUUCAGCAGCAUAAGCCUUUCACUAUUCAAUUCCAAACACGUUCCUCAACAUGAUAACAAAUUCGUAGACCUUUUCUGGGUCUGGAAGGAUCCUGUAACAGUUUCUCUUUGCAUGCACUUGUUCAUCCAUGCUGAGAAUUUGGGGCACUCAUUCUCAACCUUAAAUCCCCCAAAUUCCUCAACCGCGUAAAACCAUCAAGUCAGUGGAAUGGCAAUCACAUCAACGAAUCCAAAGCUGUCCCCGCCAAAGAAAUCCUUCUCCCCUAAAGCUCCCUCAAGUUGCUUCAAAAUCUCUAUAAAUUCAUUCUUCGCCGGGGACCUCGCCCUUCGUUUUGCAUAUGUUGCAGACUGGAUCGAAUACCUGCCAAAAAAGUGGUGUCAUCUUUUAAGUUCGCAUUUAGAAAGAUACAAACAUUUACACUUGAGAAUUAUAGACUGACCUUCUUGUCAAUAAAAUCUGCCCAGAACCUUGCCUUAGCUCUCUCAGAAGCACAGGAUGGGAGAAGUGAUGGCGAAGGCCAAGUCUCGUCAAUUUAGUUGACUAUAAUAGUGGAUUAACACAAUGGUUCCCCAUCGUGCAGCAAAACUGGGACUUUCUUGUAGAUGGGGUUUGAUUUGAGCAACAGGUCACUCUUGCCCCCGAACAAGUUCUCAGCUCUGGCUUCAUAUCCAACUCCUUUCUCAGCCAAUGCAAUCUUUGCUCUCAAGCAAAAUGGGCUAACCCAACAGUCCAAAAGAACAACCUCUCCCUUUGACAUAUUCAACUAUCAAGGUUGGUAUUUAUAUAGGAGAAAAGAUGAAAUUCCCAAAGAUUGUGUCGCAAUCAAGGUUUGUUCGUUGGCACUUCGAUAAAGGAUGUGGCCUUGUUCUUAUCAUUUCUUAGUUUUUGAAGCUAAAUGUUUUACUUGGCUUUCAACAGGCACAAGAACAAGUUUGUCUUGUGUAAAUAAAAUAAAACCAUAAAAUUCCAUUAUUAGUGUAAAACCAAAAUAAUUAAAAUAAUAAAAGUGAGUUAGUCGUGCGUGUGGACCUCCUCUUUAUGAGUUUGUUAUCACACCAUAUUUGGUUUCUAUAAAUAAAAUAACUAAAACUCUCUUAUCUAAGUAAGAAUAUUGUUAUUUUGAAAUACCAACUCAAUCUCUAACAAAUCUUGAGAUAUAACUUAAGAUUCUUGAGCUUCCAAUAUAAAACAAGUAAGAUUAACAUAACUUUUUCACUUCCUUCCAUCAAAGAAGGGAAUAAGUUAUAUAAUUUAAUUUAUGUUUAAUUAAAUUAUUUUAAAUGGGUAAUAAUUAUAAAUUUUUCCACUUUAUUUAAUUAACUAGAUAAGACCAUAUUGUAAAUUCUUACAUUUAUCACUUUAAUCUCUUUCCUUUUUCAUUCCAACUCCGGUACAAACUAUUCCUUUUCAAAAAGUUGUACUCAAAUUGAUAAGUCUUGGAAGACCAAAACACUAUUUAAAAUUUAUUAUUUGCUUUAGUAGCUUUCAUGGGUGCAAGGUAAGGAACAAAACUCGGUGGAUUUUAUGACAAAAGCUUUAUCUUAUGUAGCACUUUUUUCGAUAUCUCGAACUUUACUCUUUAAGAAUGUUGUAUAAUAUUUCUACAAUAACAACAAACAAAUUAUAACCCUGAAAGAUCUAUAUACACCUCGAUCUCUAGCUAGUUCUCUACAAAAUAUGGCACUAAGUAACAAUGUAAUCGGAGCCAUCAACUUUGUUGCCGUACUUCUUUCAAUCCCAGUCAUCGGUGCCGGAAUCUGGCUUGCCACCGAGGCAGACAAUUCUUGUGUCAAGCUUCUACAAUGGCCAGUCAUUAUUUUGGGAAUCUUGAUUCUAGUCGUGGCUCUAGCAGGCUUUAUUGGAGGAUUUUGGCGCAUCCCUUGGCUCCUUAUACUUUAUCUCGUUGCCAUGCUCAUUCUUAUAAUAUUGCUGGCUUGUCUAGUUGUUUUCAUUUACAUGGUCACGAUUAAGGGCUCAGGUCACCUUGCACCCAGUAGAGCGUACUUGGAAUACCGCCUCGAUGAUUUUUCUGGAUGGCUACGUAGAAGAGUUCGAAGCCCUUACAAAUGGGAUCGGAUCAAAAGCUGUCUCAGCUCGACACAGAUGUGCCCUGAGUUGAACCAUGUAAAAAUGAGUUGCAAAUACUGUUUGGUUACUGAGAAACAGAGAGAAAAUUGAUGAAUAUUCCAGAUCUUAUUAUUUCAUUAAUUACAAAUGAGUAAAUCACAAGUCUUUAUACUUGCAUUUCAUUAGUAAAAGCUAUUAACGAAACUGAUCUGUAUUAACUAACUAAUACUAACUAACUAAUCACGCGAACUCUCAUUGCUGCAUAACAGAAUCAGCUGACUCAGCAUUGUUGACGUGGCAUUGCUGACGCACCUUAGCUUCUGACUUCUUCUCUCUUCUUAGCUCAGCACAAUGAGCUUUCUUCACAGCCCCUCUCAAACUCAAGGGGCAUAAAUGCACAUUGAGUUUGUUCCUCAGAUAAAUGAACUGAGAAGAGUUUAAGGGCUUAGUCAUUAUGUCUGCUAUCUGUUCUGUACUAGGAACAUAUAGAAUCUUAAGAUCUCCAGUUAGAACCUUAUCUCUGAUAAAAUGCAGAUCGAUUUCUAUGUGUUUUGUUCUUGAGUGAAACACUGGAUUAUGAGCAAGAUCUUUGGCACUUACAUUGUCACACCAUAUAACUGGUUUCUCCACACGACAUAGAUUAAUCUCAAGAAACAAAGAUUUUAUCCAUGUUAUCUCUGAAACAGCUGCUGCAAGUGCUCUGUAUUCACUUUCUGCAGAAGAUUUUGUAACUACAGAUUGCUUCUUUGAGGACCAUGAGAUUAAGUUGUUUCCUAGGUACACACAAUAUGCACCAGUGGAUCUUCUGUCAUCAAGAUCACUUCCCCAGUCUGCAUCUGUAAAUGCUGUAACCUUCAGCUCACCUUUCUUAACAAAUUUCAGCCCAUAGUCUUGUGUUUCCUUCAGAUAUCUAAGCACACGUUUGCAUGCCAUAAGAUGUUGAAGUGUUGGUGAAGAUACAUACUGACUUAGCUUAUGAACUGAAUAGGCAAUUUCAGGUCUUGUCAAAACUAAAUACUGAAGACCUCCUACAAUGCUUCUGUAAUGAGAUGGAUCUUCUAUGUAAUAACCCAUUUCCCCUUCUAUAUUCUUCUGCAAUCUGUAAUCUUUGCUGCUGCUCAUUGGUGUAUCUAUUCCUUUACACUCGAGCAUAUCAGCUUUAGCCAGCAAGUCUCUGAUAUACUUCCUUUGUGAUAGAUACAUACGGCCAAGAUCAUACAAAACUUCAAUUCCAAGAAAAUAAGAUAACUUUCCCAGAUCCUUUAAUGCAAAUGCAGAACUGAAUAGCUUGAUAAAAUCUUCCAGCUCAUCACAAUUUGAUCCUGUAAUCAAUAUGUCAUCCACAUAUAUCAGGAUUAAAAUAAUUGAUCUUUUAUUCUUUUUCAAGAACAAAGAUGAGUCAGACUUAGAAUUCUCAAAUCCCCAUUGCACAAGACUGUUUCUCAGCUUGUCAAAACAUGCUCGUGGAGCUUGUUUCAAACCAUAAAGUGCCUUGUGAAGCUUGCACACAAAAUCAGGUCUUUUGGAAUCAAUAAACCCUUCUGGUUGACUCAUAUACACCUCCUCAAUUAAAUCUCCAUUUAAGAAUGCAUUAUUCACAUCAACCUGUCUUAUUUGCCACUGAUUCAUUACUGCUAGACUCAGGACUAUUCUAACUGUUGCUGCUUUCACCACUGGACUGAAAGUCUCAAAGUAGUUCACUCCUUCUAUUUGCUGAAAUCCUUUAGCAACCAACCUUGCCUUAUAUUUUGCAACACUUCCAUCAGUAUUUGAUUUCACUCGAAAUACCCAUUUGUUGCCAACAAGUUUGUGAUGUUCUGUUCUUGGCACAAGUGUCCAGGUACCAUUUGACAUUAGUGCAUCAUAUUCAGCUUUCAUUACUUGAAACCAUCUCUCAUCAUUGAUAGCCUCCUGAACUGUAUCUGGUUCUUUAUGCAACAAUACUGCAGUAUAUACCUUUGGCUUAAAGAUACCUGCUUUCCCUCUAGUGAUCAUGGGGUGUUGGUUUAGUGAUGGUGAGGUUGUCAUUGUUUGAUUGAGAUGAGGGAUAUUGUUAUUGUGUUGGUUUUGUGAAUUUUCAUUUGAGGGCUGUUCUAAUGUUGUGUCAGGUAUAGAAGGUAACAUUAUAGGUGCAGAUGGAUUAUUUCUGUCUGUGUUUGAGGGUUGUUGAUCUGUUACCUGUGUUGAGACUACUGUUGAAGGAAAAAUGUUGCCACUGGAGUAUGCUUGAGAGAAAGAUUCAUUGCUGGUGACUGAAAAAUCUGUUAUGACAGGUAAUGUUGAUAACUGGAAAACUUGUAUAGGAGUAAUUGUGCAAUAUGUAUCAGACUUAGAUUUAUUUGAAUUAUGAAAGCUAGGAUCAGCUGCAAAUGGAUAAGAGUGUUCAUCAAAGACAACAUGCCUAGCUAUAUAUAUAUGUCCAGAGGGGUGAUAACACUUGUAGCCUUUAUGAGAUGGACUAUAACCAAGAAAAAUGCAUUUGGUUGUGUGAUAGUCAAACUUGUGCUUAUUGUAAUCUCUCAGAUAUGGAUAACAAGCACAUCCAAAGCAUUUCAGCAUUUUAUAAUCAGCCUUGUGUUUAUAAAGCUUUUCAUAUGGAGUAGACAUCUUAAGUGCAGAAGUAGGGAGUCUAUUAAUGUGAUAGACUGAGGCAUGAAAAGCAUCCCACCAGAAUUGAAAAGGGAGUUUGGCUUGAGCUAGAAGUGUCAGUCCUAAUUCUACAAUUUGUCUGUGUUUUCUUUCAACAAGUCCAUUCUGAUGAUGAGUGUAAGGGCAAGAGUGUCUAAAGAGAAUGCCACAUUCAUUUAGAAAGGCAGUAAAUGGUCUGUAUUCUCCCCCCCAGUCAGAUUGUAGAAUUUUGAUAGAAGUUUGAAAUUGUUUUUCAACUUGAAGUUUGAACAGCUUGAACACUUCUAGAGCUUCUGAUUUAAGUUUCAAAGGAUAAAUCCAGGUGUAUCUGGUAUGAUCAUCCACAAAGCUAAUGUAAUAUCUAAAGCCAUCUCUAGAAUAUGCUGGUGAGGGACCCCAUAGAUCAGUGUGAACAAGUUCUAGAGCUGAUGUGGAUUUGAUAUCAGUGAUUGGAAAAUGAAGUUUAUGAAAUUUUCCUAGUUGACAUGCUUCACAGAAAUGCUUUGUAGCUUGAUUAACAAUAUUUGUAGAGCACAAAUUGGGAUGCACAAGCUUAAGCAAAUGAAUUAGACUUUGAGUAUUAGGAUGACCAAAUCGUUUGUGGAGUAAAGACAUUUUAUUGAAUGAAUUAGUGCUACAAGUAUUCUUAUUUGACUGAAAACAUUUUCCAGAACAAGAACUAUUAACUGAAGUGCUGAAAUAACACUGAGAUAGCAUGGACACAGGCUUAUUUAUUGAGCUCUGAGAUAGAAAAGAGGUAAAUGUAGAUUGUGAUGAUGAACUCAGCUGCAAUUUGUAUAAACCUUUCUCAGCAAUACCCAGUAGCAGAAUUUUCCCUUUCAGUAUAUCCUUCACAAAGCAAACAGAACCAAGGAAUUCAACAGAUAAGUCAUUAUCAGUGGUCAGUCUAGAAACACUUAUUAAAUUCUUUGUAAUAGAUGGAACAAGCAGUAUAUCUUUAAGUGCAAUGCAUGUACUUGCAUAUUGUAUUUUAGAGCUUUGAAUUGUAAGAUUGGCAUUACCAACAUGUGUGAUUGACAAACCUUUACCAUCACCAAUGAUAAGCUUGUCAUUACCUCUAAACUCAUUGCUGACAUGCAUAUUUGCCAUACUAUUUGUUAGAUGAUGUGUAGCUCCACUGUCAAGGUACCAUCCUUCAUCUGUUGGUCCUUCAAAGUUAGCAGCAUAAGCAGCUCCAGCUCCACUCACAGGUGAGCUCAUUGAGUCAGAUAUGUAUGAAGAAUAUGGUGUAUUAUACACGUGAGGUAUCCCUGAAUAAUCAGCUGCAGCAGGCCAUGAAUCUUCAGUAGGUGCAUUAAAAUAUGUCAUAUAGGCUGAUCUCUGAUUUCUUCCUCUUUUCAUGUGUUGAGGUAUAUAAUUUUCUUCAAACCUAUGCCAACAUUCUACUGCUGUGUGUCCAGAUUUAAAACAGAUCUGACAAACAACAGUCUGUUCCUCAUUACCAUCAGAAUUCGACAAACCAGAAUUAACACUAUAUUGUCCUCUCAUGAAUUGUGCCUGCUUAUUAUUGUUUCCAAUCAUUUGACCUCUGCCAAGAUUAUUACCAAGAUUUCCAGAUCCAGAGGGAAAGCCUCUUGGAUGAGAAUUGAUAAACAUUCCUCUUCCAGUAUGAAAAUUGUUUCUUCCAAAUUGAUUUCCACCAUGAAAUCCUCCAUUAUAUCCACCUCUUCGAGCACUACCUCUUGUUUGAGCAUAAUAAGCAUUCAUCAUACCAUAGCCAUUAUUAUUAUGAGAAACAUUAGCAAGAUUUGCAUUGAACAUCUGUUUUUCAUUUAGACUCUGUUCUAAUCUUGUUUCAUGCGUGAGCAGCAAUGCAUAGGAAUCAUCAAAAUCUAGCUUACUAGCAGUAAUGAAAGUUGCUAAAUCUAGAUAGCCUGGUCCAAGACCAUUAAGGAUCUGUUGUAACAGAUCUUUGUCAGAAACUGGACUACCAGCACAGGCUAAUUUAUCUGCUAUUUGUUUCAUUUUCAAACAAUAAUCUUCUACAUUUAGUGAAUCUUUUCUCAAAACACUCAUCUCAUAUUUGAGUUGAAGAACUCUAGCUUCAGAUUUUGCACCAAACUUUUUCUCCAAUGUUUUCCACACAUCAUAUGCAGUAUUACAAGAAUGAACAUGACUGAGAAUACCUUCAGUGAUUGAGCUUAAUAGCCAGCUUAGUAAUGUCUGAUCCUGUGACCUCCAGAUUAUAUAUUCUGGAUUUUCAACUUGUUGUGUAACUCUUCCCAUUGUUUCAGCAUAGCUUCCUGAAGUAAGAAAUUGAGUAGGUGCUGCCUUUUCUCCAUUGAUGUAGCCUUCAAGUCUGUUUCCUCUUAUAGAAGCUAAUACUUGAUUUCGCCAGAGCAUAUAAUUGGAUCUAUCCAAUUUGAUUGGCGUAAUGAAUGAGAAGGUAGUUUGUAUUGAUUGAUUCAUGUUUGUUGUGUUUGGAUUUGUGUUUAAAUUGCUUGAGCUUACCAUAUUUCUGGCUCUGAUACCAUGUAAAAAUGAGUUGCAAAUACUGUUUGGUUACUGAGAAACAGAGAGAAAAUUGAUAAAUAUUCUAGAUCUUAUUAUUUCAUUAAUUACAAAUGAGUAAAUCACAAGUCUUUAUACUUGCAUUUCAUUAGUAAAAGCUAUUAACGAAACUGAUCUGUAUUAACUAACUAAUACUAACUAACUAAUCACGCGAACUCUCAUUGCUGCAUAACAGAAUCAGCUGACUCAGCAUUGUUGACGUGGCAUUGCUGACGCACCUUAGCUUCUGACUUCUUCUCUCUUCUCAGCUCAGCACAAUGAGCUUUCUUCACAAACCAGAGUUAUAGGAUGGCUCAAGAUUUCUUCAAUGCACAUAUUACCCCUUUACAGGUAAUUAUAAUUAAUUAAGUUCUCGAUUACCAUUAAUUUUAUUUUAUUUUUUUCCAUUAAUUUCUAGAAAUUAAGAUUUAUUAGAACUCUAAAGUUAAAUUCUGAUUAAAAUUUUAAUUUUUAACGUACACAUUCCUCUUUAUAAUUAUGACCGUACGUAAUUUUAUAGCAGAGGAUAAUUCCUACCCAUUAAUUAAGCUAACCCACACGCCCAUGGAACAAUGAAGAAGUAGCUAAUAAAGUAAAAACACUGUAUUAGAUUCGGAAAACCAAGUUUCAAAUCUUCUUUUCAAAAAUAUUCUUCGUCUUUAUCUUUAUUGCGUGCCUUUGUGCUUUUUUUUUUCUAUUUAUUUAUUUUUCUUGUUUACAGUCUGGAUGUUGUAAGCCUCCGACAGAGUGUGGUUACACAUUUGUAAACCCAACAUAUUGGAUAAGUCCAAUUAACAACGCGGCGGACAUGGAUUGCCUACAGUGGAGCAAUGACCAAAUGCAGCUUUGCUAUAAUUGUGAUUCAUGCAAAGCAGGAUUACUUGCUAAUCUGAAAAAGGAGUGGAGAAGAGUAGAUAUCAUAUUACUCGUUACUCUUGUUGCUUUGAUAUGGGUUUAUCUGAUUGGAUGUUGUGCUUUUAGGAACGCCAAAACUGAAGACCUCUUUCGCAAGUACAAGCAAGGCACUUACACGUAAUUGUUAGCUGCACGUAAACUCUCUUUGAUAGUAAUAUUAAUGUGUAAUUAGGGACUGGCUUGAAUUGUUAUUUUGAUAAUUUUAUGAAUUUUUUGUUUAAGAUCCGUCUUCUUGGUUACUUACAUUUGGUUAAAUUAUGUGUGGGGUUUGAUUUGAUGACGACAUAAUCUUGAGUUGUGCGUGCGUGAUUUGUGGAGGGCGCCGAAAGUAGGUGGCUUUUGAAUAUUUGCUUUUUAAGGAGAAGGGAUUUCGCACUUCCGCUCCCUGCUUGCUCGCAUAGGGCAUUAAUUGUAGCUUUGAAAAAAGUUCUGCUUCAGCAUGCGCAAAAGUCAAAGAAAUGGGACAUGUGCUCAUGCAUUAUGCAGCCAGCAUAUGGGUGAUAGCAGACGUAUUUAAUCUUUUAGUCUUUGUUGACAACUCAGCCUCUCUCUCUCUCUCUCUCUCUCUCUCUCUCUCUCUCGCUGUGUCUCUGCGUCAGGGAUCUGAUUUGUGGGAAGAUAGAUAUCGGUUUAAAAGGUUUUCAUAUGCAUCCUUGGAACUUUGUAAGGUUUACAUGGAAAUUUCUUCCUCUUCCAGUGGCCGUCGAGAACUCUUUGCUGCUGAGAUGCACCUGAAGAACGUCCUUAAACAAGUAAAACACCUUAUAAUUCGAUAUUUAAGACACUUACAGUUGGUUUAAAGAUUGCAUUUUCCGUUUCUGUUUUUGACUGGUUCAGGGUAAAACUUUUUCUCACUGUGUUAGAGUGCAUUUCUGUUAUUAUAUAGUACCUGUCAAAAUUUUCCAUUCCAAUUAGUUACAGAGUGAAUUCUGUAAGGUGUGGCGCCCCCUUGAAGGCCAGGAGAGCCGUGUUUAGGGCUUAUCACCCCUCCAAGGUGUAAUCCCUUGUAUCCCUGUAGCUUAUACCAGAGGUCCGGAGUACUGCAGACUUGUGGAGAUACGGGGCUAUGAGUUUCCAUCUUUCGGACAUCACAACACUUGUUCUGGAGAAAUUAUGGGUUUAUUUCAGAACAGAGGAAGGUUACUUCAUUAAGAGGAAUGAGAGAUUUACAAUACACUAGAUUUAGGCUCCAAGACUCGAUGCCUAGAUACAAACCAAGGGUUCCCUUUUAUAGGCACAAGGGAACCACUAUUACACACUGUAGUCAUUAUUGAUCCUUAUCUCUAAGGAAUCUAUUUUACAACUCACUCCUUACUUUAUGUCACACUCAUACUCUCAUCCUUAUCACAAAGGAUGGUACACAAUACAUACGAAUACAAAUACAUAUAUUAUUAUUAUUAGAGAUACAAAUACAUAUAUUAUUAUUAUUAAAUAUACAAAUACAUAUACGAAUACAAAGGAUGGUACACAAUACACUCUGAUAAUAAUAAUAUAUGUAUUUGUAUUCGUAUGUAUUGUGUAUCAUCCUUUGUGAUAAGGAUGAGAGUGUGAGUGUGACAUAAAGUAAGGAGUGAGUUGUAAAGUAGAUUCCUUAGAGAUAAGGAUCAAUAAUGACUACAGUGUGUAAUAGUGGUUCCCUUGUGCCUAUAAAAGGGAACCCUUGGUUUGUAUCUAGGCAUCGAGUCUUGGAGCUUAAAUCUAGUGUAUUGUAAAUCUCUCAUUCCUCUUAAUGAAGUAACCUUCCUCUGUUCUGAAAUAAACCCAUUUUGGUAUCAGAGCCAUAUUUCCCAAAAGGAAACCCCUGGGUGUGCAACAAUAUUAUGCUCUGUGGUUGCCGAAACACUUCGGAUCCUCCACAUCAGAAAGUUGUUGAAUACUGAUCUACCUGUCAAAAUUUUCCAUUCCAAUUAGUUACAGAGUGAAUUCUGUAAGGUGUGGCGCCCCCUUGAAGGCCAGGAGAGCCGUGUUUAGGGCUUAUCACCCCAAAGAAAACCCUUUGUUUUCUCUUAGCCAUGGAAAACUCAAACAGUAAUAGAUCUGGAAACCAAACAGUUUCUGACCAAGGAUCCACUUCGGCUAUCAGAGUUCUAACUGAUAGUUCACCCUCUAUAAACUUCCAUUACGAAACCCAAGAGGAUGAAAGCAGUGAGAGAGCGGUUCAGUCCUUUAGACUUGAUCCGUUAGAUCCCUAUAGAUACUACCAUAUCAAUUCUACUCUUAAUCAAUUAAGAGCCAUAAUUCCUAUUAGACAACCCAAGCUUAAAACCAUCUAUAAAUCCUCUGAGAUUACUGUCCAGUUCAUCUCCUCCAGUUCUAAAGAAACAUACCUUCCUAUAAUCUCUACCAAUGAGGUUACAAGGUAUAAGCUACAGGGAUACAAGGGAUUACACCUUGGAGCAAUCUAGAUAGGAAUACAACCAUUGUUCCUAGCUGGAAAAGAUAUCACAUGCUUCAUUGCCAUCCUUGACACUAGAUGGCAAACUUUUGAGAAAGCCUUGAUCACUGCUGUCGAAGCAGGACUCAACCAAGGUCAUGUUGUUCUCCAAGUUGAACCCAACUUCACCCUUGACAUACACAAGCCAUUUCUCACAGAUGCCAUUAAGGUAUUAAUUCAGGUCAAUGGUCUAACCAUAAAACCUGAUGAAUCUGCCUUGGCAAUUCACCACACCAUGACCUAUAAAGUCCAAACCCAUCUGUUCUCUAUGAGCAGCUCUGGCAGGCCCAUUACCAGAUUUCUUGCUGGUGAUGGCAGAGUCUUUCAACCUCGGACUUAUAGGCAAAAUCAGCUCAUUUUUCUACCUCAAUGGAUCAAUGAGUAUGAAAAAAACAGCAAGCCUCAACAAAUCCAUGAGGUUCCAAAGAUAAGCCGGUUACAAGAAGGAAGGGUAUCAGUCUCUUUUCCCACUGAGACUAAAGCCCUCUAUCCAUGUGAAAAAUGCCAGCUUGAAGGAAGGCAUCCCUCCUUGUGCACUCAUAUGCCAAGAAGAAUCACCUCCUGCAGAAUCAUGGGUCCAAUUAACAUGAUCACCACUCCGGAUCUUGAUAAUGAAUUCCUCAAGGAUAUUCCUGGAGGAAUGUAUGUUGCCAAAUGGGUAAUACAAAAAACCAACCCAACUGAAUUUGGCCCAAUUGAGAAGGCGAUCAACUGGUCAAACAUCAAUGCUGUUGAACAGAACCAAGCGUUGGGAGACAUCAUGGUUACCCAACAGCAAAUUCUUGCUGACUUAGCUGUUAUCAGAAAACAGCUAAAGAAAACCAGAAAACAGCAUAAGGUGACUACCCAGCAGUUUUCCCAAAUGCAUGACAGUGCCUCCAGAUCUAUCAACAUGAUCGUAAUGACCGGAGCUGCAGAUGAGGACGGAAUGAGAAGAACCAGAGAAAGCUAUCAAAGGACAAAAGUGUCCAGGCACUGGAAGAGCAAGCCCACAAAGCCAUGGCAUGUCUGGGAAGAAAAUGCAUCUGGCAACUGUCAAAAGGCAUUUUGGAGAAGCUAUGCUCCACCUCCACAAUAUCCAUGGCCCACUAAGGCUACAGGAUGGGAUGAGGAUAAAGAUACGGAUACUGAAACAAGUAUCUCCUCUGAUGACCAGAUCCCUCUUAUACCAAUUCUUAUGCAAAGAGCAAAUCCUCCAAAUCCAUUCUAUGUGGAUACUCGAGCUAGAUUUGCAGCAUCCACACCAACACAGGGUCAAACCUCUGAUCCUACAAGACAAGAGCAAACUCAACACCCAUCAGGAACAACCCAGUUCACUGCCCCAGAAUUCGCUAAUCCUGCUGCCCAACCAGAAGCAUCUGGAGUAGAAUCCACAAAUCAAGAAGACAGGGCACCACAUAUUGAUGAGGUAAAUCAGGGAGACGAAUGGGAAACCCGUGUCCAACUUGGGCAUUCUACGACGGGAAAAAUGUUCUGGAACAUCGAUAGAAUGAAGCCAAAAGAAAUAUUGGCUUACUUUGAAAAGAUGGUAGCUUGGUAUGAAGGAGAAUGCCAACGAACUCCCCAGUUGAGCAGAAGAUCGGCAGCAAUGAGACUUGUUGCAGGAUUCGUUGGAUCAUUGAGAAGAUGGUGGGGAAGAAAGCUCAGCAGAGAACAAAAGGAAUUCAUACUCAGCAGAGAAGACCCUUGUGGAAGCUUGGUAGAAAAUCUAUCCUUGGAUUUUCUCGGCCAACACACAAGAGAAGAAGAAGUAGCUGAAAAACAAUUUCUCCAGAACAAGUGUUGUGAUGUCCGAAAGAUGGAAGAGUACUACCUAGAGCAAGAAAGGUUGUACUACAUCUUUGACAAACAAACUGACACCAUCCACAGAACAUUCGUGCUAAACAUGCCAGGCCCAGUAGCGGAAAUGAUGGAGGCUAAAUUCAAAGCUGAUGCAAUUGUUGAUUUAGCACAGCUUAGCCUUGCUCAGCUCUAUCAGAUAUCUAUGGAGCUGAUCCAAAGUCAUUGCAGAUCUCAAGACUUAAGAAGGCACAUGAAGCAGAUUGAGAAAUCCUCUCUGCAAAAAUUCUGUAAUGAGGAACCAAACAAAUUUGGUUGCCACCAUACAGACAAAAUGUGCUCUUGCAAGAACAACAGGCAGAAAAGGCCAAAGAAACCCUGGAAGCCCUACAAAGGAAAGAAAUACCGUUUCAUCAAAAAACGAAAACAAAAGAAAGGCUCGGGGAGAUGUUUCAUUUGCGGAAAGAAAGGUCACUAUGCCAAACAGUGCAAAUCCAAGAAAAGACUUCCAGCAAAACUUCUCCAGAUGAUCCAGCAGGAAGAUUUUGAUGAUGACAUCUAUACCUGGUCAGAUAGCCCUACGGUGUUGUAUACACAAUGGAUAAAUAUCCUCUUUCAGACGACGAUGAUACAGAUUCUCUUUCUAGCACUGACAGUGAUUCUGAUGAUGAUCCUGUCAUGACCAUCCAUGAGCCUCUCCAAGCUAACCUGGCAAUGGCCCCUGCCUCUCUCUUCAGACCACAUAUAAAGGUUAUCCUCAACCCAUCUGAGGAUAAACAGGUAGCACUCACUGCUCUUAUUGACACUGGAGCAAUGUGCUCAUUCAUUCGAGAAGCUUGUGUUCCUUCCACCUUUUAUGUUCCUACUAAGGUCUCGUUUGGCUCCGCUAGUGGAAGUAACUUCUCCAGUAAAAAGAUUACCCGGCCUAUAGAAAUCCAGCCCUUUAUGAUAAGGCAUGGCUUCUUUGCCUUUGAUUAUUCAGGCGAAGAUAUCUUGCCAGGCACCGACUUUUUAAGUCUGAUUGCCCCUUUUGCCUUCUUUCCCGAUGGCUUCUCUUAUACCAUUCGGAAUCCUCACACGGGCACCACUAACACUUUCUGGGUACCCUGGGUUGAAAAACAAUCCAUUUUUGGGGAGGGUGGAAAACUACAAAAUUACACCAUCCAUAAAUAUGAACCCCAAAUUAAAGAACUCCUUGAAUGCUGUGCAGAAGUGCCAAACCAGUUUUGGGCUAGAGAACAACAUUUUGUGUCUCUACCAUACAAGGAUGGAUGGACCAUGCCUCACCAGACGGCCUCUCAUCCAGGCAUUCCUCAUGACGAAGAACUAUGCAAAACAGAGAUCCAGGCUCUUAUGGAUCUAGAGCUCAUCAGGCCCUCUAAGUCUCAUUGGGCUAGCCCAGCAUUUUAUGUCAACAAGCAUUCAGAACAGAUACGUGGAAAAAAGCGAUUGGUAAUUCACUACAGAAAACUGAAUGAUUGCUUGCAGGACAUAAGAUACCCCAUUCCACGGAGGACACACAUUUUAAAACGCAUUGCUGGUGCAAAAGUGUUUUCAAAGUUUGACAUGAAGUCAGGCUUUUGGCAAAUUGGGAUUAAAGAAGAAGACAGACACAAGACAGCAUUUGUGGUCCCCCACGGGCAUUAUGAAUGGAAUGUGAUGCCUUUUGGCCUAAAGAAUACACCGUCAGAAUUCCAAAACAGAAUGGAUGAGGUGUACAAAUCUAUCUCAGGAUUUUGCCUUAUCUACAUUGACGAUGCUCUUAUCUUCAGCAACAGUGAAGAAGAACAUGCUGAACACCUGUCCCAAUUCAAGGCACUAACCUAUAAACAUGGGUUAGCUUUGUCAGAAUCCAAAAUGAAGAUAGGCCUUGAUGAGGUGGACUUUCUAGGAUUACACAUCAAGCAGAGAUUCAUCAUUCCUCAGCCACAUAUAGCUGAAAAAAUAUCCCAAUUCCCAGACCAGCUGUCAACCAGAAAGCAGAUCCACCAGUUCCUCGGGAUAAUCAACUAUGCAGCAGACCAUGUGCAGGAUCUGUCAAAGAUGACGAGAGUCAGAUAUCAAAGCACUUAAAGAAGAGUGCCCCACAAUGGUCGGAAGACGCAACAAAAGCAGUGACAGACUUAAAGCAAAAGUGCCAGUCACUUCCACCAUUAAAGAUACCUGACAAGGGACAGCUCAUCCUCCAGACAGAUGCAAGUGACCAUUAUUGGGGAGCACUGUUGAUAGAGGAAUCCGAGGGAAACAGAAAAGUGUGUGGCUAUAAAUCAGGCCAGUUCAACGAUGCUCAAAGCCACUACCCCUCCUCCAAAAAAGAAGUCUUAGCAGUUGUCAAAGGGAUCAAAAACUUUCAAUUCUUUCUUUCACUAACUCCCUUUGUGAUUGAAACAGACUACAAAUACCUACAGGGAUUACUCAGGAGAAAAGAAGGAGAAAUACCAGAUCCACAGCUUGCAAGGUGGUCUGAGUCUCUCUCGAGAUUCAAGUUUGAAGUAAAGCACAUCAAAGGAGAAUCCAACACUGUUGCGGAUUUCCUUUCCAGACCGAUCACCAUGAUCAAAAGAAGAAGCCUUCCAAAAAGAUGGGACGAAGGCAGUUCUAGUGCUCACGCAGCCCGAGCACACUUUCUCAAAGAUCUUAACAUCUUCAUUGCUUGGCUUCCUUCGGAAGUUCAAGAUGACAUCUUUGAGAAAGUCAUCUGCCACAAAAGAGAUCCAGAAGAUCAAGCUCUGACAUGGCGGGUAUGGCAGCUCAUGGCCAUGCAGGAACACAGACCUGCCCAUAACAAACAAUGUCAAAGAGCUUUUGAUCCACAUCCAAAUCCUGACCAGAUGCAUGAAACGGUCUUCAAGGUCGGUUGCACCUUCCACUAUGUAAUAGACGAGAACUCCAACUGGGGUCACUAUGUUAUCUGCGAUAUAACCCCUCAAGCCUAUUACAUAACUUGGUACUGGCCCAACAUUUACCCAGUGGCAAUCCUGUUUGAACCACAUCUGAUCCAUACCAGCAGGAGAUAUGGGAAGGGAAGAUGGUUCGACCGAAUGUUCGCUCCUAUCUUCGAAGACAUCCUAACACUCCGGCUAAUCAACGGAUAUCACAUCACUCACUCUACUAUAGUGAUUGUGAAACUCACAGAUAUCUGGGGAAGAUACAAGCAGCCUCUUGUGCAGGUGGUCCAGCAUGACCUCAACCAUGAAGAAAUUGAUUCCAUGUGGACAGGCUGUUGGAAUGCUAGAAAAGCUUUAGCUGAGGUAUACGGAACUAUUCCAAUGUAUAAUACUCAUAGCCCCGUAUCUUCACAAGUCUGCAGUACUCCGGACCUCUACUACAGAGAGGAGAUCAGGAAUCUCAAGCUUCAUGGAGAAGAAGAUGAAGCAGCAGACUUGCAGCAGUGGUAUAAUGAUUACCUCACUCGCCAUGGCAGGCCAAAAGAAGUCACUUAUCUGGACACUCCAGAUAUUGAAAGAUGGAGGAACGAGCUUGAAGAAAUGGCCCAUUGGCUAGACCUCCAAGAUUGGCCCCAACCUGAGUUAGACCCCCAGCCGGAUAACAUUGAAGAUCCCAUAUGGCCAAAUAUGGGAGAAGAUAUGGAUGCAGCAUCCGAAGAACGAUGGAACCACAGGUCAGGACGUAGCACACCAACAAGUGGCAACUCUGGACUAUAGCGGAAGCUUAGUGGACCCUACAGUGGAAGCAAUGGUGAUAAUAAUAUAUGUAUUUGCAUUCGUAUGUAUUGUGUACCAUCCUUUGUGAUAAGGAUGAGAGUGUGAGUGUGACAUAAAGUAAGGAGUGAGUUGUAAAGUAGAUUCCUUAGAGAUAAGGAUCAAUAAUGACUACAGUGUGUAAUAGUGGUUCCCUUGUGCCUAUAAAAGGGAACCCUUGGUUUGUAUCUAGGCAUCGAGUCUUGGAGCCUAAAUCUAGUGUAUUGUAAAUCUCUCAUUCCUCUUAAUGAAGUAACCUUCCUCUGUUCUGAAAUAAACCCAUUUCAUGGUUAGACCAUUGACCUGAAUUAAUACCUUAAUGGCAUCUGUGAGAGAUGGCUUGUGUAUGUCAAGGGUGAAGUUGGGUUCAACUUGGAGAACAACAUGACCUUGGUUGAGUCCUGCUUCGACAGCAAUGAGAAGAAAAUGCACUUUUUGGAAUCUCAGGCUGAAGGAUUUUUGGUGCUUUAACUAAUCUCAUUUGACAAUGUAAAUAUAUGGCUUCAAUUUCUUUAAAUGUAAUAGCAAGUGUUGUUUUCGACCUCUGUUCUUUUAUGCAUUGCUUACAUGCCGUGAUUUCAUUAACCUAAAUUUAAGAACUGUUUGAGGGAAAUACAUCGAGGAGACCAGACGUGAUGAGCAGGUGUUUGGUGGUGGAGUUCUGCGAGCAGGAAUAUUCUCCUCGUCCACGAAUAUGCCAUUCGCGAGACCGAAUUCAUGUUAGAGGCAUAAGGUCAUUCCUGCUAAGGGUCGAGGCGAGGAGACCCGGUCAACGGCAGUUGGCAAGACGUGCCUUCCUAUCCGAGAAUCAAGGCACGAGGUCCAUCUCCAUUUGCCCACAAUGACGACAAUGGGGCAUCCACAUCCGAGGGUGGGGAGAAUAACGGGCGUAAACUGCGGAAGAUCGGGACUCAGAGGAAGCCUAUAAAAAGGUAGCCAACAAAGGUAAAAGGGUUAGAUUUUUUGCUAUUUGAACUAAGAAAAUAGAGAACUCGAAGGUCUGAGAUUAGUGAAAAGCCAUAAGAUCCGUGGCAAGCAUUCCCAGAACCUUCAUAUCUGACUUGAGCGUCGGAGGGUUUACGCCGGGAAAACAACCGGCGUGCUCUGACCUGUUUCUGUGGACGCAAGGAUACUUAGAGAAGAAAGCGUACGAGGAGAGAUCCUGAUCGAGGUGAGGUUGAUCGAGCAGACAUCCUGGUCGUUGGAAGGUGUAACCAGAAUCUCGCAUCAACAAGAACAAUUUCAUAUAAUUUUUUUUCUGCUUUUCUUUUAUCAUUUAAAAACAAUACUACGCACACACACACGCAUAUAUUUCAGAAAGCAUUUAAACAAAGCAACCGAACGUUGCUGGUUUCUAUUAUUACAUCGACAACAAUAAAGCAAAGAAGCAACUGAAAGUUAUCUUCAUAUGAGAAUGAAAGCUUUUCAGCAGCAUAAACCUUUCACUAUUCAAUUCCAAACAUGUUCCUCAACAUGAUAACAAAUUCGUAGACCUUUUCUAGGUCUAGAAGGAUCCUGGCAACAGUAUCUCUUUGCAUGCACUUGUUCAUCCAUGCUGAGAAUUUGGGGCACUCAUUCUCAAGCUUAAAUCCCCCAAAUUUCUCAACCGCGUAAAACCAACAAGUCAGUGGAAUGGAAAUGACAUCAACGAAUCCAAAGCUAUCCCCGCCAAAGAAAUCCUUCUCCCCUAAAGCGCCCUCAAGUUGCUUCAAAAUCUCUAUAAAUUCAUUCUUCGCGGUCUCUGGGACCUCGCCCUUGCUUUUCCAUAUGUUGCAUACUGCAUCGAAUACCUGCCAAAAAAGUGGUGUCAUCUUUUAAGUUCACAUUUAGAAAGAUACAAACAUUUACACUUGAGAAUUAUAGACUGACCUUCUUGUCAAUAAAAUCUUGCCUUAGCUCUCUCAUAAGCACAGGAUGGGAGAAGUGGUGGCGAAGGCCAAGUCUCGUCAAUGUAGUUAACUAUAAUAGUGGAUUCACACAAUGGUUUCCCAUCGUGCAGCAAAACUGGGACUUUCUUGUAGAUGGGUUUGAUUUGAGCAACAGGUCACUCUUGCCCCCAAACAAGUUCUCAGCUCUGGCUUCAUAUUCAACUCCUUUCUCAGCCAAUGCAAUCUUUGCUCUCAAGCAAAAUGGGCUAGCCCAACAAUCCAAAAGAACAACCUCUCCCUUCGACAUAUUCACUUUCUUUGUUCUUGUUUCUUUUACUUGGUUGAUAGUAAUUAAACCUUGAGUAUCAAGGUUGGCAUUUAUAAAGGAUAAAAGAUGAAAUUCCCAAAGUUUGUGUCGCAAUCAACGUUUGUUCGUUGGCACUUCCUUAAAGGAUGUGGCAUUAUUCUUAUCAUUUCUUAGUUUUUGAAGCUAACUGUUUUACUUGGCUUUCAACAUGCACAAGAACAAGUUUGUCUUGUGCAUACGGAGUUUACUAUGGACAAGCCGAAUUGUAAGUAACCAUUUACACUAAUCAAUCGGUAUUGUCCAAUGAAAAUAAGUAAUGUAAACUUAUCAAAAAAAAAAGUAAUGUAAAAAGUGUCUAGGAUUUUGCCUAAUAUUUCUUAAAAUAGGCUAAUUAAGCCCAAUUCUGGUGCUAGAUUGGUUCAACUUUGAAUCAAACUUGGAAACAUUUUGCUUUAGAUUAUUAUUAUUAAUUUAGAAGAGUCAAAAAGCUAAGAGUAUCGUUGGUAAAGCUCAAACAUGUGUAAUAUCACAUAUUACUUCUUUUUUUUUUUUAUACAAGUAAUAUCACAUAUUACUAGUGAGUGAGUUUCAUAAACUUUCCUAUUGAAAAAGACACAUUUUGGGUUGUAAAUCCUAACACAAUAUUUAUUCAGUUGUUGAGCCUGAAAUAUUACAGAUAUAUCAAAUAUUAUUUGAUGUGGGCGCACAACCCUGCGUCUUCUUAAUUAGGACAACCAAUGAAACCCUGCGUCUUCUUACAUAACUUGUAUGUACACAUUGGCGGGAUAUCCCAAUUAUGUACUCGUUUGUCUUCAUGUGUUUUAAAAAAAUCUAUUGUAAUGGAUAUAUUGUAAAUUUAUCUAAUUGCUUGUUAUAAUGCUUCUAUUGCGGUGUUAUUCGAGCUGUCAUUUUCAGUUUUAUUUUGUUUUUUCUUUAAACAUAGUUAAUUUGAAAUCCAUUACACUUGAAUCAUCAAAUAAGUGAUUCUCGAACAUAAUUGCUGUUGUUACUCGAAUAAGAAAAGAAAACAAAGUAUAGCUAAGAUAAAAGCAAAUGGAAAUGAGAGCAACGUGAUUUUGCAAAGAGAACUUCACACUAUCAUAAAACCAAAAACAUUAAAAUUUAAAACUUAAAUAACAACACACCAAAGCCAAAUAACGACCCACUAGAAUCAUGGUCCAAAGAUUGUACCAUGAUCACAACAUGAACUACAAAAAAAUAACCAACACCUGAAAAGUAGGAACAGUUUGAAACUUUCAACUAAAGUGGGAAAGACCAGGAUGGCACUGCAUGCCCAGCCCACCAACAUUAAAUGCUUUUUUCCCUUAUAAUUUAUCAGUCACAUAAUUUAGAGUGAAGACUUUAAUGCUGUGUUUACUUGCUGGAGUGGGAGUGAGGAGUGUGGAUUCCUCCCACUCCAGCGUUUACUUUCUCUGAAUGGGAAGGGAGUGGGAAUUCCACUCCGUGGGCCCCACCCAUUUUUGGAGUGGGGAGUGGGAGUGGGACUCCCAUAUUCCCACUCCCACCUCUCCCUUUUUUACCCUUUUAUUUUUUUAAUUUAAUUUAAUUUAAUAUUUUAUAAUUAAUAAAAUAAAAUAAAUAUUAUUAUAUUUAUUUGAAUAAUAAUAUUAUAUUUAACUAAAUAAUAAUUUGCAUUGAUUCUAAGUUAAAAUUAUUUUAAAAUAAUAUUAUUAUAUUAAUAGAGAAUUAAUAAAUAUAAUAUUAUUAUAUUUAUUUUAAAAAUAAUAGUACUAUAUUUAUUUAAUAUUAAUAAAUAGUUUAUUCUAAGAAAAUAUUAAUUUUGUACUAAAUAAUAUUAUAUUAUUAUUUUAUAUAAUAAUAAAUUUAAUAUAAUUAUAUUAAAUAAAAUAAGGUUUCAUUUUGUAUUAAAAUUAAUAAUUUAUUGUUGAUAAUUAAGAAUAUUAAUAAUUAUAAUAAAUUUACAAAUAUAAUAAAAUAAAUAUUAUUCAUUAAAUAUAUUUUUUAUUAGUUUUGUAAUUAAAAAUUAUAAUUCUUUAAAUAAGAAUAAAAUUGUAAUUUGAAACUAUUUACUCCCAAUCCAAGACAAAGUAAACACAUAAAUUGGAUUUUGAUCUCUAUUCCAUGCUUCCAUUCCAGUGUAAGUAAACAACCUACUCUCACUCCCACUCCACACUCUCAAUCCUAGGAUUUCCACUCCUCAGGAUUCCCAAUCCAAUCCAAAAAGUAAACGCUACCUAAAAGCAAAUAAAUGAAUUGGCUGAAUCUAGCUAGGAUGCCAGGAUGGGCACGGAUCCACAGAUAACAAGUAACAGUCUUUAAAUCUUCUGUUGUAAGUUCUUACGCCCCUUUUUUUUUAUACGACGAACCCCCGAUUCUACCCUCCAAAAUCAACAAUAGAGAAUUUAGUCUUAGCCUCUCAAGAUGCACUCAAACCUAAGGAUGGCAAUGGAUCAGAUCUGACCCAAGAUCCAUGUGAUCCAAAUCCAAUUGGAUCGAAUUUGGGUCGGAUUAAAAUAGAUUUGGAUCGGAUUUGGAUAUCGAUGCGUGGAUCUAAGGCGGAUCUGGAGCAAAUUCAGAUUUAUCUUAAUAUCUAUAUCCAAAUCCAUAUCCACUCACCAUUUAAUGUAAUUUUAUUUUAAAAAAUUCUUAACAAUUAUGUAAUUAUAAAUGAUGAUAAAAUUUAUUCAUUAGCAUGUAUUUAAGAAUCUUAAAACUUAAAGGUACUUAAUUGAUAAUAAGAUAAAAAUUUAUCAAGUGUAAAAUAAAAUUAGGAUAGUCUGCCCUAAUUUUUUUAAGUUUUUCACUCUACAAUUUAGUCUCUUUUUUCCUCUUUAGUCUACUCUCGCUUCUCCACUUCAUUUGAAUGCUUGGAUCAGUUCUUUAAUUGUUAGGAAAAUCCAUAGACUUGAGUUUAUUUUUCUAUCAUUUUCUCAUAAUCUUAUUUAUUUUGUAUAAUCACUAAUCAAUGGUGGCUAUCAACUAUAAAAUAAUUAUGUUAAUCAUAUAUUUAGUUAAAUAUGAUCAUAAUAAAAAUAAUAAAGCACUGAAUAUAAUAAAUCAUUUUUAACUUAUAUGUUAUUAUUUAAUGAUAUAGGAAUGAUGAUGGUGUGCAGUGGAUAUCAAGAUAGUAAAUGAGACAUUAGAAUAUUAUAAUGAUCUUAUUCAUGCAAUUACUUUUUAUCGAUAUUUUAUUAUCUUUUUUAUUUGUUUAUUUUGGUGUAAAAGCAGAAGCUACAAUACUUAUUAGAUUUUUUGUACAAAUUAUAUAAUUUAAUUGUUACCAAUGCAUUUUAGUCUUAAAUUUUUUUUCUAAAAAAAAUUGAUCUCUUAUUAUUGAGAUUUAGAAUUCAUGAUGGAUCUAGAGCAUAUUUAGAUUGUAAUUUUUCAAUUUGGAUUUGGAGCAGAUAUAGAUCUUUAUUUUUGUUUCGAAUCUAGAUAUGGAGCGAAAAUAUAGAUCCAUAACGGAUCUGGAGCAGAUACAGAUCUUAAUUUUUAUUACGGAUCUGGAUAUGGAGCAAUGUAGAUCCAAUCCAUAUCUGCUCCAUUGCCAUCCCUACUCAAACCUUGAGUAUGGUUUUUACUUACGUAUUAUCGAUUAUGAUUUUAACUAAUCUCUCUUGUCAACGAACUUUUGGUUGAUUAUGGACGCCUUUUUUUUUUUAAUCUAAACAAUAUAAGAUUUCGUACAAAUUGAAUUUGUAUAGACCUCAUCAUUUGGAACUUGUGUUGUAUCCAAAAAUAUCACCCAACCCAAAGAAAAUAAGUUCAAUUCUAUAACUCAUUCAUUUUUCUUAUAGCCCAAUGGAUUGAGAGAAUAGGCGUCAGAGGAAACUUUAUUUCAAUAUAUAAAUAUAGGCUUGCAUACAAUGCAAAAUCAUAUAUUCGAACCAAUAGGCGAAGCAUUGUCCCUCGUUGAUCCACAUGAGCCAACUAGUCAAAGUGGAUCCACAUGAGCCACUUUACAGACUGGGCAUGCAUUGCAACUGUUCAUUUUUGCUUCUGCCAAUAAAGAGUUGAUAGUAACCAAAGAUUGUAUUCUUUAUUGUCAUUUGAGAGUAACCAAUUACUUAGGCAGUCACGUAAGUUGCUGGUUGGCCUCGCACAUUUUUGACCAGCUUGUUUCUGAAGGAAACCAGCUGAGCUGCAACCUCUUCCAUGCUCAUUCGUUCUCUCGGCAACUCUGAAGAGCAAGUGACUCCGAUUGCCAGUACUGAAACCAAGCACUCUUUAACACUAAAACUUCUGGUCCAUUGUUUGUGAGCAUUGGCCUUGCUUGUCUCCCCUUCUUCUCUUUCUACAAGAAGCACUGGAUCAACAAUUUCAGCGAGUCUUUCAGGAAGAGCUUCCUUGACAAAAUUAUGUAGGGUUAGAUUGCCUGUAAACAUCUCAUUCGUCGGCCCCUUUCCUGUAAACAUUUCCAGCAAGAGUAUUCCAAAACUGUACACAUCUCCACUUGUUGAGACUUCGCUCCCCAUUCCGUACUCUGCAAUUCGAAAACUAAAAUUGUUGGUUCAACUAGUAAAAUCUCUAAGGAUUGAAAGACAAGUUAAUUAAAUUAUUGUAUUUACCUGGUGCAGCAUAACCAACGGUUCCUUUUACUCCAACAGAGCUUGAUUGAUUAGAUGACAAGUUAUUGGUGGCUUCCGGAAGGAAUUUUGCUAAUCCAAAAUCACCUACAUGGGCAGUCAAUUCACCAUCCAGAAGAACAUUGCUUGGCUUGAGAUCACAAUGGACUAUUGGAGUUUCGCAAUAAUGAUGAAGAUAAUCCAAUGCGGAAGCAACAUCAACGGCAAUAUUCAGUCUUUGCAGGAGAUUUAAGUUCCUUGGUGCCUCAGCGUUCGGAUGCAACCAUUCCUCCAGGCUCCCGUUGACCAUGAACUCAUAAACUAAAGCCUCGAAAUCAUUUCCUUGGAAGUCAACACUUGCACAGGAAGUUAUUAUUUUGACAAGAUUCCGAUGCCUAAUACUCCUCAAGGCUUGACACUCCGCUAUGAAACUCUUUGAAGCUCCACGAUGCUGAAGAUUAAGUACCUUAACUGCCACCAGCGUUUCAUGAUCAUCGUGACUGAGGAUUCCUUUAUAGACCGAACCAAAGCUACCGGCACCAAUCAAGUUUUCCAAAGAGAACCCAUCAGUUGCUUUGAACAGAUUCUCAUAGGACACUCGUAAAACCGAAGCCAAGAAUGCUGAUGGAGUGGCCGGCUCCCUUUUUGAUUUGCUCCGCCAGGAAGUAAUUAUAAAACACGACAUCCCUGUCACUAACAAAAUUACUGUAACUACAGGAAUCAUCAGUUUCAGGGAACGGGAACGUGACUGCUUGGAUUCUUUGAUGGAACAAGUAGAUAAAUGCAACUCAGAUAUGCCACCACAGAGGUUAUCAUUUCCAUCAAGAGAUAUAGCACUUGAAUUGCUGAAGACUCCUUUUACUGGUACUUCACCCUCAAAAUGAUUAAAAGACAGAUUUAAAUUCUGCAAAAAGGGAAAGUUUUCCAAAUAUUUUGGAAUCCGGCCGGACAAAUUGUUCCGCGAAAGAUCAAGAUUCUCAAUGCCUCUCAAAGAACUGAAUGACGAAGGUAUAUUCCCUUGAAAGAAAUUACCAUUCAUGAUGAGUUGCACCAACAAAAUGCAACUUCCUAAACUACUUGGAAUUUCACCAGACAAUUUGUUCUCAGAUAUAUCUAUAAAACCCAGAUUUUUCAAGAUACCAAAAUUUGAGGGCAUAGGACCAUUCAACUGGUUUUGAGAUAGAUCAAGAUAGAUUGACAAGGAAGAGAGGCCAAUUACUUCAGUGGGUAUGGUACCACUGAGGUUGUUAUUAGAAAGAUUUAAUGAUAUUAAGUUUUGGCAUUUCCCCAGACUUGAUGGAAUGCUUCCCUCUAACAUGUUUUCCUCAAAAUUUAGUGUAGUUAACAAUGUCAAAUUUCCUAUAGAAGAUGGAAUUUCCCCCCAAAACUUGUUCCCCUUCAGGCCCAACCUCUGCAGCUUUUGAAGAUCUCCUAUACUUUCCGGAAUUCGGCCUGUGAAUUUGUUGCCCCCCAGAUGUAAAAGCUCCAAGUUAACAAGAUUUCUUAAUCCACUUGGGAUAUUUCCGAACAACUGAUUGUUUCCAACUGAUAAUAUUGCAAGUCGGUUUGACAAGUUCCCUACUGUUUCAGGUAACAUUCCACCAAAAUUGUUAUCACUAAUUUGCAGUAGCUCUAGUCUAGAAGCGUUAACCAAAGAAUUGACAAAUUCCAAGUUAUCUUUUUCCCCAUAAUUUCCUAAGUGAUUCUGAGAAAUACUAACCCAUUGGAGUUUAUGUAAAUUUUCCAAACUAGGCACCCUUCCACUGAAUCCAUUCUUUGCGAUUGUAAGUCUCAUUAGAUUUGAGGCAUUGGAUAUUGAAGCCGGAAUAGGUCCGGUAAACUGAUUACCACCAACGUUUAGUACUUCAAGUUUAGGAAGAGUGAAGCCUAAGUCUGAUGGAAGGCUUCCUUGAAGUUGGUUAAAAGGAAAAUAAAAACCACUAAGCCAAGACAAGUUGUAGAUUGAAAAGGGGAUUUCACCUGAUAGCUUAUUUGCUCCAAACGAUAUAUAACGCAUCAUCUUAAGCUCGCUCAGGGUUUCAGGAAUUUGUCCCACAAAUUGAUUUGCAGCUGCUGAGAGGACCUGGAGUGAUGACAAAUUGCCGAAGGAAGGUGGGAUUUCUCCUGACAAAUUGUUGGAGUGUAUUACGAGAAUCCGGAGCUUUGGUAAGGAGCCCAGUUUCCCUGGAACUUUCCCCACUAGCUCAUUGAAGUCUAACCAGAGGGAUUCAAGGUUAACGCAAUGCGAUAUGUUGUCAGGAAUUUGACCUCCGAAUGUAUUGUUGUCCAGCCUUAAAAUUCGUAACCUGAACAGAUAUCCAAUCGCUUGAGGGAUUUCGUUGCGGAGGCUAUUGUUUUUUAGAUCUAACACUCUGAGAAAACUCAAAUUACCAAUGUGAGGCGAAAGAGACCCCUGCAAGAGUAAAGAUGGAAGACGUAAUCCAGUCACCCUUUGGUGCCGUCGACUGCAAGUGACACCUUUCCAUUGACAAAAGUGCCUGGAAUAGUUCCAUGAACUCAAAACCUCAAGAGGGUCAUGAGUAACUUUGGCCUUGAAUUCAAGCAAUGCAAGUUGAUCAGUUUCAUUGCUUUUGAGCAUAUAAUCGGUUGACUGCAAGCUGAAGCUGACGCAACAGAAAAUAAAGAAACAAAUGCUUACAAUGAUUGAACUCAUCAUGUUUACAAAAUCCAUUUAACUGCCGAAAGGAAAUUAAAAUGAUAAAACUUUUAUAGAGGUUGGUAAGAUAAACUAUGUUUGUAUAUUUUUUGCAAUGAUUUAUGGACUCUGUACUUGAUGCUCAAAUGUGAACCGGCUGGCACCGUGACAGUGAAACUAAUGCUUUUUAUUUUUCUAAUAAUAUUAAUUAUCAAAUUUAUUACUAUUGUAAGAAUAAUAUAAUACAGCUUUUCCUUUAAGGAAGACCCGCCACACUAACUUUUGACGCUCUAUCAGUUUCCAGUAUUUUGUCAUUUUGUAUUGUAGUGCUUAAUCCACAAUGAAUAUAAAACAAUUUAAUCAACAUUAUUAGAAAAAGAAAAAAAGUAGGAGAAGAAAGUUAAGUAUGAUGGAUGGAGGGUCAGAUUACUGUUAAAUGACUUAAAGGUUUAAAGCACCACAGGAAUCAACGUUUCACAACGCUUUUUUCCCUUUCUGAAAUAUUCGGUGCAUUAGUUGACUAGAAUUAUAAUAUAUCAAACAACUACAAGAAAUAUUUUAAUUUAUCAUUUUACUAUUAUAUAUUUACAUAACUUAUCAUUUUACUAUAUUUCCGUAGUACCAUUAGUUGACUAGAAAAAUGUUAAUUUUACUUUUGAAAAAAAACACAAAUGGAUAUAUUAAAUAUUUUUAGCUACUUUUUAUUUUGAAUUUAUAAUGUUGUAAUACUUUGUGUUAUUAUUACUUUUUAUUUUGCAAAAACAAAUUAUAUAAAGAGAAAAAUUAAUAUUUUAUCAAUUAACUAAUUGAUCUAUAUUAAUUGAAAUAUAAUAAAUUAAUAUUUUAUCAAUUAACUAAUUGAUCUAUAUUAAUUGAAAUAUAAUAAAAUAAUAUUUUAUUUUUAAAUAUAAUAAAAUAAUUUUCCCAUGAAAGAAAAUGAUGAGUUGUUUCAACGUAAUGCAGCUGCCUAGACUACAUGGAAUUUCACCAGGCAAUGACAAUUUAUUCUCAGAUAAAUCUAACGCCACAACAUUUAUCUAGUCACCCAAAUUUGCAGGCGUUCGUUUUGAGACUUGUCAAAACUUUUUCCAAAAAUUCGGGAUUCAGGUCAUAUCAGGCCGGUUAUGUUUUGAAAAACUUGUAAAUUAUCAGUGAUCAAACUUCAAAACUUUGCAAAUAGGUCAAAAUACGGAAAAAAACUUGAUAUAUUAUUGAAUACUCAUUUUGUUUUGCAUUAAUAUAACGCUAUGGGUGAUAUCUAGUUCUGUUGGUAAAAUUUCUUGGGUUGAAAACAAGAAAACUAGCAUUUCAAACUCACUCAUAUGGAUGGGAAAGAAAUUUAGUUAUUAUUGGAUUAAAAAAUAAUAAUGAGAAUUAGAAAAAAAUUAUAAGGCUUCAACGAGAUUUGCUAAUCAUGUAUAGAUUAAUAUGGAGAUUAAGAACAUCACCUAAGCUAAUUAUUGAACUUGAAAGUUUAGGAGAAAAAAUUAUAUGGGUUUGGCCAUCAAUUUAGCAUUCGGAACUUAUUGUUUAGGAAGCUACGGCGGGUUUCGUAGUGGGACUUAUCCUCUUUAAUGCAUAUGGUGAUUUUAAACCAACAUAUAUAUAAUCCUAUUAUAAAACUCAUCAAACCUUCUAAAAUAACAUGUUGAGAUAGUGUGCUAGAUCCAUAUAAAUAUUUCUCCAACUUCUUAGCUUGAAGCGAUAUUCAUUUCCAUUGAUAGUUUAAUGGGCAAAGCCUUUUGAAUUCUCCAUGUUAUCAAGUUAACUUUUGCUGGAAAAUGCAAUGCGGAUAUGAAUAGAAUUUUUUGUGCAAACAAUUUUUCUAUGUUGACACAUCCUCUGGAACUUUCAGUAAAUUUUAUGGAGAAGCUUCAAUUUCUUGGUUGUUGAUUUCGAAUACAUUAAGCUCUUAUUUGGUAUUAAAGUAUUGUGGGCUAAAAGCUAUAGUUUUUAUGGAAAGAAAUUUGUAAUUGCGAAAUAAAAGUUGAUUCAGUGUGAUAAAUAUAAUUUCAGAAUAAAAAAUAAAGUAAACUUCGAAAUUAUAAUAGUAAGUAUUUAUUAAAUACUUUAGUGUUGCAGUAACUGUUUACUACAAUAUCAAAUAGGGGGCUAGUACAACAAGUUGUUAUAUUAAAAGUCUCCCAAAAAGGAAGAAGUGACUUAAAAAAUUAAAAGAAUGCAGGAGCUGAAGUUGGCAAUUUUGUAAAUUGCAAUGGCGAUUGUGAUAUAGUAAAAUCCUUCAAUGAAUCACAGCACUAGCGAUUUCGUAAUAUACAGUAGCGGCAAUUUUGUAAAAUUGAAGUAGUGAUAGUUUUGCAAAUAAAAGUAAAAACUUUUUCCCAAAAUUUGGCUGAGCAAAAAGCCAGCUUAGCCCACACUCUCCUUCGCCACUGGUUGAUGAGCUCUUCCUUCAAUUUUUGAACUUGAAGUGAUGCCCCAUCAACGUCCAGAAUUUUUAAAGUCUCCCCACUGUACAAGUUAAACAAUAAAGUCAGAAUGAUGACGGAGUUACAAACAAUCAAAUAUGAUCCUAAUGAUUCUUUUUAUACACUCACCCGUGCAUUGAUGUGUUUAAUUGAUAUAUAUUUAAGCAGAAAUUGAAGUUUGAACCUGAUUAAUUAGAUGCGAACACACAUUCAUGAGUAAUUACUUAAAAUUAAUUAACCAAAAGAGUAAAUAUAGGAGGAAAUCGAUCAUAUGCGUGCGGACACCACAAUCGAAUUAUAUAUUUAUAUCACCACAGCACAUAAAUUUUAUUCGAAUGAUAUAUGAUUAAUUAAUCAAUUUUUAAUAACAAUUAAAUUAUAAUGUCAAUUGUGCACAUAAGAUUUUUUUUCUUGAUGAAAUUAUGAAAGUUAGUAAUUAUUUUCCAUUUUUUAAAUAAUAGUUGUUAAUACAAAUCAAAAAAAUAUUGGGACUUGAGAUCAGGGUCUACUUGAGUUAGAAUUUUUUAUUAGAGAAGCUAUUAGCCAGCAAUACAAAAUAAAGAAGCAACACAAGAUAAAGAGUAAUAUAUUAUAGAAAGAUUUUAUUCGUUUCAAGUGUGUAUCAAACAAAGAGAUAUUUAUAGUUACAUAAUUACUACAUGAAAUUAAUGAAAACAUUAUGGAUCAUACUUCCUUGCGAGAUAGUGAAAGUUAUAGAGAAGGCAAAGGUUGCUAGUGGAAGAUAGUAGAGAGAUUAAGAGAUGUAUGUUAUAAACAUCCAGAUUUAUUUUAAUAAAUUCAUAGCAUUUUUUCCCCUCAAAUAAUAGGGUGUAGAGAACAAUUGGAAGGAGUUUACGCAGCCUAUAAAUUAAUACUCUGACGAAUUAAUAUCCUCUAUUAUAUAAUGACUUUUUUUAAGCACACUAAUAGGCUAAAAUGACAGUUCCAAUAAAUAAAUAAAAUAAUAUAUUUUUUUUGAAAACCCUUACAUAAUAUUGUGGUCCUACUCAUAUCAUAAAUUAAUAAUUUUUAAAUUAUAUAUAAUUAUUACACAUAAAUUAUAUAUUUUUUAAUAAAUUCAUAAUAUUUUUUCUCAAAUAAUAGGGUGUAGAGAACAAUUAGAAGGAGUUUACAAGACUCGCCUAUAAAUUAAUACUCUGGCGAAUUAAAAUCCUCUAUUAUAUAAUAAUUUUUUUUAAGGUUGCUAGUAGGCUAAAAUGAUAGUUCCAAUAAAUAAAUAAGAUUAUAUUUUUUUUUAAUGAAAACCCUUACAUUACAUUAUGGUCCUACUCAUAUAAUAAAUUAAUAAUUUUUAAAAUUACAUAUAUAAUAUUUUAUUUUAAAAAUAUGAUUUUAUUUUUUAUUAUUUUUUCUUGAAAUUUAAAUAUAGUUAGAUUUCAUCUCUAAUUUUUCUUAUUACUUUUGAGGUUAAAUUUUGAAAUUGCAAAAAUUUUGAAUUUUUUUGGUUAAUUAAAUCUGCAGUGAGUGUAUAAGAUGAUUAGAUUAGUAAAAUAUAAUAAAUUUUUAGUUGAUUAAAUAUAUGUUCAUUUAAUAUGUCUUGUGUAUACAGAGUUUACUAAGGACAAGCCGAAUAGUAAGUGAGCAUUUACACUAAUCAAUCGUGUUGAGUUGUGUCUCAUAUUGGCUAGUAAAGGGGAGAUACUUGGGUUUAUAAGAAGGUAUGUCACUCCACCUAAAAGACUAGUAUUUUGGGUUGGAUACCUAGAAAUCUUAUGUUAAGUCCCCUCAACAAAUCGGUAUUGUGCAAUGAAAAUAAGUAAUCUAAAAAUUGCCUAGGAUUUUGCCUUAUAUGUCUCAAAAUAAGCUAAUUAUGCCCAAUUAUGGCACUUGAUGGUUCAACUUUGACAUCAAAGUUGGAAACGUUUUUCUCUAGGGUGAGGCUAUUUGCACUUGAAUAUCUACUUUGAACACUCAUUUACUCAGCGCACUCAAUUAAUAAUUUCAAACUAUUAAAUUUUACUUGGAACACUCUUUUGAAUUCCUAUAUUAUCCACAUUUCUUUAAUUACUUUAUUUCUUCUUUGUACCCAAUAAAAUAUUCAUCAUCACAAACAAAAUAUCUAACUUUUUUUUUCCAUUUUUAUUCACUUUUAUUUUCUGUUCAUAAUCUGUUUUGAUAUGUAUUUGUUCUUCUCUUAUUGCUACAAUUUAAUUCUGUUUGUCAACCCAUAAAAGCAUGCGAAUUGAGUGAAAAUCAAAGUGCAAAUUUAAAACAAAAUCCUUUGAUUUACUUGCGUUUUCUUAUGUUGGAGUGGUGCAAUUUGUUGUUUGUCCUCCACCUCUAUUUUUAAUUCCUUUUGUUUCAGUUAUAAAGAUGAUCAUGAACAUGUUACUUGAUGUUUUCCUAGCAAUUCUAUUAACCAAAAAAAUGAAAAAAAAAAGUUUAGUCCAUAAGUAUAGACAAUGUUUUCAUUUGAAUAUUGAUUCAAUUCUUCGUUGUUAAUGUGGUUUAUUGUAGAUAAAAUAUAAUGUUAGAUAAAAAUUUGUUAUACUGUAUUUUAUAAUUGUCCUUAAUAGAAAAUUACAUUAAGGUUAAUUUAGUAAUAUAAAAAUUAUUAAAUGUGAGUGUCCAAAGUAAAUUUUAGAGUGCAUAUAGUCUCACCCUUUUCUUUGUGUUAUUAUAAUUAAUUUAGAAAGAGUUAGAAAGCUAAGAGUAUCCUUAGUAAAGCUCAAAUAUGUAAUACAUAUCACUAGUGAGUGAGUUUCAUAAACUUUCCUAAUUAAGUAGAUGAAUUUUGGGUUGUAAAUCCUAACACAAUAUCUAUUCAGUUGUUGAGCCUAAAAUAUCACAACUAAAUCGAUAUUGUCCGAUGUAGUCAUGCAACCCUACAUCUUCUUAGUUAGGACAAUUCAUGAAACCACUUAUUUGGGAUGUAGGAGAUGAUACAAAAUUUGUAUGUGCACGUUGGCUUAAUAUCCCAAUUACACACUCGUUUGUCUUCAUGUGCUCCGAAAAGAUCUAUUGUAAUGGAUAUAUUGUAUCUUUAUCAAAGUGCUUGUUAUAAUGAUUCUAUUGUGGUGUUAUUCGAGUUGUCACUUUUAGUUUUUGAUUAUCUUUUUUAAACAUAGUUAAUUUGAAAUGUUCUUUAAUAUCCAACACACUUGAGAUCAUCAAAUAAGUGAUUCCCGAACAUAAUUGCCUCUGAUCAUUUUGUUUGUGCCAAUAAAGGGUUGAUACAAACCAAAGACUUCUUGUCUUUAUUGUCAUUUGAGAGUAAUCAAUUACUUACGCAGUCACAUAAGUUACUGGUUGGCCUCGCACAUUUGAGAGUAACCAAAUGGAAAUGAGAGCAACGUGAUUUUCCAAAGAGAACUUCACACUAUCAUAAAACUGAAAACAUUACAAUUUAAAGCUUAAAUAACAACACACCAAAGCCAAAUAACGACCCACUAGAAUCAUGGUCCAAAGAUUGUUCCAUGAUCACAACAUGAACUACAAAAAAAAAAAAAAAAAAAAAACCAACACCAAAAAAGUAGGAACAAUUUGAAACUUUCGACUAAGCAACAUUUAUGAUCACAUCAGCAGUCCUAAACACAUCUUCUAACAAUUGCAACUGUUCAUUUUUGCUUCUGCCAAUAAACAGUUGAUAGUAACCAAAGAUUGUUGUCUUUAUUGUCAUUUAAGAGUAACCAAUUACUUACGCAGUCACGUUAGUUGCUGGUUGGCCUCGCACAUUUUUGACAAGUUUGUUUCUGAAGGAAAGCAGCUGAGCCGCAACCUCUUCCAUGCUCAUUCGUUCUCUCGGCAACUCUGAAGAGCAAGUGACUCCGAUUCCCAGUACUGAAACCAAGCACUCUUCAACACUAAAAUUUCUGGUCCAUUGUUUGUGAGCACUGGUCUCGCUUGUCUCCCCUUCUUCUCUUUCUACAAGAAGCACUGGAUCAACAAUUUCAGCGAGCCUUUCAGGAAGAGCUUCCUUGACAAAAUUAUGCAGGGUUAGAUUGCCUGUAAACAUCUCAUUCGUCGGCCUCUUUCCUGUAAACGUUUCCAGCAAGAGUAUGCCAAAACUGUACACAUCUCCACUUUUUGAGACCUCACUCCCCAUUCCGUACUCUGCAAUUUGAAAAUUAAAACUGUUGGUUCAACUAGUAAAAUCUCUAAGGAAUGCAAAAGAAGUUAAUUAAAUUAUAGUAUUUGCCUGGAGCAGCAUAACCAACGGUUCCUUUAACUCCAGUAGAGCUUGAUUGAUUAGAUGACAAGUUAUUGGUGGCGUCCGGAAGGAAUUUCGCUAAUCCAAAAUCACUUACAUGGGCAGUCAAUUCACCAUCCAGAAGAACAUUGCUCGGCUUGAGAUCACAAUGGACUAUUGGAUUUUCGCAGUAGUGAUGAAGAUAAUCCAAUGCGGAAGCCACAUCAACGGCAAUAUUCAGUCUUUGGAGGAGAUUUAAAUUCCUUGGUGCCUCAGGGUUUGGAUGCAACCAUUCCUCCAGGCUCCCGUUCACCAUGAACUCAUAAACUAAGGCCUCGAAAUCAUUUCCUUGAAAGUCAACACUUGCACACGAAGUUAUUAUUUUGACGAGAUUCCGAUGCCUAAUACUUCUAAAGGCUUGACACUCCGCUAUGAAACUCUUUGAAGCUCCUCGAUGUUGAAGAUUAAGCACCUUAACUGCCACCAGCGUUUCAUGAUCAUCAUCAUUGAGGAUUCCUUGAUAGACCGAACCAAAGCUACCGGCACCAAUCAAGUUUUCCAAAGAGAACCCAUCAGUUGCUUUGAACAGAUUCUGAUAGGACACUCGUAAAACCGAAGCCAAUACUGCUGAUGGAGGAGGGGCCGGCUCCCUUUUUGAUUUGCUCCGCCGGGAAGUAAUUAUCAAACACGACAUCCCUGUCACUAACAAAAUUACUGCAACUACAGGAAUAAUCAGUUUCAGGGAACGGGCACGUGAUUGCUUUGAUUCUUUGAUGGAACAAGUAGAUAAAUGCAACUCAGAUAUGCCACCACAGAGGUUAUCAUUUCCAUCAAGAGAUAUAGCACUUGAAUUGCUGAAGACUCCUUUUAUUGGUACUUCACCCUCAAAAUGAUUAGAAGACAGAUUUAAAUUCUGCAAAAAGAAAAAGUUUUCAAAAUAUUUUGGAAUCCGGCCAGACAAAUUGUUCCGCGAAAGAUCAAGGUUCUGAAUGCCUCUCAAAGAACUGAAUGAUGAAGGGAUAUUCCCUUGAAAGAAAUUACCAUUCAUGACGAGUUGUUCCAACCUAACGCAACUUCCUAGACUGUUUGGAAUUUCACCAGACAAUUUGUUCUCAGAUACAUCUAGAACACCCAGAUUUUUCAAGAUGCCAAAAUUUGAGGGCAAAGGACCGUUCAAUUGGUUUUGAGAUAGAUCAAGAUAGAUUGAUAAGGAAGAGAGACCAAUCACUUCAGUGGGUAUGGUACCAGUGAGGUUGUUAUUAGAGAGAUCUAAUAAUAUCAAGUUUUUGCAUUUCCCUAGACUUGAUGGAAUGCUUCCCUCUAACAUGUUUCCGUCAAAACUUAGUGUGAAUAACAAUGUCAAAUUUCCUACAGAAGAUGGAAUUUCCCCCAAAAACUUGUUCCCCUUCAGUCUCAACCUCUGCAGCUUUUGAAGAUCUCCUAUACUUCCCAGAAUUCGGCCUGUGAAUUGGUUGUCCCCAAGAUCUAAAAGCUCCAAGUUAACAAGAUUUCCUAAUCCACUUGGGAUAUUUCCGAACAAUUGAUUGUUUCCAACGGUAAAUCUUUUAAGUCGGGUUGACAAGUUCCCCACAGAUUCAGGUAACAUUCCUCCAAAAUUGUUAAUACUAAUUUCCAUCAUCUCUAGUCUAGAAGCGUUGACCAAAGAACUGACAAAUUCCAAGUCAUCUUUUUCCCCAUUUCCUAAGUGAUUCAGAGAAAAGCUAACCCGUUGGAGUUUAUAUAAAUUUUCCAAACUCGGCACCUUUCCACUGAAUCCAUUUUUCUGGAUUGUAAGUCUCAUUAGAUUUGAGGCAUUGGAUAUUGAAGCAGGAAUAGGCCCAGUAAACUGAUUAUUACCAAAGUUUAGUACUUCAAGAUUAGGAAGAGUGAAGCCUAAGUCUGAUGGAAGGCUUCCUUGAAGUUCAUUAACAGGAAAAUCCAAAAGACUAAGCGAAGACAAGUUGUAGAUUGAGAAAGGGAUUUCACCUGAUAGCUUAUUUGCUCCGAAUCCUAUUGAACGCAUCCUCUUAAGCUCGCUCAAGGUUUCAGGAAUUUGUCCCACAAACUGAUUUACAGCUGCUGAAAGGAACUCGAGUGAUGACAAAUUGCCAAAGGAAGAUGGGAUUUCUCCUGACAAAUUGUUGAAGUGUACUGCUAGAGUCCGGAGCUUUGAUAAGGAGCCUAGUUUCCCUGGAACUUUCCCCACAAGCUCAUUGAAGCCUAACCAGAGGGAUUCAAGAUUAACGCAAUGUGAUAGGUUGUCAGGAAUUUGACCUCUGAAUGUAUUUUUCUCCAGGCUUAAUUUUUGUAACCUGAACAGAUAUCCAAUCUCUUGAGGGAUUUCGUUGCGGAAGCUAUUGUUUUUGAGAUCUAACACUCUGAGAAAACUUAAAUUACCAAUGUGAGGCGACAGAGACCCCUGUAAGAGUAAAGAUGGAAGAAGUAAUGCAGUCACCCUUUGGUGCCGUCGACUGCAAGUGACACCUUUCCAUUGACAAAAGUGCCUGGAAUAGUUCCAUGAACUCAAAACCUCAAGAGGGUCAUGAGUAACUUUGGCCUUGAAUUCAAGCAAUGCAAGUUGAUCAGUUUCAUUGCUUUUGAGCAUAUAAUCGGUUGACUGCAAGCUGAAGCUGAAGCAACAGAAAAUAAAGAAACAAAUGCUUACAAUGAUUGAACUCAUCAUGUUUACAAAAUCCAUUUAACUGCCGAAGGAAAUUAAAAUGAUAAAACUUUUGUGGAGGUUGGUAAGAUAAACUAUGUUUGUAUAUUUUUUGCAAUGAUUUAUGGACUCUGUACUUGAUGCUCAAAUGUGAACCGGCUGGCACCGUGACAGUGAAACUAAUACUUUUUGUUUUUCUAAUAAUAUUAAUUAUCAUAUUUAUUACUAUUGUAAGAAUAAUAUAUUGCAGCUUUAAAGAAAGACUCACCAUACUCCUUUUCGAGUCCUGUCAGUUUCCAGCAUUUGGUCAUUUUUUUAUUUCACCGCUUAAUCCACAGUAAAUAUAAAACAAUUUAAUCAACAAUAUUGAAAAAGAAAAAAAGUAGGACAAGAGAAAGGUAAAUACUGUUAAAUGAGUUGGGAAACGUUCAAAGCACGACGGGAAUUAAAAUUAUAAACUUUUAUAAAGGUUGGUAAGAAAAAACAUAUUUGUAUAUAUUUUUUUCAAUGAUUUAUGGACGCUAUACUUGAUGCUGAAAUGUGAACCGGCUGGCACCGGGACAGUGAAACUAAUGCUUUUUAUUUUUCUAAUAAUAUUAAUUAUCAUAUUUAUUACUAUUGUAAGAAUAAUAUAAUACAGCUUUUCCUUUAAGGAAGACCCGCCACACUAACUUUUGACGCUCUAUAAGUUUCCAGUAUUUUGUCAUUUUGUAUUGUAGUGCUUAAUCCACAAUGAAUAUAAAAGUUUAAAGCACCACAGGAUGAUGGAUGGAGUUUCACAUUACUGUUAAAUGACUUUGAAAGGUUUAAAGCACCACAGGAACCAACGUUUCACAAUGCCUUUUUCCCUUGUGAAAUAUUCAGUGCAGUCUCUCCCAGAUUUUGCUAGUGCAACAACGAGACGUCAUGCCGUUAACAAUUUUAAACUGUAAAUGACAUGUUGUUUUUACAAGACAUAUUAUGCGUCGAUACAUACCUUUUCUGGUUGUUGGUUUAUAAAAAUAUAUGAAACGGCAUGAGUGUGACAACUCUUGUAAAAUUUUUAAAAACAACAUAAUCAAUGGUAUUCUUAUCUCCCAGCUGCCGUUUGCCGUUUGGAAUUGUUCUGUAUAAGAUCUUGAUCAUCGAAUUUACCACUAGGGCGUAUGCUUUAUUUUCUCGAAUUACAUUGCUGCCUCAUCUUUUGUGUUUUCGGUUCUGUUGUGGAUCUCCUCUGUUUUUUUCUGAUUUUGGGCCCGAAGGGCACGUUAAUUGAAAUCAACAAAUCUGGUAAAAAUGACGUUAAAUUCGAUCAGAUUUACAUAUUUAAUUACAAAUGCAGUAACCCCGAUCAGAUGCAUACACUAAUUUUAUUUAUUUUGUCAGCUUUAACCUCACUGUCAUUUUGAAUAGCCUACAAGAGUCGAAUGACUAGAUUUCCAAUUUGCUAUCAUCCCCCUUGAAUGGGUUCAAGAAAUUCAGCAGGUUGCGAAACAAUAAGAUUCAUUCAAUCCGUGUAGAUAUCUAACUGACUGAAAUUAAAUAAAUGAUGAUGAUAAGAAAUUUGAAAUCAACAAAUCUCGGCACAUCUAUUCUGCAAUUUAGCCGUACUUCAAAUAAUCUUGCGAUAAAAAUUUCUUAAAAAUCUCAGAAAGAGGACAGAACAACCAAGGCAUCAGCGAAAGCAAUCGAUGUUAGGAAAUUGGUGGGUGCAGCAGUACCGCAACUAAAAUAAAAUUGGAAAUAAAAUAAAGAACAAGCACAAUAGAGGACACCAAAAAUUACGUGGUUCGGCUUUUAGCCUACAUCUACGGGCGAAGACAGAAGGAAAUAUUUUACUAGUGAAAUAAGGAUUACAAGUAUUGUAAGAUUUUAGCUCACUACCCAAAACCCCAAUACACCCAAUCUCUCACUCACUACACAUGCAAGAGUUUAUUAAACUCUUGAAAACUCUCAACACUCAAAGAAAGAAAAAUUUCUCUCAAUGGAAUUGAAUACAAAAUGAAAUGAGGAGCUCUGCCUUUUAUAGCCAAAAAAUGGCUAUUAAAUUAUUAUUUUUACCACCGUCUUCAUUCUGCUAUUUUCUUCUUUCUUCUUUUUUCUUCAUUCCAAAUUUGCUGCUGCCAAAUUCUUCAACAUUUUCUUUGGCCGGCUGUCAAAGCCAACUUUGCUUAUUCAAGGGUUCUAGAUGCAGUAGCUUCUAGAUGCAGCCAAAUUUGACAUUCUCCCACUUGGAGAUUAGAUUGAGAAUCAAUCAAUCUCCACAUCAUCCUUUCUGUUUCGCCAUAAUCAUGUUGCCUACGUUGCUGCUAGGCCACAAGAGGAUCUACUCCAGAUAAACUUGUCAGCAUUUAUUGGCUUGGUCAAAACAUCUGCUAGGUUCUCCUUCGUAUGGAUUUUCUGCAAAUCCACACUUCCAUCUUCCACUACUUCUCGAACGAAGUGAUACUGAACUCCUAUGUGCUUUGUCCUGGAAUGAAAGGCUAGAUUCCUUGCAAUGUGCAAGGCACUCUGACUGUCACAAAACACAAGAAUUUUCUGUUGUUUGUGCCCGAGCUCCUCCAAUAAUCUUUGUAUCCAAAUAGCUUCCUUGCAAGCUUGUGUAGCUGCCAUGUAUUCUGCUUCUGUUGUAGAUAAUGCCACAACGGUCUGCAGUUUCAAAACCCAGCUUACAGCUGCUCCCGCAAGUGCAAACACAUAACCAGUAGUGGAUUUCCUUUUAUCAAGGUCUCCUGCAAAAUCUGAAUACACAUAGCCCCUGACAGUAAACUCUGAUCCUCCAUAACAUAAUGCAACAUCUGAGGUUCCUCUGAUGUAUCUCAGAAUCAUCUUCACAGCUAUCCAAUGCUCUCCGCCAGGAUUCGCCAUGUAUCGACUGACUGCUCCCACUGCUUGUGCAAUGUCCGGUCUUGUACAUAUCAUAGCGAACAUUAAACUUCCCACUGCUGAUGCAUACGGUACUCGAGACAUCUCCUUCCUCUCUGCUUCAUUGCUAGGACACAUACUUGAGGAUAAUUUGAAAUUAACAGGAAAUGGGGUAGAAAUUGACUUACAAUCUUGCAUGUUGAAGCGCCGCAAGAUUUUCUUCAAGUAAUUCUUCUGUGAUAGCCAAAUCUUCCUGUUAUUUUUGUCUCGGUGAAUUUGCAUCCCUAGAAUCUUGUUUGCUGGUCCCAAGUCCUUCAUUUCAAACUCCCUAGCCAACUGUGCCUUCAAUUCUUGGAUUCGAUCUUUGUUGGGACCUGCUACCAACAUGUCAUCUACAUACAACAGCAAAAUGAUGAAAUCAUUAUCUUCAAACCUCUUGUAAUAUGCACAAUGGUCUGAACUGAGUCUGUUGUAUCCAAGGCUCAUGAUGAAGGAAUCAAAUCUCUUAUACCAACACCUCGGCGCCUGUUUGAGACCGUAUAGAGAUUUGUUCAACUUGCAAACCAAGUUCUCCUUUCCUGUUUCUGCAAAACCUUCUGGUUGGAGCAUAUAUAUUUCUUCUUCAAGUUCUCCAUGAAGAAAUGCAGUUUUCACAUCUAACUGCUCUAGAUGUAGGUCAAAUGUAGCACACAUUGCCAAGACUAUUCUGACUGUUGUGAGUCGAACCACGGGCGAAAAUAUCUCGUUGAAGUCAAUGCCUUCUUUCUGAGCAUAUCAUUUCACCACCAAUCUUGCACGAUACCGCUCCACUUGGUCAUUGCCAUCACGCUUGAUCUUGUAGACCCAUUUGUUUCCAAUGGCUUUUCUUCCAUGUGGUAGUGGUACAAGUUCCCAUGUCUUGUUCUUGUGUAGAGCUUCAAUUUCUUCCUGCAUUGCUGUCAUCCACAAAGCAACAUCUGAGCUGUUUAAAGCUUCAUGGAAAGUUGAAGGCUCUCCAUCCUCUGUUAAAAGACAGUAUGCAACGUUGAUCUCUGUGACAUACUCAGAGUGCCACACCGGCGGUCGUCUCUCACGAGUUGACCGACGAACUUCUGGAGCCUCGGACUCGACUGGUUCUUGUUCCUCGUGCUCUGGUGCUGCUUCAGAAGAAUCUGAAUCUUCUGGAUUAUUUUCUACAUAUACCGGCACAAUCUCUGACUUUUCUUUUACAGUGCCAUCAUCUCCAUCUUUCAUUUGCAGUUGAUCUUCUACAAAAAUAACAUCUCUGCUGAUGACGAUCUUGUGGGCAGUGGGGUCCCACAGACGAUACCCCUUUACUCCAUCAGCAUACCCCAAGAAGAUACAUCUUCUAGAUUUUGGAUCCAACUUUGUUCUUUCUUGGGCAUUGUACAUCACGUACACAGGACAUCCAAAUGCAUGUAGGUAGGAAUAAUCAGCUGGCUUUCCAGUCCACAUCUCCAUCGCCGUCUUCAACCCAAUCGCUGUAGAUGGUGAUCGAUUUACUAUAUAACAGGCAGUUUUGGCUGCUUCUGCCCAUAAUGAAUUGGGUAAACCAGCAGUCCUCAACAUAGCUCUUAUUCUUUCUGUAAGAGUUCUGUUCAUCCGCUCUGCCACUCCAUUUUGUUGAGGAGUGUACGCCACCGCGAACUGCCUCUGAAUACCUUCUUGCUUACAGAAAGCAAGAAACUCGCCCUCUGUAUAUUCUCCACCAUUAUCCGUCCUCAAGCACUUGAUCUUUUUACCAGAUUCAAGUUCCACACGCGCUUUGUAUUCUUUAAACACAGGAAAUACAUCUGACUUUUUCUUAAUUGGAUACACCCAACAUCUUCUAGAAUAAUCAUCAAUGAAAGUCACUAUGUACUUUGCACCUCCCAUGGAUAUAUCCGGUGAUUCCCAAACAUCAGAAUGAAUCAAGUCUAGAAUGCAUUUACUUCUAGCAAUAGAUCUACUGAAUUUUAAUCUAUGCUGCUUACUUAUAACACAAUGCUCGCAAAAUGGUCUGAAUUUUAAUCUAUGCUGCUUACUUAUAACACAAUGCUCGCAAAAUGGUAAACUUACCGAUUUGAGCCCCGGAAGCAAUUUUCGCUCAGAGAGAAUCUUCAAGCCUUGUUCUGACAUGUGACCAAGUUUGAGAUGCCACAUCAUCGUUGAUUCUUCUCCAUUUGACGCGACACACGUAUUAGCCUCCUGUAGUGUUUCUCCUCUAAGCAUGAAUAGAUUAGCACCGAUCUUUUCUGCUUUCAUCAAUACAAGCGCGCCUUUAACGAUCUUCAUAAUUCCAUUCUCCACAUGAGUUUUGUACCCAUGACUAUCCAUGUGUCCCAAAGACAAUAGAUUUUUCUUCAAGCCAUUGACAUGUCGUACCUCUCCAAUUGUGCGAAUUGUACCAUCAAACAUUUUUAUUUUGAUAGUACCAAUACCAGCGAUCUCCAAGGCAUGAUCAUCUCCCAUAUAUACAGAUCCUCCUGAGAUAGGUUCAUAUGUGUGGAACCAUUCUCUCCGAGAGGUCAUGUGCCAGGUAGCUCCUGAGUCUAUAAGCCAGACAUCAGACAAUCGUUUUCUGCCUUCUGAAACAGUUGUUGCCUCGCUGUAAAGAAUUUCGCCAUCAUCUGAGGUACUUGCUACACAACCCUGAGCAUUUGAUGACUCAGGUUCUUUUCCCUCUUUUCUCUUCUGGUUACUCCAACAUUCUUUCUUGAUGUGCCCUUUCUUGCCACAUUUGUAGCAUUUAACAUUAUUCUUACUCAUGGAUUUUGAUCUACCCUGAUUUUGACUCCCACUGGGGCCACGUUCCGUUGAUCUCCCUCUCGUCACCGAUAGCGCCUCCGCUUGCUGCGAACUUGCUUGUCUGUUUUCCUUAUUUUUCCACCUGCUCUCCUCAUUUAAUACGGAGGCUGCAACAUCGUCGAAAACUAGACUCUCCACUGGAUUGUUGUUCGUCAGGUUGAUGAUGAGUUGAUCAUACGAAUCUGGUAGACUUUGAAGUAGAAGCUCUGCACGUUCAUUUUCCUCUAUAUUAUGACCCAACAUUGUGAGUUGUGAAAAUAGAGUCUUCAAUGUGUUGAUGUGGUCGGUCACCAUUGUAGAUUCCGUCAUUCGAAGAGUAUAGAGUUUUCUCUUCAAGAAGAUUUUGUUGUGUAGUGACUUGGCCUCAUACAAUUUUGUGAGAGUAUCCCAUAUUUCCUUCGCCGUAUUUUUCUCUGCCACACUGGAUAAUACUCCAUCCGCAAGUGCCAAGUGUAGAUCAGAAAUGGCGUUGCCGUCUACCUCGUUCCACUUGUCAUCAGUUAUCUCCAUGGGCCUUUCUCCAAUUGCUGCCAAACAAUUAUUUUUCCUCAAUACAGCUUUCAUCUUCAUUUUCCACAAUGAAAAAUUAUUUCCGUUAAACUUCUCAAUUUCAUACUUUGCCGCCAUUUUGUUGAUAAAUACUGUACACAAGUUAGUGUACCACCUUGAAUAGUUGUGAGUAUGUGUGAUAAUGCACACCAGGAAAGUUCCCAGGAAAGACUGGAGGGGUCACAAUGGUCCCACUUAAAACCCAGACUCCUUAAGCUCUUAUCGCCUUUGUGACAGAACUUUCCUAGACAUGUACAAAACCACAGUUGUUUUUCUCACACUACUAUUCCCUGCUUUGCACCGGAAAAUUCUUGGAUCGCUUCCACCGUUUCACGUGAAUAGUACCGUAUACGUGAACAAUACCAUAUAUGUGAACAAACCCGUAUACGUGAACAACACAGUAUACGUGAAUAGUGUCGUAUACGUGUACAGUGCCGUAUACGUGAAUAGUACCCCUUACGUGAACAGUUCCCGACUCCAAAAAUACAACCAAUAGCUCUGAUACCACUGUUAGGAAAUUGGUGGGUGCAGCAGGACCGCAACUAAAAUAAAAUUGGAAAUAAAAUAAAGAACAAGCACAAUAGAGGACACCGAAAAUUACGUGGUUCGGCUUUUAGCCUACAUCCAUGGGCGAAGACAGAAGGAAAUAUUUUACUAGUGAAAUAAGGAUUACAAGUAUUGUAAGAUUUUAGCUCACUACCCAAAACCCCAAUACACCCAAUCUCUCACUCACUAGACAUGCAAGAGUUUAUUAAACUCUUGAAAACUCUCAACACUCAAAGAAAGAAAGAUUUCUCUCGAUGGAAUUGAAUACAAAAUGAAAUGAGGAGCUCUGCCUUUUAUAGCCAAAAAAUGGCUAUUAAAUUAUUAUUUUUACCACCGUCUUCAUUCUUCUAUUUUCUUCUUUCUUCUUUUUUCUUCAUUCCAAAUUUGCUGCUGCCAAAUUCUUCAACAUUUUCUUUGGCCGGCUGUCAAAGCCAACUUUGCUUAUUCAAGGGUUCUAGAUGCAGUAGCUUCUAGAUGCAGCCAAAUUUGACAAUCGAGGCAGGGCACGCUCAAGCCACGAAUUAGAGGAAUUUUAAAUAUCAAAACCAGCUCAGAAUAAUAAGAAGUAAAAUGAAACUAAAAAAGGCUCAGAUUUUUGGAUGAGUGAAGGGAAGAUGAGAAGAUGAAAUGCAGAAAGUCAAGAAAUGAAUAAACCAAUAUUAAUAAUCUUGGACCCACAUCUCUAAUUUGGAUUAAGCAUCCAUCUGCCUAUGUGGAUAAUAUUUUUGCUAAUUUUUCAGCCAUGCAGCAGGAUCAUGUUCGUCUUGUUUUAUUUGAUAGAAGGAAUUUUCCCUUGGAAGAAAAUGAUGAGUCGUUUCAACGUAAUGCAGCUACCUAGACUGCAUGGAAUUUCACCAGACAAUGACAAUUUAUUCUCAGAUAUAUCUAAAUCUAACGCCCCCACAUUUGUUUAGUCACCCAAAUUUGAAGGCGUCCGUUUUGAGACUGAUCAAAACUUUUUCCAAAAAUUCGGGAUUCAGGUCGAUCAGGCCGGUUAUGUUUUGAAAACUUGUAAAUUUUCAGUGAUCAAACUUCAAAACUUUGCAAAUAGGUCAAAAUAUGAAAAAUUCUUGAUAUAUUAUUGAAUACUCAUUUUGUUUUGCAUUAAUAUAAGGCUAUGGGUGCUAUCUAGUAAUGUUGGUAAAAUUUCUUGAGUUGAAAACAAUAAAACGAAAAUAGCUCUAAUAGAUCCACCCCUGUUUGAAACUCACUCAUAUGGAUGGGAAAGAAAUUUAGUUACCAUUGGAUUAAAAAAUAAUUAUUAUUAUUAGAAAAAAAAUUGUAAGGCUUCGACAAGAUUUGCUAAUCAUGUAUAGGUUAAAAUUUAUGUGGGUUUGGCCACCAAUUUAGCAUUAGGAACUUAUUGUUUAGGAAGCUAUGGUGGGUGUCGUAGUGGGACUUAUUCUCUUUAAUGCAUAUGGUGAUUUUAAACCAACAUUUAUAUAAUCCCAUUAUAAAACUCAUCAAACCUUCUAAAAUAACAUGUUGAGAUAGUGUGCUAGAAGUAUUUCUCCAACUUCUUAGCUUGAAGCGAUGUUCAUUUCCAUUGAUAGUUUAAUGGGCAAAGCCUUUUGAAUUCUCCAUGUUAUCAAGUUAAUUUUUGCUGGAAAAUGCAAUCCGGAUAUGAAUAGAAUUUUUUGUGCAAUCGAAUUUUCUAUGUUGACACAUCUUCUGGAACAUUCAAUAAAUUUUAUGGAGAAGUUUUAAUUUCUUAGUUGUUGAUUUCGAAUAUAUUAAGCUCUUAUUCAGUAUUAAAGUAUUGUGGCCUAAAAGAUAUAGUUCGUAUGGAAAGAAAUUUGUAAUUACAAAAUAAAAAUUGAUAAAGUGUGAUAAAUAUAAUUUCAAAAUAAAAAAUAAACUUAACUUCAAAAUUACAAUAGUAAUUAUAAAGUAUUUACUAAAUACAUUAGUGUUGCAGUAACUGCCCUACCACAAUGACAAAUAGGGGGCUAAUACUACAAAUUGUUCCAUUAAAAGUCACCCAAAAAGGAAGAAGUGACUUAAAAAAUUAAAAGAAUGCAGGAGCUGAAGUUGGCUAUUUUGUAAAUUGCAAUGGCAAUUGUGGCCUAGUAAAAUCCCUCAAUGAGUCACAGCACUAGCAAUUUCGUAAUAUACAUUAGUGGCAAUUUUGUAAAAUUGAAGUAAUGAUAGUUUUGCAAAUAAAAGUAAAAACUUUUUCCCUAAAUUCGGCUGAGCUAAAAACCAGCUUAGCCCACAGUCUCCUUCGCCACCGGUUGACGAGCUCUUCCUUCAAUUUUUGAACUUGAAGUGAUGCCCCAUCGAUGUCCAGAAUUUUUAAAGUCUCCCCAUUGUACAAGUUAAACAAUAAAGUCAGAAUGAUGAUCCUAAUGAUUCUUUUUAGAGAGUCACCUGUACGUUGAAGUGUUUAAUUGAUGUUUAUUUAAGCAGAAAUUGAAGUUUGAUCCUGAUUAAUUAGAUGAGAACACACAUUCAUGAGUAAAUACUUAAAAUUAAAUUAAUCAAAAUAGUAUAAAUACAGGAGAAAAUCGAUCAUAUGCGUACAGAAAUCACAAUCGAAUUAUAUAUAUCACCGCCGCACAGAAAUAACAAUUAAAUUGUAAUGUCAAUUGUCCACAUAAGAUUUUUUUUUUUUUUUUUUUUUUUUUUGUUGAUGAAAGUUAGUAAUUUUUUUCCAUCUUUUUAAAUAAUAGUUGUUAAUAAAUAUCAAGAAAAUAUUGGGACUGGAGAUCAGGGUCUACUUAAGUUAGAAGUGAGAGUAGUGCAGAUAUGUGGGGAUUAUAUGCAAGGUGGCUUAAAAGUAAAGGAGAUCUUACAAUGUGCUCUGAAGCCCUCUUAAAGCAAGUCAGAUCAUAUCAGGUUUCUCCAUAAAUCUCAUCAUCUUAUAAUAAGUUAGCAUUAUGUUUUACUUUGAUGUUGAUGGAAUUUGUUAAUGCUAAUCAAAUUUUGUUAAUCUCCCUCUCUUUUUUUUUUAAUUUAAAAGAAGGCAAAUAAAAAGCUUUGUGAUUUCAUUUUUGUUUUCUAAAUUUGUUAUCUAAAGGAAUGACAAGUUGAUAACUCAGCCUCUGUGUGUGUGUGUCUGUGUCAGGGAUCUGAUUUGUGGAAAGAUAGAGAUCGGUUUAAAAGGUUUUCAUAUGCAUCCUUGGAACUUUGUAAGGUUUACAUGGAAAUUUCUUCCUCUUCCGGUAGCCGUCGAGAGCUCUUUGCUGCUGAGAUGCACCUGAAGAACGUACUUAAACAAGUAAAACACCUUAUAAUUCGAUAUUUAAGACACUUACAGUUGGUUUAAAGAUUGUAUUUUCUGUUUCUGUUUUUGACUGGUUCAGGGUAAAACUUUUUCUCACUGUGUUAGAGUGCAUUUCUGUUAUUAUAUAGUUUCUUAGAAGAAAAUGCACUUUUUGGAAUCUCAGGCUAAAGGAUUUUCUGACAUGGAAGAGUUCAGGGAUCUUCAAGCUUGCCUUGAUGAAGUGAAGACAAAACUCCAAUCUGGUCCCGUGGCUACCUAAGUAUCAGGAAUGUGCUAUUUUUGAAAUUUAGUAACAAGGUUAAAUCUGCAACUAAAAAUUAUUUUAGUUUGUACUGUAGUGGAGACCUUAAGCAGGACUGAAUAUCUUGUAUUGUUGUAUCACCUUUUCUGUAACAAAACGGUCUAGUUUUACUAUUUUUAUUAUUUUUGUAUUUUCGGUGCUGUAACUAAUCUCAUUUGACAAUUUAAAUAUAUGGCUUCAAGUUCUUUAAAUGUAACAUCAAGUGUUGUUUCAACCUCUGUUCUUUUAUGUAUUUCUUGCAUGCGGUGAUUUCAUUAACCUCAAUUUAAGGACAAUUUCAUAUCUUUUUUCUUUCUGCUUUUCUUUUAUCAUUUAAAAACAACACACACACACACACACACAUUUAUAUUUCAGAAGAGGAAAUUGCACGGGAUAUGACUCAAUACUUGCUAAAUGCCAAGACUAUGACCCAAUUAUUUACAUGCCGAGACUAUGACCGAAUAACAAGUGAAAGUACACAAAUAUCCUUAUAAGUAACUAAGUUAAAAAUAUAAAACUUGAGUUAGGAAGUUUAGGAAUGCAUUGAACUUGUAUUCAUUACUUUGAUUAAUCCAUUUACCGUUAUACAAGACAAUAACACGUACCAUAUCCAUUUACAUAAAAAUUAUGAGUUGACAAAGUAAGAAUAUUAACAAAAAUAAGUUGUUAAAAGUUCUUGUAGACUUCUGUGCUUCAGUUCUAGACUUCUAGAUUUAUAGACUUACCUACAUGUCUAUAAGUCUAGAUGUAAAGAAGUCACGAAAACGAUAACAAUGAUAAACAAACUCAAUUCAACAACAAAUUUGAUGUGUAAAAAUUGUGUUGAAGAAUUUUUUGGAAUCUGUUUGAAUUUGUUAAGGGAAUGUGAUGAUUUUAGUAAGUGUUUGAUAACAACUUAGAAUGUUGGACGCAUUAUAGUGCUGGGUGCAUGCUUUUGUUGGAAAAGAUAAGGGCAUUUUAGACUAGGGAUCACCAAAAUGUCAUACAAAUUUAAUUGAGUAAAAUUUGUCAUAUUUAUAUAAAAUGUACAUGAUUUUGUCAUAUAUAAAUAAAAAACCCAUUUCAGAAAGCAUUUAAACAAAGCGAGAGUACAAUAAAAAACCCAUUUUAGAAAGCAUUUAAACAAAGCCAGAGUACAAUAUAGAAAGAUUUUACUCAUUCUAAGUGUGUACCAAACAAAGAAAUGAACUCUCCUUUUCUAGUUAUAUAAUUAUUACAUGAAAUUAAUAAAAACAUGACGAAUUAUAAUUCCUUGCGAUAUAGUGGGGGUUAUAGAAAAGUCAAGAGUUGCUAGUGGAAGAUAAUAGGGAGAGUACAAUAUAUAUAUUAUGAACAUUCACAUUUAUUUUAAUAAAUUCAUAGCAUUUUUUUUGCUUAAAUAACAGGGUGUAUGUAUAUAUAUAUUGACAUAAAAAUUGCAUGACGUGUGGUUUAGCGUUUCUUGGUUGUUCAGUGCUAGUUUUAUGUCAAUUUUUAUUGACAUAAAAAUUGCAUGACACAAAAAAGGCUGUUUUAACCAACUAAAAACCAAAAGCUAAAACCCAAAACCCCCCUCUUUUUCGUUUUCCAGGGACUUCACCUUGAUAUUCAACCAACACUUCUGAUGUCUGCCCUUCAAUAAACCAAGUCAUUCAUACACAUGAUUCUACUAUUGGUGAUGCCUCUGAUGUUUUUGUGACCCCAAAAUUAUUGGGGAAUAGUCAUGAAUCUGAAUCUGGAGUCCAAUGCAUUCACGCUGGUGGCUCAGCAGCCCAUUUAAAGGCAAUCCAACAGGCAGUGAUCUUGUCGAGGUGCCUUCUAAUAGAAAAGAGCUCAUGGCAAGAUGAAAUGCAAAGUAAGUUGUUUUAUGGUUGGCCGGUGUGUAGUCAUCUCGUUAAAGGCCAUAAGAUGUUUAGCAUAUUGCUAUUUAAUUUUUAAAUCAUUCUCAGUAAUAAUUCCUUUAGUAGAUUGAUGAUAAGAGAUUGCAUUACAGAUGAUAACGGAGCACAAUUUUUGUAGUUGUAUCCCUGUACAUCCAUCUUAAUAUCCUCAUUAUAUUCACAUGCCUUUUACGGGUGUUAUUUCUGGAUGCCGAAUGCUUUGCUCCACGUCUGGAUACCAAAUGCUUUGUUCCACAAAGCUGAGCUGGUUGAAAAGCUAGCUGAUGAGGUCAACACGUCCCUUAAGUAAUUUGAGGAUGAACACUGUGUUCCCGAAAGUCUUACUCUAAUGAUACUUAAAGAAGCAAUGAGAAUGGAUGUUGCAGCAGCUUUGCUGAACUCAACUCCAGUUCCAAAAAUGGAACAUGUGAAAACCGAAAAUGCAUUGUUUUUUUUUUUUUCCUCUUUAUGACUUCUCUAGUUGGGGAAUGUAUUAGAUAUUCACCUAAUCAGUAGGCCUUGAAGGGAUCCCAUGUUAGCCCCUUGAUGUUGGUCUGUAACUAAGUAAAUACUUGACCUUGAAAAAGCUUUUGGAGGCAUCAGUUUCUCUCUGACUGGUGCUACUUUUUGGAUCUGUUGAUUUGGUCAUUUGCUGAUUUAUAGUUUGUUUUCUGAUUCAGGAUGGGAUAUGGCUCCAUACAUAGAGGCAACUGAUUCACAGCAGUCGUCAUGCUUCAUUGUAAAUAUAUAUACAAUACAGCAUCAGUUUUUCUUGAUUUUAAAUCUCAUAUUCUGAAGUGGUACUUCUGAUUCUCACAUGAUUUUUCCAUCUUUCAGCUAAAGUUUUUCUGUGAUCUCUUACGUAUUAGAUGGGAAUCCACCCGCAGUCGCACAAAAGGGCGUGCUUUAGAGAUGAUGGACAAACUGGUAUGAUCUGUGAGCCUUUUCUUCUUAAAUAUUUUGUUACCUAAACCAUUUUCAUUCAAAUUGACAAGUGUUGCUUAUCAAUCUAUAGAAGAUUCCAAACUUUCUGCAGCUAGUACUUUAUUGGACCCAAAAGCUUUUUUGCUUUUUCUAAGCUGCUAAUCAGGACUAGGUUUCUCUCCCUUAUAUCGCUAGAUAUCCCAUUAAUCGUUUGAUUUAGUUGUCUAGAGAGAUUAGGUACUUGCAUCUUCGCUUUUCACUUCACAAGUGAUUUCAUGUGCUAUCCUGUAUUCUGGUUCAAGAUUUUUGAAGGUUGCUUACCAUCAUAUUUUGCUUUGUUUCAGGUUGAGGGCAUUUCUAAUUCUUCUCCCGGUGUGACUCAAAGGAUUCCCUUUUGUUAUGUGAUUUAAGUUCCAACUAUUCCUACCCUGCGAAAGUAAUACUAUUUCUUUUGCUUCUUUGAAUGAUUGUGAUUUAAUUUUCUUGUCAUUUUGCCAACUAUCAUUAUGCUGUCAUUGUUUCAUAUCUUAUUUGACAUAUGUUGAUUUGGUUAGAGUUUAAUUGCUCUGUUUAUUCUCUUUAUAAUCUGUCUAUUUCGAUUUUUCUUGAUUUUAGGGAAUAUGCUGAACUUUUAGUAAGCUGUGGCUUGAUUGGAGAGGCUAUUAAAAUUUUUGAGGAUCUGGAGUUGUGGGAUAAUCUAAUAUACUGCAACUGGUAUGAUGUCAUAGAUAACCAUUAUCCUAAUCUCUCUGUCUGUCUGUCUGUCUCUAUCUCUCUCUUUCGUGUUGCUAAUGGGAGUUGGUUUUUUGUAUGAUGUAAAAAACAGCCUAUUGGGGAAGAAAGCAGCAGCUGUUGAACUAAUAAAAGCAAGGCUGUCUGAAAAGCCUAGUGACCCUAGAUUAUGGUUGGUUAAUGAGCCUUUUCUAUGAUCCAUUUUAUAGUUACUUCUCAUUUCAGUUAAAUCCAUUGUUGAUGUCACUUAUUGCAAUCUAGGGAUAAUUGUUCAUUGGUUGUAAGGAUAUUGUCAGAAGAAAAUGAAACCUUUUAAUUUUGUCUUUUACUUGCUGUAGCCGAUUUAAAAGCUCACUGUGCGUUCUUACUGAUUGCUUUUGGUCUUGCAUUUGAGUCAAUGGAUUUUAUACUCAUAUUCUGACAUUUAUUGUUAGUCUUCUGACGGUUCUGCACCUUGGUCCUAUAUUAUCUUCAGCAGUAUUAUCUAAAAGAUAAGUUUUUGCCGAAGAAAAUUUGCAUUCUAAACUAGAAAAUGAGGGGCCGGGGGGAGGGGGGGGGGGGGGUAGGUUGGGAGGCAACGGGAGACUGUUUUCCACUUAUCCUCUUCCCUGCCUGCAUUUUAGAUGAUUUUGAUGCACCAGGUGCCGUGAAAUGGUUGAGAAAUACAUACCAUCAAGUGAAUUCUGAAAAUCAUUUCCUUUUUGAAAAUAUUUGGUGCUAGACAUUUGAAUAUAUGGCCACAAUUUAAACAAUAAAGAUUUUCUGCAUUGAUUUCUUAUAAUGGAUAGAUGCAUGUAAGUAAAAUAUGAUAUCUUUUGAUUAUUGGCCCAUUUGUUCAGAAAGAAGGAAAAAAAAAAAAAUACAUGGUUGAAAGACAACUGUUACUUGACCUUAUGAUACAUUUUGUAGGUGUUCAUUAGGUGAUGUUACAAAUAAUGAUGCCUGCUAUGAAAAAGCUUUGGAAGUUUCGAAUGAUAAGUCAGCUCGAGCUACGGUGAUAUUGUAGUUCACAUUAUGCUUGUGCCGUGAUCAUUUUUUAGUUAACAUAUCUUUAUGUGAAUCAGAGGUCUCUAGCUCGUAGUGCAUACAACAGAGGGGAGUACGAGACAUCUAAAAUCCUUUGGUAUGUUGCUUUAAUGCUUUACUUCUCUUUCUGCCACACAGUAAUUUGCUGCAUUGACAACUGAUACGGCUGAAUGACAAUUUACCCUUGGUUUUGUCUCGGGGAGGCUGCCAUGGCCUUGAAUUCUUUGUAUCCGGAUGGCUGGUUUGCUCUUGGUGCUGCUGCAUUGAAGGUAUCAUAUUUUUGUAUUAGUAUGUGUUUAGUGUGAAGCAAUUUCUUAUCCUUUUGCCCCAAGUUUCUGAAACUCUCGGCUGAAAUAUAAAUACAGGCUCGGGAUGUUGAAAAGGCUCUGGAUGGGUUUACUCGGGCUGUUCAACUUGAUCCAGACAAUGGGGAAGCUUGGAACAAUAUUGCUUGCUUGUAUGCUCUUUUCUUUGUCAUCAUGUCAUUCCAUCCUCUUGCUCUGUAUUCUUUAAUAUUGUGUCAAUCACAUUCAUCUUCUAUCUGCAAGAGUAUGCUUCCCAUAUUUGGUUUACUUUGUUUUGACUUUCUUGUUGCAGUUGUUCUAUAUAAAUUUUAUAUGGUUCCAUAUUCCCUUGAUGAGUGAAUUUAGUUGCUGCAAAUGUUAAGAACUAGAUAGUACUGUUAUAAUUAGGAAUAGGGCAAAUAUUAGCCAGCUCUUUUGAGGAUUAUCCAUAGCAUAUACCUCCGUCGUUUUCAAAGCGAUUGAAGUUCUCCCUUUUGUCUUAUUUAAAAGAAAAAAGCACAAAUUGCUUCCCUCACAUCUAUCUACAGUCUCUUUUCUCUCUGUUUAAUUUUUUCUUGUGCUUAUUAUUUGUCUUUUAAUGCAUCUUUUCUUCUUAUUUUAUACUGUACUAGAAUUUGUGCUGUCUCGAUUUUAUCUUGCAUGUGAGUUACUGUGUUUUUCGCAAUUGUAGAACUUUAUUUAGCAGCAUAAUUAUUAGUUAGUGAGACAUUAAUUGGUUAAUACCACUUGUGAAGAUACGAAGAGCUACUUAUUCUCUCUUCUAGUACAUUUAAAAAAUUCAUGACAAAAUAUCUGGGAUGGUAAAAUUCUCGUCAAUUAUAACUACGGAAGUCUUGAGAUUUAUGUAGUCUUGCAGGCAUAUGAUCAAGAAGAAGAGCAAAGAGGCUUUUACAGCAUUCAAGGAGUCCCUAAAGUUGAAGUUCUGUCUUUUUUCCCCCUGAUCACUACAUUUUUAUUUUCUGUCAUGCACAAUGCAGUCGGACACUAUCUGAUCACAAGAAAACUGUCAUACAUAAUUUGUUGCUGCUAGGCAAAAGGUGAUAUCUAAUGUAAUAACCUAUAACAUGAUUUUGUAACAGACGGAACAGUUGGCAAUUGUGGGAAAACUACAGCCAUGUUGCUUUGGAUGUGGACAAUAUUGGUCAGGUAACCGCGGUUGUGCGCUUAAUGUCCAUCAUUUAUCACUGAAAUCUUUUGAGAUGAAGCUGGCAUUUCCUUAGCCACCCUCUGAUGGUUUUGAUUGCUUCAUGUAUGUUGUCAUCUUUGUCAACUAAUGAAAGCUGCAGAGAUUUUGUCAUCUUUUCAUUUAAAAGAAUUUGAUAGUUUAUAGCCCAUUGUCAUGUUUGCAUAUGUAUGUUAUUGUUCUUUUGACCUUUUUGUACCUCAGCUUCAUCCUUUUAUGCAAGCAAUUCUUUGUCAAGAAAUAUCUGGUUAACAAUUUCUUCGCAUGAAUAUUUUUACGGUCAUCAAGGUCCUUGAACAGUCAUGGUUAAUUGAUUACAGAUUCUCAAAUUUAUAAUUAUUUUUUUCAGGGUCAUUGUCCUUUGAUAUAUGCAAUUGAUGCAUGACUUUCUAACCAUUAUCUCCCUGCCUUCACCAUGGUCGUAUAAAUAUUUUGACAAGUGGGGAUUUUAUGAUUACUGUGUGCUAGGAAUUUUUUUGGUUGGAAAGAAAUGGGAGGAUUUUUCAAGAAGCUAGGGAGGGAAGACACCAAAUUUUUUUUGGUGGAUAAAGCCUGCUGUCACUUUGGGCAUCAAUUUCUAAUGAAUGCAAUAAUGUUCCUUUCUUUGCUAUUCAUUAAAAUUGAGUUGUUCUUCUUGGAUGGCCUUCUUUUUACUUCCCAUCAUUUUGCCAGCUUGUUGAUUGUCAUUUUUGCUUGUUGGCAGUCUUUUCCUGCAGUGUUGAUAAUAUUUAAUUAUAAUAUUAGACAACAGUGUCCUCAACAUGAUCUCUCUCCCAAAUUAUUACUCUUUUAUUCAUUAUACUUUUAGCAGUUUCUUUAUUUUUGUUAUAUUUUAUGUUUUCAGGCUCUAGAGGCUGUGCAGAUGGUGUUGAACAUGACUAAUAAUAAACGAAUUGAUACUGUAUUAUUAGAAAGAAUAGUGCUAGAUAUGGAAGGAAGGACUUCAAUUAUAGAAUCUGAGUCUUGCAGGACUACCCAUAAUCUUAACAGAACUAAUAACACUUGUGCAAAAGAUUAACCUGUAGAAUCUGUCCAUGUAUCAUCACCUGAGGAGUCAAUCAUGGGAAGAUCGCGAGAAAAUGAGCACUUGAUGGAGUUUCUUGGGAAAAUUCUUCAGCAGGUUGCACAUGGCUCCAUGAUCAUCUUUUUUCUGUCUUUUAAUACUGAGCCAAGGGACAGUCUCUCUCUUUCACGCAUAUCCACAACACAUGUACAUAUUUCUCAUAUUUCUAUGCGUAUAUAUUGUCAUUUCUGAUCUUUCUUAGUUUAUAUGAUAAUUGUCUUUGGGCAUAUGAUUCAUAUUUUCUGGGCACCCUAUGGUCUGUGGGUCAAUAAUAAUCCAUAGUAUCUGAAUUUCUAGACAAAAUUGGUCAUUUUAGCAAAUCAUUUGGAUGUAUCUAUGCAGCAGUUUACUAUUUUAGUGCUUGCAGGAAUUGGUAUGCUUAAAUUUUGGGCUUAAAUUGUGUGAAAAUAAUCAAAGUGAUAUGCAAAUUAAUUCAAGCCACAUGAGGAAAGAAUAUCCUUUUUUUUUUUUUUCAGCUUAUGUUACAUGUUUCUGUGUAUGGCAUAGGUAGUUCGAAGUGAGAGUAGUGCAGAUAUGUGGGGAUUAUAUGCAAGGUGGCUUAAAAAUAAAGGAGAUCUUACAAUGUGCUCUGAAGCCCUCUUAAAGCAAGUCAGAUCAUAUCAGGUUUCUCCAUAAACCUCAUCAUCUUAUAAUAAGUUAGCAUUAUGUUUUACUUUGAUGUUGAUGGAAUUUGUUAAUGCUAAUAAAAUUUUGUUAAUCUCUCUCUCUCUUUCUUUUUUAAAGAAGGCAAAGAAAAAGCUUUGUGAUUUCAUUUUUGUUUUCUAAAUUUGUUAUCUAAAGGAAUGACAAGUUUACAAUUCAGCCUCUGUGUGUGUGUGUGUGUGUGUGUGUGUGUGUGUGUGUGUCUGUGUCAGGGAUCUGAUUUGUGGAAAGAUAGAGAUCGGUUUAAAAGGUUUUCAUAUGCAUCCUUGGAACUUUGUAAGGUUUACAUGGAAAUUUCUUCCUCUUCUGGUAGCCGUCGAGAACUCUUUACUGCUGAGAUGCACCUGAAGAACGUACUUAAACAAGUAAAACACCUUAUAAUUCGAUAUUUAAGACACUUACAGUUGGUUUAAAGAUUGCAUUUUCCAUUUCUUUUUUUGACUGGUUCAGGGUAAAACUUUUUCUCACUGUGUUAGAGUGCAUUUCUGUUAUUAUAUAGUUUCUUAGAAGAAAAUGCACUUUUUGGAAUCUCAGGCUGAAGGAUUUUCUGACAUGGAAGAGUUCAGGGAUCUUCACGCUUGCCUUGAUGAACUGAAGACAAAACUCCAAUCUGGUCCCGUGGCUACCUAAGUAUCAGGAAUGUGCUAUUUUUGAAAUUUAGUAACAAGGUUAAAUCUGCAACAAAAAAUUAUUUUAGUUCGUACUGUAGUGGAGACCUUAAGCAUGACUGAGUAUCUUGUAUUGUUGUAUCACCUUUUCUGUAACAAAACAGUCUAGUUUUAUUAUUUUUGUAUUUUCGGUGCUGUAACUAAUCUCAUUUGCCAAUGUAAAUAUAUGGCUUCAAGUUCUUUAAAUGUAACAUCAAAUGUUGUUUUCAACCUCUGUUCUUUUAUGUAUUGCUUACAUGCCGUGAUUUCAUUAACCUCAAUUUAAGAAAAAUUUCAUAUCAUUUUUUUCUGCUUUUCUUUUAUCAUUUAAAAACAACACACACACACAUAUAAGCAAAGAAGCAACUGAAAGUUAUCUUCAUGUGAGAAUGAAAACUUUUCAGCAGCAUAACCCUUUCACUGUUCAAUUCCAAACAUGUUCCUCAACAUGAUAACAAAUUCGCAGACCUUUUCUGGGUCUGGAAGGAUCCUCGCAACAGUUUCUCUUUGCAUGCACUCAUUCUCAACCUUAAAUCCCCCAAAUUUCUCAACCGCGUAAAACCAACAAGUCAGUGGAAUGGCAAUGACAUCAACGAAUCCAAAGCUAUCCCCGCCAAAGAAAUCCUUCUCCCCUAAAGCUCCCACAAGUUGCUUCAAUAUCUCUAUAAAUUCAUUCUUCGCCGUCCCUGGGACCUUGCCCUUGCUUUUCCAUAUGUUGCAUACUGCAUCGAUUACCUGCCAAAAGAGUGGUGUCAUCUUUGCAUUUAGAAAGAUACAAACAUUUACACUUGAGAAUUAUAGACUGACCUUCUUGUCAAUAAAAUCUGCCCAGAACCUUGCCUUAGCUCUCUCAGAAGCACAGGAUGGGAGAAGUGGUGGCGAAGGCCAAGUCUCGUCAAUGUAGUUAACUAUAACGGUGGAUUCACACAAUGGUUUCCCAUCGUGUAGCAAAACUGGGACUUUCUUGUAGAUGGGGUUUGAUUUGAGCAGCAGGUCACUCUUUGCCCCCAAACAAGUUCUCAGCUCUGGCUCAUAUUCAACUCCUUUCUCAGCCAAUGCAAUCUUUGCCCAACAGUCCAAAAGAACAACCUCUCCCUUUGACAAAUUCACUUUCUUUGUUCUUGUUUCUUUUAGUUGGCUGAUAGUAAUUAAACCUUGAGUAUCAAGGUUAAUUGGCAUUUAUAAAGGAGAAAAGAUGAAAUUCCCAAAGUUUGUGUCGCAAUCAACUUUUGUUCGUUGGCACUUCCUUAAAGGAUGUGUUUGAGGGAAAUACUCCGACGAGACCAGACGUGAUGAGCAGAUGUUUAGUGGCAGAAUUCUGCGAGCAGGUAUGUCCUGUAAGAGCCAGGUAGCAGGGGAACAGGGGCAGGAAUAUCCUGCUCAUCCACGAGCACGUCAUCUGCGAGGCCAAUUUCCUGUAAGAGGCAUAAAGCCAUUCCUGCUGUAUUCUCGCUGAGGGUUGAUUCGAGGAGACCCGGUCAACGACAGUUGGCGAGGCAUGCUCUCCAGCCCGAGAAUCUAGGCACGAAGGCCACGCAACCACCCAUGACUACGGAAAUGGGGAAUCCACGUUCGAGAGGUGGGAGGAUAACGGGCGUAGACUGCGGAAAACUGGGAUUCAGAGGAAGCCUAUAAAAAGGUAGCCAACGAAGGUAAAAGGGUUAGCAUUUUUGAGAUUAGAAGAGAGCUAAAGAAAUUCUAAAGAAGAGCAAACUACGAAAAAGCCAUAAGAUUUGUGGCAAACAUUCCCAGAACCCCUAUAUCUGACUUGAGCGUCGGAGGGUUUGCGCCGGGAAAACAACCGGCGUACUCUGACUUGUCUGUGUGCGCAGGAACCUCUGGAGAAGAAGCCUUACGAGGAGACCUCCUGGUCGUGGUGAAGUUGAUCGAGCAGAGAGCCUGGUCGUAGAACGAGGAGAACCAGAAUCUCGCAUCAAUAGGAUGUGGCAUUGUUCUUAUCAUUUCUUAGUUUUUGAAGCUUACUGUUUUACUUGGCUUUCAACAUGCACAAGAACAAGUUUGUCUUGUGCAUGCGGAGUUUACUAUGGACAAGCCGAAUCGUAAGUAACCAUUUACACUAAUCAAUCGGUAUUGUCCAGUGAAAAUAAGUAAUGUAAAAAGUGUCUAGGAUUUUUCCUAAUAUUUCUCAAAAUAGGCUCAUUAAGCCCAAUUCUGGUGCUAGAUUGGUUCAACUUUGAAUCAAACUUGGAAACAUUUUUCUUUAGAUUAUUAUUAUUAAUUUAGAAGAGUCAAAAAGCUAAGAGUAUCGUUAGUAAAUGUCAAACAUGUGUAAUAUCACAUAUCACUAGUCAGUGAGUUUCGUAAACUUUCCUAAUUAAGAAGACACGUUUUGAGUUGUAAAUUCUAACACAAUAUCUAUUCAGUUGUUUAACUUGGAAUAUUACAAUUAUAUCAAUAUUGUUUGAUGUGGGCACACAACCUUGCGUCUUCUUAGUUAGGACAGCCAAUUAAAUCCACUUCUUAGCGAUGCAGGGGAUGAUACAUAACUUGUAUGUGCACGUUGGCGGAGUAUCCCAAUUAUGCACUCAUUUGUCUUCUUGUGUUUUAAAAAAUCUAUUGUACUGGAUAUACUGUAAAUUUAUCAAAUUGCUUGUUAUAAUGCUUCUAUUUGCGUUGUUAUUCGAGUUGUCAUUUUGAGUUUUAUUUUAUUUUUUCUUUAAACAUAAUUAAUUUGAAAUGUUCUUUAAUUUUCAUUACACUUGAGAUCAUCAAAUAAGUGAUUCGUGAACAUAAUUGCUGUUGUUACUCGAAUAAGAAAAGAAAACAACGAUUUGCUAAGGUAAAAGUAAAUGGAAAUGAGAGCACGUGAUUUUGCAAAGAGAACUUCACACUAUCAUAAAACCGAAAACAUUACAAUUUAAAGCUUAAAUAACAACACACCAAAGCCAAAUAACGACCCACUAGAAUCACGGUCCAAAGAUUGUGCCAUGAUCACAACAUGAACUACAAAAAAAUAACCAACACCAGAAAAGUAGGAACAGUUUAAAACUUUCAUUUAAGCAGCAUUUAUGAUUCCACAUCAGCAGUCCUAAACACAUCUUCUAACAAUUGCAACUGUUCAUUUUUGCUUCUGCCAAUAAGGAGUUGAUAGUAACCAAAGAUUGUUGUCUUUAUUGUCAUUUGAGAGUAACCAAUUACUUACGCAGUCACGUAAGUUGCUGGUAGGCCUCGCACAUUUUUGACAAGUUUGUUUCUGAAGGAAAGCAGCUGAGCCGCAACCUCUUCCUUGUUCAUUCGUUCUCUCGGCAACUCUGAAGAGCAAAUGACUCCGAUUUCCAGUACUGAAACCAAGCACUCUUUACCACCAAAACUUCUAGUCCUUUGUUUGUGAGCAUUGGCCUCGCUUGUCUCCCCUUCUUCUCUUUCUACAAGAAGCACUGGAUUAACAAUUUCAGCGAGUCUUUCAGGAAGAGCUUCCUUGACAAAAUUAUGUAGGGUUAGAUUGCCUGUAAACAUCUCAUUCGUCGGCCCCUUUCCUGUAAACAUUUCCAGCAAAAGAAUGCCAAAACUGUACACAUCUCCACUUGUUGAGACUUCGCUCCCCAUUCCGUACUCUGCAAUUCGAAAAUUAAAAUUGUUGGUUCAACUAGUAAAAUCUCCGAGGAUUGAAAAACAAGUUGAUUAAAUUAGAGUAUUUACCUGGAGCAGCAUAACCAACAGUUCCUUUUACUCCAACAGAGCUUGAUUGAUUAGAUGACAAGUUAUUGGCGGCUUCCGGAAGGAAUUUUGCUAAUCCAAAAUCACUUACAUGGGCAGUCAAUUCACCAUCCAGAAGAACAUUGCUUGGCUUGAGAUCACAAUGGACUAUUGGAGUUUCACAAUAAUGAUGAAGAUAUUCCAAUGCGGAAGCAACAUCAACGGCAAUACUCAGUCUUUGCAGGAGAUUUAGAUUCCUAGGUGCGUCACGGUUUGGAUGCAACCAUUCCUCCAGGCUCCCGUUAACCAUCAACUCAUAAACUAAAGCCUCAAAAUCAUUCCCUUGGAAGUCAACACUUACACAGGAAGUUAUUAUUUUGACGAGAUUCCGAUGCCUAAUACUCCUCAAGGCUUGACACUACGCUAUGAAACUCUUUGAAGCUCCACGAUGUUGAAGAUUAAGCACCCUAACUGCCACCAGCGUUUCAUGAUCAUCGUGAUCCAGGAUUCCUUUAUAGACCGAACCAAAGCUACCGGCACCAAUCAAAUUUUCCAAAGAGAACCCAUCAGUUGCUUUGAACAGAUUCUGAUAGGACACUCGUAAAACCGAAGCCAAUAAUGUUGAUGGAGGAGUGGACGGCUCCCUUUUUGUUUUGCUCCACCAGGAAGUAAUUAUCAAACACGACAUCCCUGUCAGGAACAAAAUUCCUGUAACUAUAGGAAUAAUCAGUUUCAGGGAACGGGAACGUGAUUGCUUUGAUUCUUUGGUGGAGCAAGUACAUAAAUGCAACUCAGAUAUGCCACCACAAAGGUUAUCAUUUCCGUCAAGAGAUAUAGCACUCGAAUUGCUGAAGACUCCUUUUAUUGGUACUUCACCCUCAAAAUGAUUAAAAGACAGAUUUAAAUUCUGCAAAAAGAAAAAGUUUUCCAGAUAUUUUGGAAUCCGGCCAGACAAAUUGUUCCGCGAAAGAUCAAGAUUCUCAAUGCCUCUCAAAGAACUGAAUGAUGAAGGGAUAUUCCCCUGAAAGAAAUUACCGUUCAUGACGAGUUGUUCCAACCUAAUGCAACUUCCUAUACUGCUUGGAAUUUGACCAGACAAUUUGUUCUCCGAUAUAUCUAUAGCACCCAGAUUUUUCAAGAUACCAAAAUUUGAGGGCAAAGGACCAUUCAAUUGGUUUUGAGAUAGAUCGAGAUAGAUUGACAAGGAAGAGAGACCGAUCACUUCAGUGGGUAUGGUACCAGUGAGGUUGUUAUUAGAGAGAUCUAAUAAUAUCAAGUUUUGGCAUUUCCCUAGACUUGAUGGAAUGCUUCCCUCUAACAUGUUUUCCGCAAAAUUUAGUGUGAUUAACAAUGUCAAAUUUCCUAUAGAAGAUGAAAUUUCCCCCCAAAACUUGUUCCCCUCCAACCUCAACGUCUGAAGCUUUUGAAGAUCUCCUAUACUUCCCGGAAUUCGGCCUGUGAAUUGGUUUUCCUCAAGAUAUAAAAGCUCCAAGUUAACAAGGUUUCUUAAUCCACUUGGGAUAUUUCCGAACAAUUGAUUGUUUUCAGCUGAUAACAUUCUAAGUCGGGUUGACAAGUUCCCCACAGUUUCAGGUAACAUUCCACCAAAAUUGUUAUCACUAAUUAACAGUAGCUCUAGUCUAGAAGCGUUGACCAAAGAAUUGAAAAAUUCCAAGUCAUCUUUUUCCCCAUUUCCUAAGUGAUUCACAGAAAUACUAACCACUUCGAGUUUAUGUAAAUUUUCCAAACUAGGCACCUUUCCACUGAAUCCAUUCAUCGCGAUUAUAAGUUGCAUUAGAUUUGAGGCAUUGGAUAUUGAAGCAGGAAUAGGCCCGGUAAACUGAUUAUCACCAACGUUUAGAUAUUCAAGAUUAGGAAGAGUGAAGCCUAAGUCUGAUGGAAGGCUUCCUUGAAGUUGGUUGACAGUAAAAUCAAAAUCACUAAGCGAAGACAAGUUGUAGAUUGAGAAGGGGAUUUCACCUGAUAGCUUAUUUGAAUCAAAUGAUAUAAAACGCAUCCUCUUAAGCUCGCCCAGGGUUUCAGGAAUUUGUCCUACAAAUUGAUUUAUAGUUGCUGAGAGGACCUGGAGUGAUGAUAAAUUGCCGAAGGAUGAUGGGAUUUCUCCUGACAAAUUGUUGGAGUGUAUUACGAGAAUCCGGAGCUUUGAUAAGGAGCCCAGUUUCCCUGGAACUUUCCCCGCAAGCUCAUUACUGCCUAACCAGAGGGAUUCAAGGUUAACGCAAUGCGAUAUGUUGUCAGGAAUUUGACCUCCAAAUGUAUUGUUGUCCAGCCAUAAAAAUCGUAACCUGAACAGAUAUCCAAUCUCUUGAGGGAUUUCGUUGCGGAAAAUUAGAAUUAGAUAUAUUGAUUUGGAAUGUUUGUUUACAGAGAAAAUCUGAGCAAGAGAGAAAGAAAAUUUAUUCUUGUUAUUAUUAACAAAAUGGGAUCACCAGCUUAUAUAUGUUGCUUGCUGGAAUCUCUUUUACGCACUCAUCACUUUCACGUGUAUUUCACCUUUUUAGAGAAGCUAAAUAACAAACUAAACAGACUAACGACUACUUUGCUGACUGGACUGCCACGUCACCAUAACUGAAUUAACUAAACUAAUGCUGUUAACACAUAUUCUUAUCAUCCCCCCUCAAGCUUAAGUUCGGGGAAGAACAUUAAGCUUGGUACGAAGAUAAGCAAACUGAUCAAAGAAGAGGGGCUUGGUGAGAAUGUCUGCAAGUUGUUCUGAACUAGAAACAUGACUGAUAGUCAGUUGCUUCUGUGCAAUGUGCUCUCGAAUAAAAUGAAGAUCCAACUCAAUAUGUUUUGUACGAGAGUGAUACUUGGGGUUGCUAACUAGUGCCUCAGCACUCUGAUUAUCACAAUACAAAACUGGACUGUGAGUAGGCUGAAUAUGCAGCUCUUGAAGUAAAUAAGUCAGCCAAAGAAUUUCAGAGGUUGCUGAAGCAAGAGCCCGAUAUUCGGAUUCUGCUGAGGAAUGAGAAACAAUUGUCUGUUUCUUAGAAGACCAGGAAAUAAUGUUGUUGCCUAAGAAGGCACAAUACCCUCCAGUAGACUUUCGAUCAUCUGGAUCAGCUGCCCAAUCAGCAUCAGAAAAUGCUGUUAAAGUCACUGAUCCUGAAUUCCAAAGUGUGAAGUAGCUUGUAGAUAUCGAAGAACCCUUUUGCAAGCUUGCCAGUGUGCAAUAGUUGGAUGAGCUAGGAACUGACUGAGUUUGUUUACAGGGUAAGCUAUGUCAGGUCUGGUAAGCAACACAUAUUGAAGAGAGCCUACAAUGCUUCGAUACAAGGAGGGAUUAUCAAAGGCUGUACCACUGUCCUUUGUAAGCUUAGCACCUGGACUCAUAGGAGUGUUAAAACCUUUGCUGUCAAGCAUAUUUGCUUUGCUAAGGAUAUCACCAAUGUAUUUGGUUUGAGAUAAAUGCAGUCCCUGAACAGAGGGUGUCACUUCAAUACCAAGGAAGUAGUUAAACUCGCCCAGAUCUUUGAGUGCAAAUUCUGAAUGAAGAUAUUGAAUAACAGCCUCAAGAUGUUGAGAAUUAGAACCAGUAACCAAAAUGUCAUCAACAUAUAUAAGAAGGAGCACAAUAUCAUUGCCAAUAUGUUGAAUAAACAUAGAAGUAUCAGAUUUGGAAGAAUGAAAACCUUUAUUGAGUAAGGAACCCUUCAGCCUCUCAUACCAAGCCCGAGGAGCUUGUUUGAGACCAUAUAAGGCCUUGUUUAAUUUGCAAACAUAAGAUGGAUGUGCAGAGUCUAUAAAACCUUGUGGCUGAUGCAUGAACACAUCUUCUUCAAGCAUGCCAUUUAGAAACGCAUUAUUAACAUCCAGCUGUCUAAUUUGCCAAUGAUGCAUCACUGCGAGGCUGAGUACAACUCUGACUGUGCAAGGUUUCACAACUGGGCUGAAGGUCUCAAAGAAGUCCACUCCUUGAGUUUGAUGGUAACCCUUGGCAACCAACCUAGCUUUAUACUUGGAAAUGCUGCCAUCAGGAUUAUACUUCACCCUAUAGACCCACUUAUUGCCAACUAUUUUAGCAGCACUGUCAGAGGGUACUAGAGUCCAGGUUUGGUUCCUUUGUAGAGCAUCAAAUUCCUCCUUCAUAGCAUGAAACCACUUAGGAUCAUGCAAGGCACUUUUUACACUGGCUGGCACAAGAUUUUCAGUAGCUGCCAGAUAUGAUUUGGGUUUGAAAACACCAGCUUUAGCUCUAGUAAUCAUUUGGUGAGAUGGUAAAGAAGAUGAGUGAGGUGGUUCAGCUGAAGAAUGAAAGGAAGGAGAAGGCUGUGCUGAACUGGAACUUGAUGGAGAAGACAUUGCUGGCUGAGGAUUAGGAGAUGAUGACUCUACAGUGCUACUGUCAACCUGAGCAGAACUUUGAAGAAAGGAAAAUUGUACUGGUGAAGAUGAGACAUCAACAGUGGAGACUGAUGAAAUAGAGUGUUUCAAAAACAAUUCUUUGUAAGGAAACUCAGUUUCAUUAAAAACAACAUGUCGAGCAACAAACACUUUACCAGAGGAAUUUAAACAUUUAUAACCCUUGUGAAGGGGACUGUAACCAAUGAAAAUGCAUUUUUGAGUGUGAAAGUCAAGUUUAUGCUGGUUAUAAGGUCUAAGGAAUGGAAAACAGGAGCAACCAAAAACUCUGGGAAACUGGUAGUCAGGUAGUUGAUUAUGUAACUUCUGAAAUGGAGAUAGAUUGUUUAGAACUGAGGUGGGCAUCCUGUUAAUGAGGAAAGAGGCAGUGUGAAAGGCUUCCCACCAAAAGGAAAGAGGCAAUUGGGAUUGAGCUAGAAGUGUUAAACCUGUUUCAACUAUGUGCCUGUGUUUCCUCUCAACAACACCAUUUUGAUGGUGUGUGUAUGGACAGUUAUACCUAAAGCAUAUACCCUCUUGCUGAAGAAAGGUUUUAAAGGCUAUGAAUUCACCACCCAUAUCUGACUAUAGUGUUUUGAUAGACAAGGAAAACUGUUUUUCAACAAGAAGUUUGAAGUGUUUGAAGGUUUCUAAUGCUUCUGAUUUUGUUGUGAGAGGAAAGAUCCAAGAAUAUCGUGUGAAAUCAUCCACAAAGGAGAUAUAAUAUCUGUAUCCAUUCAUAGAAUAUUCAGGAGCUGGUCCCCAUAAGUCUGUAUAUAGAAGCUCAAGUGGUGCUUUUGUUUUAAUGGUAGUAACAGAAAAAUGAAGCUGAUGCAUUUUGCCAUAUUGACAGGCAUCACAAAAACUAAUGAAUUGAUUUGAAAAACAAUGCGUAGAAAGACUCUUAAUAAUUGUUUGCAAAGCAUGUUUAUUAGGAUGACCAUAUCGAUUAUGAAGUAACUGAACUGACAUCUUUCCAGUCUAGAAGAAUUUCCAGAAACAGAAUAUGCAAAAGAUUCAGUAGUAUUUACAUUGUGCAACUUUGACACAUGAUUAUUUGACUCUGGUAGAGAGUUUACAACUUUAUUAUCAACACACAAAGACAGCAUGGAACUUGGUUUAAAAGAAUUUGGAUUGCAAUCUGCAGAAUGGGGAGAGAACACAUCAAGUGACAGUAGCUUGUAAAGACCAUCUUCAACAAUCCCCUGUGCCAGCAAAAUUCCCUUCUUCUUGUCCUUAAUAAAACACAUGGUAGAAUAAAAUUCAAUGAUUAUGUUGUUAUCCAAAAGAAGUUUAGAUAUACUGAUGAGAUUUUUGGUUAUUUUGGGAACACACAAAGUAUUGGUUAAGGAUAAACAGGUGCCAAAAGAAGUAGAAAGAUAAGUGCAGCCAAUAUGUGUGAUAGUGAGACCUUGACCAUUACCAACAAACAACAAUUGAGUGCCAUUAUAAGGGUUACCUUCAACCAAAUUUUGCACAUUGUUGGUGAGAUGAUGAGUGGCUCCACUGUCCAGAUACCACCCCUGAUCAGCAACUCCUUCUGAAGUAGCCAUAUAAGCUGUUCUUGGCCCUUGAUUUGGCAUUGGAGAAUUUGGAAUAAAGUUUCUGUUAAAUCUGUUUCUGCAUCUGCAGCUGAGUGGUUUGGUUUGAAACAUAUUUGGCAGGUGAUAUUUCCUCUGCCACCUCCUCUACCAAAACCACCAGAGGAUGCUGGAUUUCUACCAUUAAAGCCACCAUUUCCAAUAAAUCCACCAGUAUUACCAUUAAAUCCACCAGAGUUUGAGCCUCUACCUUGAUUUCCAAACCAGCCUCUCCCUGAAUUUUGAUCCAUGAAGCCACCUCUGCCAGAUCCAUAACCUCCUUUGUUGUUGAAAUUACCAUUUCUAUUUCUAUUUACAAAAUUUCCAUUCCAAUUGCCCUGAUUAUUAUUAUUCCAAUUAGCAUUGUUUCCUGACUUCUUUUGAUUAUUGCCAGUAUUAGCCACAUUAGCACUAAAAUUCAACUUAGUUUCCUUAGCUACACCAGAAUGAUUACUCUCAAGCCUAGCUUCAUGAGAUAGCAGCAUAGAAUAAGCCUCAUUGAUACUUAUUUUAAGAGCAUUUGCUUCAAUAUAAACCACAACAGGGUAAUAAGACUGUCCUAGACCUGAGAUCAAAUGUGUAAUGAAGUCAAGAGAAGAAACUGAACUUCCAGCCAUUGCUAAUUCAUCAGUUACUGACCUCAGUUUACAAAAAUAUUCAGUAAUGGACAUGGAUCCUUUCUUAAGAUUGUUUAACAACAUCUUUAAAUGCACUUUCUUUGCUGCUGUUUCAAAUCCAAAUUGUUCCUCUAGACUUAUCCAAAGCUCUCGAGAGGUUUUAGAAUUUACCACAAUGCUUAAGAUCUCCACAGUGAUUGAAGACAGAAGCCAGCUCAAGAUCAUCUGAUCUUGCCUUUUCCAAGUGAUGCAAGCAGGAUUCUCUGAGACAACCACUGCAUCUGUGCUUGUUGAUUCUCCAGUCAGCAGCUGGUUUGGACAGGUACGUGAUCCAUCAAGAAAACCUUCCAGAUCAUUUGCUCGAAUGGCUGAAAGGAUCUGAGAUUUCCAUAUGGUGUAAUUCGAUCUGUCAAGCUUGAUUGGUGUGGUGAAAGUAAAUGUUGAGAUUGCGGAAGAGACAUUUGUACUAAGACUUGAAGAGGCCAUGAUCAUGAAGUGAUUCAAGGCUCUGAUACCAAAUUAGAAUUAGAUCUAUUGAUUUGGAAUGUUUGUUUACAGAGAAAAUCUGAGCAAGAGAGAAAGAAAAUUUAUUCUUGUUAUUAUUAACAGAAUGGGAUCACCAGCUUAUAUAUGUUGCUUGCUGGAAUCUCUUUUACACACUCAUCACUUUCACGUGUAUUUCACCUUUUUAGAGAAGCUAAAUAACAAACUAAACAAACUAACGACUACUUUGCUGACUGGACUGCCACGUCACCAUAACUGAAUUAACUAAACUAAUGCUGUUAACACAUAUUCUUAUCACGGAAGCUAUUGUUUUUGAGAUCUAACACUCUGAGAAAACUUAAAUUACCAAUGUGAGGCGACAGAGACCCCUGCAAGAGUAAAGAUGGAAGAAGUAAUGCAGUCACCCUUUGGUGCCGUCGACUGCAAGUGACACCUUUCCAUUGACAAAAGUGCCUGGAAUAGUUCCAUGAACUCAAAACCUCAAGAGGGUCAUGAGUAACUUUGGCCUUGAAUUCAAGCAAUGCAAGUUGAUCAGUUUCAUUUCUUUUGAGCAUAUAAUCGGUUGACUGCAAGCUGAAGCUGAAGCAACAGAAAAUAAAGAAACAAAUGCUUGCAAUGAUUGAACUCGUCAUGUUUACAAAAUCCAUUUAACUGCCGAAAGGAAAUUAAAAUGAUAAAACUUUUAUAGAGGUCGGUAAGAUAAACUAUGUUUGUAUAUUUUUUGCAAUGAUUUAUGGACUCUGUCUUUGAUGCUCAAAUGUGAACCGGCUGGCACCGUGACAGUGAAACUAAAACUUUUUGUUUUUCUAAUAAUAUUAAUUAUCAUAUUUAUUACUAUUGUUAGAAUAAUAUAUUGCAGCUUUAAAGAAAGACUCACCAUACUCCUUUUUGAGUCUCUGUCAGUUUCCAGCAUUUGGUCAUUUUUUAUUUCACCGCUUAAUCCACAGUAAAAUAUAAAACAAUUUAAUCAACAAUAUUGAAAAGAAAAAAAGUAGGACAAGAGAAAGGUAAAUACUGUUAAAUGAGUUGGGAAACGUUCAAAGCACGAAGGGAAUUAGAAAAGAAAAAAAGUAGGAUAAGAAAGUUAAGUAUGAUGGAUGGAGUUUCACAUUACUGUUAAAUGACUUGGGAAAGGUUUAAAGCACGACAGGAAUCAACGUUUCACAACGCUUUUUAGAUUUUUUUCUAAAAGGAAAAAGAUAUUCUCACAAAAGUAAGUACAAAAUUUCACACAAAACGGUGCAUUUAAAUAAAGUAAAAUUGCAAAAAUACUCAAAAUAUAUAAGAUUGAUUAUUUACACCCUCUUUGUUUAUCUUGGGUGAACUAUUUCUGGAAAAUGGGCAGAGCCUAGUUUGGUUCAAAAUUUGAAAUAACAAAAGGUAUAUUGGUGGAAAACCAGCGACAUAUUUUCUAAUGGUUAACCUAAAUGGGAAUUAUAUCGGUUUGUACUGUCAAUAUAACAAACAACUAACUAAAUUAUUUAGAAGUCAUGAAUAAAAAUGGAUAGAACAAGAAGUAUAUUGCUAUUCGAUGCAAGAAGUUGGAUUAUUAAACCAUAAUAAAAUAAUAUAACUACACAUGUGCAAUAUUAUUCACUAGAAAGAUUUAAUUUAGAUAUUAAACAGUUAGUGCAACUGUAUCGAUCUCAUGCUCAUUAAUUUAGAGUUUGAGAACUCAUAAUAAAAGAAAAUAGAAAUUUAAACAUAGAUCCUAUCCUAUUAAGUAGAAUCAGAAAAGAAGUUUACAGAAAUAAUUUUUCAUGGAAAUAAUGAAAUAUUAAUCCUGUUGAUGGAUAUAUUGGUGAAUACAUAAUAGAACAUUAUAAUAGAUUUUUAUCUAUCAAGCAAAGGGAAGAAUAUAAUUGGAAUAACAAAAGAAUUAGAAGUAAAUAGUAAUAUGCUAAUAGGAUAUAGAGGAUUAAUAUUAAUUAUCAUAUUUGUGUGUGUAUGUAUAUAUAUAUAUUUUAAAUGAUUUAGGGACUCUGUACUUGAUGCUGAAAUGUGAACCGGCUGGCACCGGGACAGUGAAACUAGUACUUUUUUUCCCUUAAAGCACCACAGGAAUCAACGUUUCACAAAGCUUUUUUUCCCUUUCUGAAAUAUUCGGUGCAGUCUCCCCCAGAUUUUGCUAGUGCAACCAAGAGACGUCAUGCCGUUAUCAAUUAUAAACUGUAAAUGACAUGUUGUUUUUACAAGACAUAUUAUGCGUCGAUACAUAUCUAUGAAUGGGUUCAAGAAAUUCCGAAGGUUGCGAAACAAUAAGAUUCAUUUAAUUAUGUGGGUUUGGCCACCAAUUUAGCAUUAGGAACUUAUUGUUUAGGAAGCUAUGGUGGGUUUCGUAGUGGGACUUAUCCUGUUUAAUGCAUUUGGUGAUUUUAAACCAACAUAUAUAUAAUUCCAUUAUAAAACUCAUCAAACCUUCUAAAAUAACAUGUUGAGAUAGUGUGCUAGAUCCAUAUAAAUAUUCAUUUCCAUUGAUAGUUUAAUGGGCAAAGCCUUUUGAAUUCUCCAUGUUAUCAAGUUAAUUUUUGCUGGAAAAUGCAAUCCGGAUAUGAAUAGAAUUUUUUGUGCAAUCAAAUUUUCUAUGUUGACACAUCCUCUGGAACUUUCCAUAACUUUUAUGGGGAAGCUUUAAUUUCUUAGUUGUUGAUUUCGAAUAAAAAAUAAACUUAACUUUAAAAUUACAAUUGUAAUUAUAAAAUAUUUACUGAAUACAUUAGUGUUAAUACUACAAAUUGUUCCAUUAAAAGUCUCCCAGAAAGGAAGAAGUGACUUAAAAAAUUAAAAGAAUGCAGGAGCUGAAGUUGGCAAUUUUGUAAAUUGCAAUGGCAAUUGUGGCCUAGUAAAAUCCCUCAAUAAGUCACAGCACUAGCAAUUUCGUAAUAUACAUUAGUGGCAAUUUUGUAAAAUUGAAGUAGUGAUAGUUUUGCAAAUAAAAGUAAAAACUUUUUCCCUAAAUUCGGCUGAGCUAAAAGCCAGCUUAGCCCACACUCUCCUUCGCCACUGGUUGACGAGCUCUUCCUUCAAUUUUUGAACUUGAAGUGAUGCCCCAUCGAUCAAAUAUUUAAGCAGAAUGAUGACGGAGUUACAAACAAUCAAAUAUGAUCCUAAUGAUUCUUUUUAGAGAGUCACCUGUACGUUGACGUGUUUAAUUGAUGUUUAUUUAACCAGAAAUUGAAGUUUGAUCCUGAUUAAUUAGAUGAGAACACACAUUCAUGAGUAAUUACUUAAAAUUAAAUUAAUCAAAAAUAGUAUAAAUACAGGAGAAAAUCGACCAUAUGCGUGCAGACACCACAAUCGAAUUAUAUAUAUCACCGCCGCACAUAAAUCUUAUUCCAAUGAUAUAUGAUUAAUUAAUUAAUUUUUUUAAUAACAAUUAAAUUGUAAUGUCAAUUGUCCACAUAAGAUUUUUUUUUUUGUUGAUGAAAGUUAGCAAUUUUUUUUCCAUUUUUUUAAAUAAUAGUUGUUAAUACAAAUCAAAAAGAUAUUAGCACUUGAGAUCAGGGUCUACUUGAGUUAGAAUUUUUUAUUAGAAAAGUUAUUAGCCAGCGAUGAAAAAUAAAGAAGUAACACAAGAUAAAGAGUAAAAUGAGAGAGUAUGUAUUAUAAAAAAUUUUUAUCCAUUUCAAGUGUGUACCAAACAAAGAGAUGAACUCUCCUUUCAUAAUUACAUAAUUAUUACAUGAAAUUAAUGAAAAUAUUAUGGAUUAUAAUUCCUUGCGAGAUAGUGGGAGUUAUAGAAAAGUCAAGAGUUGUUAGUGGAAGAUAAGAGAGAGAGUAAAAGAUAUAUGUUAUGAAGGUUUACAUUUAUUUUAAUAAAUUCAUAGUAUUUUUUUCCUUAAAUAAUAGGGUGUGGAGAACAAUUGGAAGGACUUUACGUGUGUGUGUAUAUAUUGACAUAGAAAUUGCAGGACGCGUAGUUUAGCGUUUCAAAUAGGUGCUCUCAGUUGGAAUUAUAUAUAGAACAUUAUUUAUGGCAAACAGGUGCUCUCAGGUGCUCUCAGUUUACGGCUUUUUACGGCAAACAGGUGCUCUCAGUUUUCAAAAUCUCGAGCGCGCGGGUUAUUUUUCAUUACCUUUAUCGCCGAAAGGCUGUUUUAACCAACUAAGAACUAAAAGCUAAAACCCAAAACCCCCCUCUUGUUCGUUUCCAGGGACUUUACCUUGAUGGCCGAAAAGCAACUGGAAAUCCUCCGCGGGUACGAGCUGCGGCUCUUGCCCUGCACCCUCGCUCCCCCACCGUCGGACCUUCGCAUUCAAUCGCAACCGUUGAACGAAGAAAGCCAAUGCUCUCUCCUUCCACUCCACGAGCACAUCAACAGCCUCAUCAACUCCAUCGAGUCCGGCCACUAUCUCCAGGCUCUGUCCUCCGACGCGGCUAAACACGCUCUCGACAAGCUCGAUUUCGUCGACAUCAACGACUCAGCCGAGUGUGCCGACCGCGUCUACUCCGAGCUGCUCCAGCUUGUCGAAGCGUUUAUAGUGAACGAUUCCGAAAAUGACGUGGAUAAGGCUUGUCAAGUUAUUCUGCUCAUGUGUCUUUCAAUUGCUGCUCUUUUUUGGUUCACUCAGUGUAACGUGACUGGGUGAGUUGCUUAUUUAUAAAUUUUUAAAUAAUUGCAAUUAAUAUAAUGAAUAUUAAUAAAAAAUUACAAAAAAAAGGUUUAGUGAUGAACGUUUGAACAUGAAUUAAUAGGCCUUUAGUUGAAAUUUGCCAAAGUGUCGGUUUCCACUAGAAGUUUCAACUUUAGAAGGCAACGAAUUGAUAGAGUGGGAGAAUUGGGCGCGUUAUCAGCUCAUGUCUGUUGGCUCUGACUUGCUGGGAAAGUUCUCCUAUCUUCAGGUACUCAGUCUAUCGAAAAAUGAAUAGAUUCUAUUGCUUAGACAGUGUUAAUGUUAAUAUUAUCUUUUUUAACUUAUUUUACAUUUUGUGAUCUUUUUGUAGUAUAUAGUUUUUGCCAAAAUGUUGAUCAUGAAGACAAAAGAUUUGCUGUCUGAUGCAACUGUGUUGCCUGUGAAUGGGAUUAGAACCAUUUCAUGGUGGCUCACAAGACUCCUACUUAUGCAUCAAAGGAUUUUAGACGAGCAGUUGUCUUCUUUGUAUGAUCUAUUGAAAGUUCUUUGUAUGAUCUAUUGAAAAUUUUUAGGGCUGAGACUUUACAACAUUUUGGCACUUUGGAAAAUGUUAGUACUUAUUGGGGCAACCAGUUGCAUGAUAUCGAUCCUUCAGAGAUUAUUUCAACAUUUCAUUUAGAAGCAGGACUGUAAGAACACAUUUACAGGAGAGUUGAUUCUUGCAGGUGAGUUAUCCUGGGAAAGUUUUAUAUUCGAUGGUCUUAUUUCUGGCUUCAUUAGAAAAGUUUUCUCUUGGAAACAUGUUAUUUCCAACAUGGAACUUGCCUGUAGAACUCUCUCCGUCAUCGAAAAUGAUUUUGUGCAUUGUGUGUAAGGGAGAUGCAAGAACAAAGUUUUAUGUUUGGACUUCAUCAAAAUCUCCCAUUUUUUUAAUGUUUAUUGUUUCAAUCAUUAAACAUUAGUUUGAGUUGUUAGCAGUGGAAUUUGCAUUAACUGAUUACUAACUUCCAUCAUUACCAUUAUUAUAGGACUUCUUCUAUAGUUUCUGCUGCUUUCUAAAAUGCUUUACUGUAUCAGGAAACAUUUUGAAUCAGCUGAAGUGGCAGCUGGUUUCCAGCUUUCGGUUAUUGGGGUUCUUGGUUUCCGUACUGUCCGUCAGGUAAAGAUUGAAUGUGCAUCAUUUAUAAAGUUGUCGGGAGCUUCCUUCUUAGCUUUGAGAUUGCUCCUGCAUAUAGGUAGAACCAAAGGCACAAAUGGUACAUGUUGCAAACACAAGCUCAUCCAGCACUUCUGAUGUCUGCCCUUCAAUAAACCAAGUCAUUCAUACACAUGAUUCUUCGGUGAUGCCUCUGAUGUUUUUGUGGCCCCAAAAUUAUUGGGGAAUAGUCACGAAUCUGAAUCUGGAGUCCAAUGCAUUCACGCUGGUGGCUCAGCAGCCCAUUUAAAGGCAAUCCAACAGGCAGUGAUCUUGUCGAGGUGCCUUCUAAUAGAAAAGAGCUCACGGCAAGAUGAAAUGCAAAGUAAGUUGUUUUAUGGUUGGGCGGUGUGUAGUCCUCUUGUUAAAGGCCAUAAGAUGUUAAGCAUAUUGCUAUUUAAUUUUUAAAUCAUUCUCAGUAAUAAUUCCUUUAGUAGAUUGAUGAUAAGAGAUUGCAUUACAGAUGAUAACUGAGCACAAUUUCUGUAGUUGUAUCCCUGUACAUCCAUCUUAAUAUCCUCAUUAUUCACAUGCCUUUUACGGGUGUUAUUUCUGGAUGCCGAAUGCUUUGUUCCACGUCUGGAUACCAAAUGCUUUGUUCCACAAAGCUGAGCUGGUUGAAAAGCUAGCUGAUGAGGUCAACAUGUCCCUUAAGUAAUUUGAGAAUGAACACUGUGUUCCCGAAAGUCUUACUCUAAUGAUACUUAAAGAAGCAAUGAGAAUGGAUGUUGCAGCAGCUUUGCUGAACUUAACCCCAGUUCCAAAUAUGGAACAUGUGAGAACCGAAAAUGCAUUGUUUUUUUUUUUUUUCUCUUUAUGACUUCUCUAGUUGGGGAAUGUAUUAGAUAUUCACCUAAUCAGUAGGCCUUGAAGGGAUCCCAUGUUAGCCCCUUGAUGUUGGUCUGUAACUAAGUAAAUACUUGACCUUGAAAAAGCUUUUGGAGGCAUCAGUUUCUCUCUGACUGUGUGCUACUUUUUGGAUCUGUUGAUUUGGUCAUUUGCUGAUUUAUAGUUAUUUUUCUGAUUCAGGAUGGGAUAUGGCUCCAUACAUAGAGGCAAUUGAUUCACAGCAGUCGUCAUGCUUCAUUGUAAGUAUAUAUACAAUACAGCAUCAGUUUUUCUUGAUUUUAAAUCUCAUAUUCUGAAGUGGUACUUCUGAUUCUCACAUGAUUUUUCCAUCUUUCAGCUAAAGUUUUUCUGUGAUCUCUUACGUAUUAGAUGGGAGUCCACCCGUAGUCGCACAAAAGGGCGCGCUUUAGAGAUGAUGGACAAACUGGUAUGAUCUGUGAGCCUUUUCUUCUUAAAUAUUUUGUUACCUAAAUCAUUUUCAUUCAAAUUGACAAGAGUUGCCUAUGGAUCUAUAGAAGAUUCCAAACUUUCUGCAGCUAGUACUUUAUUGGACCCAAAAGCUUCUUUGCUUUUUCUAAGCUGCUAAUCAAGACUAGGUUUCUCUCCCUUAUAUCGCUAGAUAUCCCAUUCAUCGUUAGAUUUAGUUGUCUAGAGAGAUUAGGUACUUGCAUCUUUGCUUUUCACUUCACAAGUGAUUUCAUGUGCUAUCCUGUAUUCUGGUCCAAGAUUUUUGAUGGUUGCUUACUAUCAUAUUUUGCUUUGUUUCGGGUUGAGGGCAUUUCUAAUUCUUCUCCCGGUGUGACUCAAAGUAUUCCCUUUUGUUAUGUGAUUUGCGUUCCAACUAUUCCUGCCCUGCGAAAGUAAAACUAUUUCUUCUGCAUCUUUGAAUGAUUGUGAUUUAAUUUUCUUGUCAUUUUGCCAACUAUCAUUAUGCUGUCAUUGUUUCAUAUAUCUUAUUUGAAAUAUGUUGAUUUGGUUAGAGUUUAAUUGCUCUGUUUAUUCUCUUUAUAACCUGUCUAUUUCGAUUUUUCUUGAAUUUAGGGAAUAUGCUAAACUUUUAGUAAGCUGUGGCUUGAUUGGAGAGGCUAUUAAAAUUUUUGAGGAUCUGGAGUUGUGGGAUAAUCUAAUACUGCAACUGAUAUGAUGUCAUAGAUAACCAUUAUCCUAAUCUCUCUGUCUAUCUCUCUCUUUCUCUCUCUUUCGUGUUGCUAUGGGAGUUGGUUUUGUGUAUGAUGUAAAAAACAGCCUAUUGGGGAAGAAAACAGCAGCUGUUGAACUAAUAAAAGCAAGGCUGUCUGAAAAGCCUAAUGACCCUAGAUUAUGGUUUGUUGAUGAGCCUUUUUAUGAUCCAUUUUAUAGUUACUUCUCAUUUCAGUUAAAUCCAUUGUUGAUGUCACUUAUUGCAAUCUAGGGGUAAUUGUUCAUUGGAUGUAAGGAUAUUGUCAGAAGAAAAUGAAACCUUUUAAUUUUAUCUUUUACUUGCUGUAGCCGAUUUAAAAGCUCACUGUGCGUUCUUACUGAUUGCUUUUGGUCUAGCAUUCGAGUCAGUGGAUUUUAUACUAUUCUGACAUUUAUUGUUAGUCUUCUGACGGUUCUGCACCUGGGUCCUAUAUUAUCUUCAGCAGUAUUAUCUAAAAGAUAAGUUUUUGCUGAAGAAUAUUUGCAUUCUAAACUAGAAAAGGAGGGGCCGCCCGGGAGGGGUGUGUGAAGGAAGCAUCAGGAGGCUGUUUUCCAGUUAUCCUCUUCCCUGCCUGCAUUUUAGAUGAUUCUGAUGCACCAGGUGCCGUGAAAUGGUUGAGAAAUACAUACCAUCAAGUGAAUUCUGGAAAUCAUAUCCUUUUUGAGAAUAUUUGGUGCUAGGCAUUUGAAUAUGUGGCCACAAUUUAAACAAUAAAGAUUUUCUGCAUUGAUUUCUUAUAAUGGAUAUAUGCAUGUAAUUAUAAUAUGAUAUCUUUUGAUUAUUGACCCAUUUGUUUAGAAAAAAGGGAAAAAAAAAAAACAUGGUUAAAAGACAACUGUUACUUGACCUUAUCUUGGUCUCUUCACUGCCGUUUGUUUCCCAUAACUUCUGGUGAUAAUGUAGCCAGAAUGAUGAGUUGAAUUGUGGGUUGCUGACUUGUGAUACAUUUUGUAGGUGUUCAUUAGGUGAUGUUACAAAUUAUGAUGCCUGCUAUGAAAAAGCUUUGGAAGUUUCGAAUGAUAAGUCAGCUCGAGCUAAGGUGAUAUUCGUUGCACAGAGAAAAUGUAGUUCACAUUAUGCUUGUACCAUGAUCAUUUUUUAGUUAACAUAUCUUUACGUGAAUCGGAGGUCUCUAGCUCGUAGUGCAUGCAAUAGAGGGGAGUACGAGACAUCUUAAAUCCUUUGGUAUGUUGCUUUAAUGCUUUACUUCUCUUUCUGUCACACAGUAAUUUGCAGCAUUCACAACUGAUAUGGCUGAAUGACAAUUUACCCUUGGUUUUGUCUCAGGGAGGCUGCCAUGGCCGUGAAUUCUUUGUAUCCGGAUGGCUGGUUUGCUCUUGGUGCUGCUGCAUUGAAGGUAUCUUAUUUUUGUAUUAGUAUGUGUUUAGUUUGGAGAGAUUUCUUAUCCUUUUGCCCCAAGUUUCUGAAACUCUCGGCUGAAAUAUAAAUACAGGCUCAGGAUGUUGAAAAGGCUCUGGAUGGGUUUACUCGGGCUGUUCAACUUGAUCCAGACAAUGGGGAAGCUUGGAACAAUAUUGCUUGCUUGUAUGCUCCUUUCUUUGUCAUCAUGUCAUUCCGUCCUCUUGCUCUGUAUUCUUUAAUAUGGUUCCAUAUUCCCUUGAUGAGUGAAUUUAGUUGCUGCAAAUGCUAAGAACUAGAUAGUACUGUUAUAAUUAGGAAUAGGGCAAAUAUUAGCCAUAGUAUCUGAAUUUCUAGACAAAAUUGGUCAUUUUUGCAAAUCAUUUGGACGUAUCUAUGCAGCAGUUUACUAUUUUAGUGAUUGCAGGAAUUGGUAUGCUUAAAUUUUGGGCUUAAAUUGUGUGAAAAUAAUCAAAGUGAUAUGCAAAUUAAAUCAAGCCACAUGAGGGAAGAUUCUCUUUUUUUUUUUUUUAAGCUUAUGUUUCAUGUUUCUCUGUAUGGCAUAGGUAGUUGGAAGUGAGAGUAGUGCAGAUAUGUGGGGAUUAUAUGCAAGGUGGCUUAAAAGUAAAGGAGAUCUUACAAUGUGCUCUGAAGCCCUCUUAAAGCAAGUCAGAUCAUAUCAGGUUUCUCCAUAAAUCUCAUCAUCUUAUAAUAAUUUAGCAUUAUGUUUUACUUUGAUGUUGAUGGAAUUUGUUAAUGCUAAUCAAAUUUUGUUAAUCUCUCUCUCUCUUUUAAAAAGAAGGCAAAGAAAAAGCAUUGUGAUUUCAUUUUCGUUUUCUAAAUUUGUUAUCUAAAGGAAUGACAAGUUGACAACUCAGUCUCUCUCUCUCUCUCUCUGUCUCUCUCUGUCUGUGUCAGGGAUCUGAUUUGUGGAAAGAAAGAGAUCGGUUUAAAAGGUUUUCAUAUGCAUCCUUGGAACUUUGUAAGGUUUACAUGGAAAUUUCUUCCUCUUCUGGUAGCCGUCGAGAACUCUUUGCUGCUGAGAUGCACCUGAAGAACGUACUUAAACAAGUAAAAUACCUUAUAAUUCGAUAUUUAAGACACUUACAGUUGGUAUUACAUUGACAGCAGUAAAACAAGGAAGCAACUGAAAGUUAUCUUUAUAUGAGAAUGAAAGCUUUUCAGCAGCAUAAGCCUUUCACUAUUCAAUUCCAAACAUGUUCCUCAACAUGAUAACAAAUUCGUAGACCUUUUCUGGGUCUGGAAGGAUCCUGGCAACAGUUUCUCUUUGCAUGCACUUGUUCAUCCAUGCUGAGAAUUUGGGGCACUCAUUCUCAACCUUAAAUCCCCCAAAUUCCUCAACCGCGUAAAACCAACAAGUCAGUGGAAUGGCAAUGACAUCAACGAAUCCAAAGCUGUCCCCGCCAAAGAAAUCCUUCUCCCCUAAAGCUCCCUCAAGUUGCUUCAAAAUCUCUAUAAAUUCAUUCUUCGCCGGGGACCUCGCCCUUGCUUUUCCAUAUGUUGCAUACUGCAUCGAAUACCUACCAAAAGAGUGGUGUCAUCUUUUAAGUUCGCAUUUAGAAAGAUACAAACAUUUACACUUGUGAAUUAUAGACUGACCUUCUUGUCAAUAAAAUCUGACCAGAACCUUGCCUUAGCUCUCUCAAAAGCACAGGAUGGGAGAAGUGGUGGCGAAGGCCAAGUCUCGUCAAUGUAGUUAACUAUGAUAGUGGAUUCACACAAUGGUUUCCCAUCGUGUAGCAAAACUGGGACUUCUUAUAGAUGGGGUUUGAUUUGAGCAACAAGUCACUCUUGCCCCCAAACAAGUUCUCAGCUCUGGCUUCAUAUUCAACUCCUUUCUCAGCCAAUGCAAUCUUUGCUCUCAAGCAAAAUGGGCUAGCCCAACAGUCCAAAAGAACAACCUCUCCCUUGGACAUAUUCACUUUCUUUGUUCUUGUUUCUUUUAGUUGGUUGAUAGUAAUUAAACCUUGAGUAUCAAGGUUGGCAUUUAUAAAGUAGAUAAGAUGAAAUUCCCAAAGUUUGUGUCGCAAUCAACGUUUGUUCGUUGGCACUUCCUUAAAGGAUUUGGCAUUGUUUUUAUCAUUUCUUAGUUUUUGAAGCUAACUGUUUUACUUGGCUUCCAACAUGCACAAGAACAAGUUUGUCUUGUGUAUGCGGAGUUUACUAAGGACAAGCCGAAUCGUAAGCAAGCAUAUACACUAAUCAAUCGGUAUUGUCCAAUGAAAAUAAGUAAUGUAAACUUAUCAAAAAAAAAAAAAAAAGAAGUAAUGUAAAAAGUGUCUAGGAUUUUGCCUAAUAUUUCUCAAAAUACGCUAAUUAAGCCAAUUCUGGUGCUAGAUUGGUUCAACUUUGAAUCAAACUUGGAAACAUUGUGCUUUAGAUUACUAUUAUUGAUUUAGAAGAGUCAAAAAGCUAAGAGUAUCGUUGGUAAAGCUCAAACAUGUGGUAUAUCACAUAUUACUAGUGAGUGAGUUUCAUAAACUUUCCUAAUGAAGAAGACACAUUUUGGGUUGUAAAUCCUAACACAAAAUUUAUUCAGUUGUUGAGCCAGAAAUAUUACAGAUAUAUCAAUAUUAUUUGAUGUGGGCGCACAACCCUGCGUCUUCUUACAUAACUUGUAUGUGCACGUUGGCAGGAUAUCCCAAUUAUGUACUCGUUUGUCUUCAUGUGUUUUAAAAAAAUCUAUUGUAAUGGAUAUAUUGUAAAUUUAUCUAAUUGCUUGUUAUAAUGUUUCUAUUGUGGCGUUAUUCAAGUUGUCAUUUUCAGUUUUAUUUUGUUUUUCUUUAAACAUAGUUAAUUUGAAGUGUUCUUUAAUAUCCAUUACACUUGAGAUCAUCAAAUAAGUGAUUCUCGAGCAUAAUUGCUGUUGUUACUCGAAUAAGAAAAGAAAACAAAGUAUAGCUAAGGUAAAAGCAAAUGGAAAUGAGAGAACCGUGAUUUUGCAAAGAGAACUUCACACUAUCAUAAAACCGAAAACAUUACAAUUUAAAGCUUAAAUAACAACACACCAAAGCCAAAUAACGACCCACUAGAAUCAUGGUCCAAAGAUUGUGCCAUGAUCACAACAUGAACUACAAAAAAAAUAACCAACACCAAAAAAGUAGGAACAGUUUAAAACUUUCAACUAAGCAACAUUUAUGAUUCCACAUCAGCAGUCCUAAACACAUCUUCUAACAAUUGCAGCUGUUCAUUUUUGCUUCUGCCAAUAAGGAGUUGAUAGUAACCAAAAGGUUGUUGUCUUUAUUGUCAUUUGAGAGUAACCAAUUACUUACGCAGUCACGUAAGUUGCUGGUUGGCCUCGCACAUUUUUGAUAAGUUUGUUUCUGAAGGAAAGCAGCUGAGCCGCAACCUCUUCCAUGCUCAUUCGUUCUCUCGGCAACUCUGAGGAGCAAGUGACUCCGAUUGCCAGUACUGAAACCAAGCACUCUUUAACACUAAAACAUCUGGUCCAUUGUCUGUGAGCAUUGGCCUUGCUUGUCCCCCCUUCUUCUUUUUCUACAAGAAGCACUGGAUCAACAAUUUCAGCAAGUCUUUCAGGAAGAGCUUCCUUGACAAAAUUAUGUAGGGUUAGAUUGCCUGUAAACAUUUCAUUCGUCGGCCUCUUUCCUGUAAACAUUUCCAGUAAGAGUAUUCCAAAACAGUACACAUCUCCACUUGUUGAGACUUCGCUCCCCAUUCCGUACUCUGCAAUUCGAAAACUAAAAUUGUUGGUUCAACUAGUAAAAUCUCCAAGGAUUGAAAGACAAGUUAAUUAAAUUAUAGUAUUUACCUGGAGCAGCAUAACCAACGGUUCCUUUUACUCCAACAGAGCUUGAUUGAUUAGAUGACAAGUUAUUGGUGGCUUCCGGAAGGAAUUUUGCUAACCCAAAAUCACCUACAUGGGCAGUCAAUUCACCAUCCAGAAGAACAUUGCUUGGCUUGAGAUCACAAUGGACUAUUGGAGUCUCGCAAAAAUGAUGUAGAUAAUCCAAUGCGGAAGCAAGAUCAACGGCAAUACUCAGUCUUUGCAGGAGAUUUAGAUUCCUUGGUGCCUCACGGUUUGGAUGCAACCAUUCCUCCAGGCUCCCGUUAACCAUGAACUCAUAAACUAAAGCCUCGAAAUCAUUUCCUUGGAAGUCAACACUUGCACAGGAAGUUAUUAUUUUGACGAGAUUCCGAUGCCUAAUACUUCUCAAGGCUUGACACUCCGCCAUGAAACUCUUUGAAGCUCCUCGAUGUUGAAGAUUAAGCACCUUAACUGCCACCAGCGUUUCAUGAUCAUCAUGAUUGAGGACUCCUUUAUAGACCGAACCAAAGCUACCGGCACCAAUCAAGUUUUCCAAAGAGAACCCGUCAGUUGCUUUGAACAGAUUCUCAUAUGACACUCGUAAAAUCGAAGCCAAUAAUGCUGACGGAGGAGUGGCCGGCUCCAUUUUUGAUUUGCUCCGCCGGGAAGUAAUUAUCAAACACGACAUCCCUGUCACUAACAAAAUUACUGUAACUACAGGAAUAAUCAGUUUCAGGGAACGGGCACGUGAUUGCUUUGAUUCUUUGAUGGAACAAGUAGAUAAAUGCAACUCAGAUAUGCCACCACAGAGGUUAUCAUUUCCAUCAAGAGAUAUAGCACUUGAAUUGCUGUAGACUCCUUUUAUUGGUACUUCACCCUCAAAAUGAUUAGAAGAUAGAUUUAAAUUCUGCAAAAAGAAAAAGUUUUCAAAAUAUUUUGGAAUCCGGCCAGACAAAUUGUUCCGCGAAAGAUCAAGGUUCUGAAUGCCUCUCAAAGAACUGAAUGAUGAAGGGAUAUUCCCUUGAAAGAAAUUACCAUUCAUGACGAGUUGUUCCAACCUAACGCAACUUCCUAGACUGUUUGGAAUUUCACCAGACAAUUUGUUCUCAGAUACAUCUAGAACACCCAGAUUUUUCAAGAUGCCAAAAUUUGAGGGCAAAGGACCGUUCAAUUGGUUUUGAGAUAGAUCAAGAUAGAUUGACAAGGAAGAGAGACCAAUCACUUCAGUGGGUAUGGUACCAGUGAGGUUGUUAUUAGAGAGAUCUAAUAAUAUCAAGUUUUGGCAUUUCCCUAGACUUGAUGGAAUGCUUCCCUCUAACAUGUUUUCGUCAAAAGCUAGUAUAGCUAACGAUGUCAAAUUUCCUAUAGAAGAUGGAAUUUCCCCCAAAAACUUGUUCCCGUUCAGCCCCAACCCCUGCAGCUUUUGAAGAUAUCCUAUGCUUUCCGGAAUUCGGCCUGUGAAUUGGUUGUCCCCAAGGUCUAAAAGCUCUAAGUUAACAAGAUUUCUUAAUCCACUUGGGAUAUUUCCGAACAAUUGAUUGUUUCCAACUGAUAAUUUUCUAAGUCGGGUUGACAAGUUCCCCACAGCUUCAGGUAACAUUCCGCCACAAUUGUUAACAUGACCUUCCAGUCGCUCUAGUCUAGAAGCGUUGACCAAAGAAUUGACAAAUUCCAAGUCAUCUUUUUUCCCAUUUCCUAAGUGAUUCCAAGAAAUACUAACCCAUUCGAGUUUAUGUAAAUGUUCCAAACUAGGCACCUUUCCACUGAAUCCAUUCCCUCCGAUUGCAAGUCUCAAUAGAUUUGAGGCAUUGGAUAUUGAAGCAGGAAUAGGCCCGGUAAACUGAUUUUCACCAACGUUUAAUUCUUCAAGAUUAGGAAGGGUGAAGCCUAAGUCUGAUGGAAGGCUUCCUUGAAGUUGGUUAACAGGAAAAUCAAAAACACUAAGCGAAGACAAGUUGUAGAUUGAGAAGGGGAUUUCACCUGAUAGCUUAUUUACUCCAAAUGCUAUAAAACGCAUCCUCUUAAGCUCGCCCAGGGUUUCAGGAAUUUGUCCCACAAAUUGAUUUGCAGUUGCUGAGAGGACCUCGAGUGAUGACAAAUUGCCAAAGGAAGAUGGGAUUUCUCCUGACAAAUUGUUGUAGUGUACUGAGAGAAGCCGGAGCUUUGAUAAGGAGCCCAGAUUCCCUGGAACUUUCCCCACAAACUCAUUGGAGCCUAACGAGAGGGAUUCAAGGUUAACGCAAUGCGAUAUGUUGUCGGGAAUUUGACCUCCGAAUGAAUUGUUAUACAGCAUUAAUUUUUGUAACCUGAACAGAUAUCCAAUCUCUUGAGGGAUUUCGUCGCGGAAGCUGUUGUUUUUUAUAUCUAACACUCUGAGAAAACUUAAAUUACCAAUGUGAGGCGACAGAGACCCCUGCAAGAGUGAAGAUGGGAGAAGUAAUGCAGUCACUCUUUGGUGCCGUCGACUGCAGGUGACACCUUUCCAUUGACAAAAGUGCCUGGAAUAGUUCCAUGAACUCAAAACCUCAAGAGGGUCAUGAGUAACUUUGGCCUUGAAUUCAAGCAAUGCAAGUUGAUCAGUUUCAUUGCUUUUGAGCAUAUAAUCGGUUGACUGCAAGCUGAAGCUGAAGCAACAGAAAAUAAAGAAACAAAUGCUUACAAUGAUUGAACUCAUCAUGUUUACAAAAUCCAUUUAACUGCCGAAAGGAAAUUAAAAUGAUAAAAUUUUUAUAGAGGUUGAUAAGAUAAACUAUGUUUGUAUAUUUUUUGCAAUGAUUUAUGGACUCUGUACUUGAUGCUCAAAUGUGAACCGGCUGGCACCGUGACAGUGAAACUAAUACUUUUUGUUUUUCUAAUAAUAUUAAUUAUCCUCUUUAAGGAAUAAUAUACACUUUUGACCCGCCACACUCACUUUUGACGCUCUAUCAGUUUCCAGCAUGUUGUCGUUUUGUAUUUUAGUGCAUUAAAGAAAUCCACAAUGAAUAUAAAAUAAUUUAAUCAACAGUAUUAGAAAAAGAAAAAAAGUAGGAUAAGAAAGUUAAGUAUGAUGGAUGGAGGUUCAGAUUACUGUUAAAUGACUUAGGAAAGGCUUAAAAAGCACCACAGGAAUCAACGUUUCACAAAGCUUUUUUUCCCUUUCUGAAAUAUUCAGUGCAGUCUCCCCCAGAUUUUGCUAGUGCAACCAAGAGACGUCAUGCCGUUAUCAAUUAUAAACUGUAAAUGACAUGUUGUUUUUACAAGACAUAUUAUGCGUCGAUACAUACCUUUUCUGGUUGUUGGUUUAUAAAAAUAUAUGAGACGGCUUGUUAGCUUUAACCUCAUUGUCAUUUUGAAUAGCCUACAAGAGUCGAAUGACUAGACUUCCAAUUUGCUAUCAUCCCCCUUGAAUGGGUUCAAGAAAUUCAGCAGGUUGCGAAACAAUAAGAUUCAUUCAAUCGGCGUAGAUAUCUAACUGACUGAAAUUAAAUAAAUGAUGAUGAUAAGAAAUUUGAAAUCAACAAAUCUCGGCACAUCUAUUCUGCAAUUUAGCCGUACUUCAAAUAAUCUUGCGAUGAAAAUUUCAUAAAAAUUUUCAGAAAGAGGACAGAACAACCAAGGCAUCAGCGAAAGCAAUCGUGGCAGGGCACGCUCAAGCCACGAGUUAGAGGAAUUUUAAAUAUCAAAACCAGCUCAGAAUAAUAAGAGGUAAAAUGAAUCUAUGAAAGGCUCAGAUUUUUGGAUGAGUGAAGGGAAGAUGAGAAGAUGAAAUGCAGAAAGUCAAGAAAUGAAUAAAACAGCUCUAAUUUGGAUUAAGCAUCCAUCUACCUAUGUGGAUAAUAAUUUUGCUAAUUUUUCAGCCAUGCAGCAGGAUCAUGUUCGUCCUGUUUUAUUUGAUAGAAGGAAUUUUCCCUUGGAAGAAAAUGAUGAGUUGUUUCAACGUCAUGCAACUGCCUAGACUGCAUGGAAUUUCACCAGACAAUGACAAUUUAUUCUCAGAUAUAUCUAACGCCCCACAAUUUAAACAAUAAAGAUUUUCUGCAUUGAUUUCUUAUAAUGGAUAUAUGCAUGUAAGUAAAAUAUAAUAUCUUUUGAUUUUUGGCCCAUUUGUUCAGAAAGAAGGGAAAAAAAAAAAAAUACAUGGUUGAAAGACAACUGUUACUUGACCUUAUCUAGGUCUCUUCACUGCCAUUUGUUUCUUAUAACUUAUGGUGAUAAUGUAGCCAGAAUGAUGAGUUGAAUUGUGGGUUGCUGACUUGUGAUACAUUUUGUAGGUGUUCAUUAGGUGAUGUUACAAAUAAUGAUGCCUGCUAUGAAAAAGCUUUGGAAGUUUCGAAUGAUAAGUCAGCUCGAGCUAAGGUGAUAUUGUAGUUCACAUUAUGCUUGAACCGUGAUCAUUUUUUAGUUAACAUAUCUUUAUGUGAAUCAGAGGUCUCUAGCGCGUAGUGCAUACAAUAGAGGGGAGUACGAGACAUCUAAAAUCCUUUGGUAUGUUGCUUUAAUGCUUUACUUCUCUUUCUGCCACGCAGUAAUUUGCUGCAUUGACAACUGAUAUGGCUGAAUGACAAUUUACCCUUGGUUUUGUCUCAGGGAGGCUGCCAUGGCCUUGAAUUCUUUGUAUCCGGAUGGCUGGUUUGCUCUUGGUGCUGCUGCAUUGAAGGUAUCAUAUUUUUGUAUUAGUAUGUGUUUAGUGUGAAGCGAUUUCUUAUCCUUUUGCCCCAAGUUUCUGAAACUCUCGGCUGAAAUAUAAAUACAGGCUCGGGAUGUUGAAAAGGCUCUGGAUGGGUUUACUCGGGCGGUUCAACUUGAUCCAGACAAUGGGGAAGCUUGGAAGUUGGAACAAUAUUGCUUGCUUGUAUGCCCUUUUCUUUGUCAUCAUGUCAUUCCAUCCUCUUGCUCUGUAUUCUUUAAUAUUGUGUCAAUCACAUUCAUCUUCUAUCUGCAAGAGUAUGCUUCCCAUAUUUGGUUUACUUUGUUUUGACUUUCUUGUUGCAGUUGUUCUGUAUAAAUUUUAUAUGGUUCCAUAUUCCCUUGAUGAGUGAAUUUAGUUGCUGCAAAUGUUAAGAACUAGAUAGUACUGUUAUAAUUAGGAAUAGGGCAAAUAUUAGCCAGCUCUUUUGAGGAUUAUCCAUAGCAUAUACCUCCGUCGUUUUCAAAGCGAUUGAAGUUCUCCCUUUUGUCUUAUUUAAAAGAAAAAAGCACAAAUUGCUUCCCUCACAUCUCUCUACAGUCUCUUUUCUCUCUGUUUAAUUUUUUCUUGUGCUUAUUAUUUGUCUUUUAAUGCAUCUUUUCUUCUUAUUUUAUACUGUACUAGAAUUUGUGCUGUCUCGAUUUCAUCUUGUAUGUGAGUUACUGUGUUUUUCGCAAUUGUAGAACUUUAUUUAGCAGCAUAAUUAUUAGUUAGUGAGACAUUAAUUGGUUAAUACCACUUUUGAAGAUACGAAGAGCUACUUAUUCUCUCUUCUAGUACAUUUAAAAAAUUCAUCACAAAAUAUCUGGGAUGGUAAAAUUCUCGUCAAUUAUAACUACGGAAGUCUUGAGAUUUAUGUAAUCUUGCAGGCAUAUGAUCAAGAAGAAGAGCAAAGAGGCUUUUAUAGCAUUCAAGGAGGCCCUAAAGUUCAAUUUCUGUCUUUUUUCACCCUGAUCACUACAUUUUUAUUUUUUUGGUGGAUAAAGCCUGCUGUCACUUUGGGCAUCAAUUUCUAAUGAAUGCAAUAAUGUUCCUUUCUUUGCUAUUCAUUAAAAUUGAGUUGUUCUUCUUGGAUGGCCUUCUUUUUACUUCCCAUCAUUUUGCCAGCUUGUUGAUUGUCAUUUUUGCUUGUUGGCAGUCUUUUCCUGCAGUGUUGAUAAUAUUUAACAAAUUCGCAGACCUUUUCUGGGUCUGGAAGGAUCCUCGCAACAGUUUCUCUUUGCAUGCACUGAUUCUCAACCUUAAAUCCCCCAAAUUUCUCAACCGCGUAAAACCAACAAGUCAGUGGAAUGGCAAUGACAUCAACGAAUCCAAAGCUAUCCCCGCCAAAGAAAUCCUUCUCCCCUAAAGCUCCCUCAAGUUGCUUCAAUAUCUCUAUAAAUUCAUUCUUCGCCGUCCCUGGGACCUUGCCCUUGCUUUUCCAUAUGUUGCAUACUGCAUCGAUUACCUGCCAAAAGAGUGGUGUCAUCUUUUAAGUUCGCAUUUAGAAAGAUACAAACAUUUAUACUUGAGAAUUAUAGACUGACCUUCUUGUCAAUAAAAUCUGCCCAGAACCUUGCCUUAGCUCUCUCAGAAGCACAGGAUGGGAGAAGUGGUGGAGAAGGCCAAGUCUCGUCAAUGUAGUUAACUAUAACGGUGGCUUCACACAAUGGUUUCCCAUCGUGUAGCAAAACUGGGACUGUCUUGUUGAUGGGGUUUGAUUUGAGCUGCAGGUCACUCUUGCCCCCAAACAAGUUCUCAGCUCUGGCUCAUAUUCAACUCCUUUCUCAGCCAAUGCAAUCUUUGCUCUCAAGCAAAAUGGGCUAACCCAACUGUCCAAAAUAACAACCUCUCCCUUGGACAUAUUCACUUUCUUUGUUCUUGUUUCUUUUGGUUGGCUGAUAGUAAUUAAACCUUGAGUAUAUGAAGGAGAAAAGAUGAAAUUCGAAUACCGCUUUUGUUGGCAUUUAUGAAGGAGAAAAGAUGAAAUUCCCAAAGUUUGUGUCGCAAUCAACGUUUGUUCGUUGGCACUUCCUUAAAGGAUGUGGCAUUGUUCUUAUCAUUUCUUAGUUUUUGAAGCUAACUGUUUUACUUGGCUUUCAACAUGCACAAGAACAAGUUUGUCUUGUGUAUGCGGAGUUUACCAAGUACAGGCCGAAUCGUAAGUAAGCAUUUACACUAAUCAAUCGGUAUUGUCCAAUGAAAAUAAGUAAUGUAAAAAGUGUCUAGGAUUUUGCCUAAUAUUUCUCAAAAUAGGCUCAUUAAGCCCAAUUCUGGUGCUAAUUUGGUUCAACUUUGAAUCAAACUUGGAAACAUUUUUCUUUAGAUUAUUAUUAUUAAUUUAGAAGAGUGAAAAAAGUUAAGAGUAUCGUUGGUGAAUUCAUGCCUAGCCCCACUAGAGAGUGAGUUUCGUAAACUUUCCUAAUUAAGAACACAUGUUUUGGGUUGUAAAUUCUAACACAAUAUCUAUUCAGUUGUUAACUUGGAAUAUUACAAUUAUAUCAAUAUUGUUUGAUGUGGGCACACAACCCUGCGUCUUCUUAGUUAGGACAGCCAAUGAAAUUCACUUGUUAGCGAUGCAGGGGAUGAUACAUAACUUGUAUGUGCACGAUGGCGGAGUAUCCCAGUUCUGCACUCGUUUGUCUUCCUAUGUUUUAAAAGAUCUAUUGUAAUGGAUAUAUUAUAAAUUUAUCUAAUUGCUUGUUAUAAUGCUUCUGUUGCAGUGUUAUUUGAGUUGUCAUUUUCAGUUUUAUUUUAUUUUUUCUUUAAACAUAGUUAAUUUGAAAUGUUCUUUAAUAUCCAUUACACUUGAGAUCAUCAAAUAAGUGAUUCUCGAACAUAAUUGCUGUUGUUACUUGAAUAAGAAAAGAAAACACCAAAGUCAAAUUAAAGCGCAAAUGCUAAAAGUAAAUGGAAAUGAGAGCAACGUGAUUUUGCAAAGAGAACUUCAUACUAUCAUAAAAAUGAAAACAUUACAAUUUAAAGCUUAAAUAACAACACACCAAAGUCAAAUAACGACCCACUAAAAUCAUGGUCCAAAGAUUGUGCCAUGAUCACAACAUGAACUACAAAAAAAUAACUGUUAAGUAAAUAAAAGCACCAGGUCGGCCAUGCUACUAUUUCCACGCCAGUAUGGAUCACCUCAACCAAAUGGUACGAGCAGAACACGGGGACAAAUAUGGUCCGACCAGAGAUGAGUACCAACCAAGAGAGUAUACCGACCAGAGGUAGAUACCGAGCCGAUACCCAUCCCCCAAAAAAGCGGAAACACGAUCUCACAGAAUCACGGUAGUUGCGCUUUCCCAGAACCGUUGCGGGAGACGCGAGAUCCCACGUUUGCCCAUAAUGCAACAGUUAGAGUCCCAUGAGGGGCUGCCACUACCCGAAAAAGGUGGGAUGAAGGGCAAACGGGAACGUGGGGACAACGGCUAUAAAAGAAGAAGAAAUUGAUGAAGACAGGGAUAGAAAAAUUAAGAGAGGGAAAACGCUGCCAAAUUGCAAUCAAACAUUUUUCUUACAAACUUCGAAACAAGUUAGAAACCCUUCUUGAAUCCAAAUUACACUGUUUUCCCGUAAACACCUUGUGCUAACUUAGGCAUCGGAGGGUUUACGCCGGCAAAACCACCGGCGUCUCUGAUCCGUUUUUGGUGAACGCAGGUCUAGUAAGAGAAAGGAGGGCGAUUCCAACCCCAGUGGUCCGAGCAACAGUUGACAACACAAACGUUGGUGAAAGAAUCUGGUCGGUCAAAAGGCGAGCAUAUUUAAGCAUCAACAUUUUGGCGCCGUCUGUGGGGAGCUGAAUAAAAAGCUACCACCAAAUUACUAAUUACCGGAGAAGCAGCGAAUGAUUGGAUAUGGACGUGUCAAGAAAGGAUACUCUAAGGGAGGACAAUGAAACGGUGGAGAUAAUCACUCUCCGGGAAAUUGCAAAUGAAGCUCGAGAGAGGAUGAUGCAAGAUAGACUGGAGCGGAUGGAGAAACAAAUGGAGACUCUCGCGGCCAUAUUGUUUGAGCUGAGGGAUGAGCGGAGAAGGGAUUGUGAAACCCCCGUGGGAAGAGAUGAAGUGGGAGCAGAACCCAGCCACCGGAGGCGUAGAGUCGAGGAAAUCCCUCCGCCCACAGACCAACCUAAUGGGGUACCUCCCCACAUAAGUACUGGUCGGGUCCCAGGAGAACACGUGGAUGAAGGGAGAGACCAACCUCGCCCCGGACGAAUACCGGAAACUAAUGGCCGAGGGGCCAGUGUUGAUGAAGGAGAGCUCAGACAGCGGUUGCAGAACGCCGAGCAGGAGCGAGACCAGAUAGCUGCACGUGAUCCUGACCGUGCUAUAGAAUUGGAGGGGAAAGUGUGCAGAUUGGCGCAGGUGAUAGAGGAGAUACAGUGCAAGAGAAAGCCCCCGAGCUGGAGGAUAAUGCUAGAUGAAGAAUCUCUGUUAUCAACUGAGAUCAUGGGUACCAUAAUCCCAAGAGAUUUCCGCUUCCCCGACCUCAAAUACUCCGGGCGAAGUGACCUGCUGGUGCACAUUGAGCGUUUCAAUGACAUGACGGGUGUGCAGGGGCUGACACCAGCUCAGAGGUGCAGGGUAUUCCCGUUGACACUAGAGGGACGAGCUCAAGAAUGGUAUCGCAAGCUGCCCCGAGGAAGUAUAAAGGGGUAUAAGCAGAUGUGCCAGGAGUUGGCCGAGCAAUUCUGAGGGGCAGUGGCCCCAGAGGAUGACAUGAUGGAACUGAUGGGGAUGAAAUAGGAGGAGCAUGAAUCCCUUCGAGAUUAUGUAAAACGAUAUCACCGAGCCGUGCUGGAUCUGGGAGCUUUUAAUCACCCGCAGGCGUUGAGGGGAUUAAAAGAAGGUGUAAGAAUCGGCCGAUUGUGGUAUAACUUAAGAAGCCCCCUCGUAUAGAAUUACUCGUCGGGGUAUAAGCAGGCGAGGCGAGAUAUAGAAAUCGAAGAGGAGAAAUCGGCAAGAAUAAAAAGUGAACAGCUGGAAGAGCUGAGGCAAAAGGAACGGAGGGCCCCGAGAGGGAGCGGGUCAGGAAAACGAGCUGGAGAAUCUUCAGUGAUGGGAGGAAUAUCGGCUCGGUCCCGCCUUUACCCCAUAGCUCCGAGAUCACAACAGUUCCAACACAGCCGGGCUUAACCUCCGCGCCCCCCGAUCCCAGAGCGGCAGCGAGAAUUCAGGUAGAUGGCUGCCCACCCUUAUCACAGCACUCCCAGAGCGUUAAAUGCAACUAAUUACAGGUCUGGACGACCAGAGCAGCUAUCGACUAUACCAGCCCGAGGUGACAUCCAUGAUAGCCGAGCAGUUCAGUUGGUUGACCAGAGCGUGACAUAUAGACAGUACACUCCAUUGAAAAUCUCCAUGGAGGAACUAUAUGACAGGAUUGAGGGGCGAGGACUGCUGUAUACUCCGGCCCCUAUAACAAAACCCGCUCACCGGCGUGAUAAGAGCAGGUUCUGCAAAUUCCACAACACUCACGGUCACACUAUUAGCCAAUGCCGUGACCUAAAGAUUCAGGUGGAGGAUUUGGUGAGGAACAAGUACUUGGAUGAGUAUGUAGAUGGAGUGUCCCCCGUCAUUGAAUCGCAAUAUGCACGGGAUGAAGGAGUUGAAAGGGGUUUGGAACGAGAACAGCCGACCAUCCGGGUGAUAGCAGGAGGGCCAACAUUGGCCGGGGAUUCGAACAGAGCACGAAAGAACUAUGGGAGAUAUGCCAUGACUGGCAAAGAGGUGCUUCUCAAUUUGCCAGUAGCCAAGAGGGCAAAAGUGCGGCAAGUUCCCAUUAUGUGGACAUAGGACGACGAAGAGGGCAUUUUAUAUCCUCAUGAUGAUGCACUGGUGAUUAAAGCAUUGGUGGCUAGUACAGAAUUGCGGCGAAUACUGGUGGACACAGGCAGCUCAGUAGACAUUCUGUUUAAGUCGGCCCUAGAUGAUAUGGGGACUUCAGACUUGAAGCUGGAGCGGACGAAUACAUCCUUGAAGGGAUUUGGAGGAGGACGGCUAACUCCCAUGGGGAUCAUCGAACUCCCAAUUAUCGUGGGAUCAAAACCGUUUGAAAGAACGAUGAUGCUGGAUUUUGUCGUGGUAGAAGAAAGAAGUCUUUAUCAGAUGAUAUUGGGGAGACCGUUCAUGAGGAUCAGCCAAUGUAUAAUGUCCACGUAUUAUCUGGCGAUGAAGUACAGAAUAAAUGGAGUUGUUGGUGUAGUAAAAGGCGACCAGAGAAUGGCCAGGAGCUGCUAUGCUACAGCGGCCAAGGAAACGCUGCAGGUUACCUCUCUAGAUAACCGAGGGGAUUCAAAAAAUGGUCGCCAGAAACCUGUUGAGAAGCUGGAGGGGGUUGUUGUAAGCAGGAGUGACCCGGUCAGAGUGGUUAAAGUCGGAUCAGAAUUGGACGAAGCAAUAAAAGGCGAGCUGGUGAAGUGUCUACAGUCCUAUGCAGACAUAUUUACCUGGUCUCAUGAGGAUAUGCCAGGUAUUGAUCGCGGGGUAGCUUGUCACAAGCUGGCAGUCAAGAAAGAGGCAAGGCCGGUGAGGCAGAAAAGGAGGUGCUUCAACUAGGAAAUGUAUGAGGCCAUAAAUGCAGAGGUGGAAAAGCUGCCGAAAGCAGGAUUUAUAAGGGAAGCCAAGUACCCGGAGUGGAUUUCCAAUGUAGUACUGGUAAAGAAGGCCAAUGGGAAGUGGAGAAUGUGUGUAGACUUCACGGACCUCAAUAAGGCAUGCCCGAAGGACAGUUUUCCCCUACCAAAAUAGAUCAGUUGGUGGACUCGACCGCGGGUCAUAGUCUACUCAGUUUCAUGGAUGCCUUUUCCGGAUACAACCAGAUACCCAUGGACGAGCAGGAUGAGGAAAGCACUACCUUUAUAACUAACAUGGGUUUGUUUUGUUACAGGGUGAUGCCCUUUGGCCUGAAAAAUGCAGGAGCUACCUAUCAAAGGUUAGUGAACAAGGUCUUCAAACCAUUGAUCGGUCACACUAUGGAAGUAUAUGUGGACGAUAUGAUCACCAAGUCAAGAGAACCAAGAGAUCAUGUGAAGCACUUGGAAGAGACCUUCGAAUUGCUGAGGAGGUAUGAAAUGAAGCUGAACCUAGAAAAAUGUGCAUUUGGGGUCAGCUCGGGCAAAUUUUUGGGAUACCUGGUAAGCCAUCGAGGGAUUGAGGCCAACCCGGAAAAGAUACGGGCGGUGAUAGAAACGAGGUCCCCACGAACAGUUAAGGAGGUGCAGAGCCUUACGGGGAAAUUGGCAGCAUUGAACCGAUUCAUUUCGCGAGCCACUGAUAAGUGCCACCCUUUCUUCCAAAUCAUAAAGAAAGGGAGGAAGAUGGAAUGGACACCGGAAUGCGAUGAGGCAUUUGGACAGUUGAAGGAAUACCUAGCCCGCGCCCCGUUACUCUCAACUCCGAGAGAGGGUGACCAGCUGCUUUUGUACUUGGCAAUCUCUAAGUGGGCUACCAGCUCGGUCUUAGUCAGGGAAGAAGAAGGGAAGCAACACCCGGUAUACUACACAAGCAAGGCCCUGGUAGACGCAGAAACCAGAUAUCCACUAAUGGAGAAGUGGGCGCUGGCUCUGAUAACGGCAGCACGCAAACUCCGACCGUAUUUCCAAGCCCACCAGAUCGUUGUGAUGACUGACCAGCCCCUUCGGCAAGUGCUUCAAAAACCAGAUGCGUCUGGUCGGUUAGUAAAAUAGUCCGUGGAGUUGAGCGAAUUUGACCUGUCUUACAGGCCCCGAGGAGCAAUCAAGGCCCAAGCCUUGGUAGAUUUUAUGGUUGACCGUGUUGAACCAGGGGAAGAGGUCCAAGAGGAACAACCAGCAGAACGGGAGGAUUCAAAGGGGAUGUGGCUGGUAAUGGUUGAUGGGUCACGUAGUGAACAGGGAUCCGGGGCAGGAGUUAUAAUACGAAGCCCAGAAGGUGUCGAGGUAUCCUAUGCUGUAAAGUUCGAAUUCCAGCUUUCGAACAACCAAGCUGAAUAUGAGGCCUUCAUUACUGGGCUCGGUCUUGCACAUGCACUACGAGCAGAAAGGGUAAAAAUCCGAGCAGAUUCCCAGCUAGUAUGUAACCAGCUCAACGAUCAAUUCCAAGUAAGGGAAGAGAAAUUGGGACUUUAUUUGAAGAAGGCGAAGCAGAUGGUUGAACUCUUUAAUGAGGUAGAGGUGAAGCAGAUAUCCCGGAAUGAAAAUUACCGAGCUGACAUGUUGGCUAGGAUGGCCGCAACUGUAGAUCCCAAAUUACCUAAAUCAGUUCCACUAGAGGUGAGAACCUCGCCGAGUAUAGGAGAGGAAGUAGAGGUAAUGAGAGUAAGCACUGAAGAAUCCUGGAUGGACCCGAUUCUUGCAUACAUCCGCGAUGACGUUUUACCAGAGGACAAAAAGCAAGCAAAAAAGCUAAAAUACCGAGCAGCGAGGUACACACUACUCGAUGGGGUACUCUACUGCCGAGGAUUCACUUUGCCCCUUUUGCGAUGUGUGGAUAAUGAGGAGGCAGAUUAUGUACUAAAGGAGAUUCAUGAAGGAAUCUGCGGCAAUCACUCGGGAGCAAGAACUUUAGCCUUUAAGGCACUCCGGCAAGGAUACUUUUGGCCGACCAUGCACCAGGAUGCGAAAAGGAUGGCAAAGAAUUGCAAAACCUGCCAAAACUUCUCAGAGGUUCCCGCACAACCCCCAGAAAAGCUGACCACUAUGACAUCCCCAUGGCCUUUUGCUCAAUGGGGAAUCGACCUGAUUGGUCCGUUACCGAAAGGCCGAGGAGCGGCGACCCAUGCAAUUGUAGUAAUAGACUACUUCACCAAGUGGAUAGAAGUGAGGGUCCUUAGCCAAAUCACGGAGAGAAAGACAACGGAUUUUAUCUGGAAGAAUAUCAUCUGCAGAUACGGAAUCCCUUAUACCAUCAUCACCGAUAAUGGGAGGCAAUUUGACAACAACAACUUCAGAGAGUUUUGCCGGAACCUAGGGGUGGACCUGAAAUUUUGCACCCCCGCACACCCCCAGGCAAACGGACAAGUGGAAGCAGCCAACAAAGUGGUAAAGAAACUCCUGAAGACUAGACUGGGAGAGAAGAAAGGAGCUUGGGUUGACGAGCUACCAGGGGUACUGUGGGCUUACCGGACAACUCACAAAACCGCCACAGGGGAAACCCCGUUUGCCUUAGCUUUUGGUCAUAAGGCGGUAAUCCCGGCAGAAAUUGGAGUGGGGACACAUCGGACGGAAUACUUCAAUAAGGAGCAAAAUGGCGAGCAGAUCUACUUGAGCCUGGAUCUGCUGGAGGAGAAAAGGGAAGGGGCUUCGCAGAAAGUAGCCCAGUGUCAGCAAAGGGUCACGCGUUAUUACAACAAGAACGUACAUGUGAGACAGUUCCGAACAGGAGAUUGGGUGCUCAAGAAGGUGAACUAAAAUACCAAGGACCCUAACCAUUGAGCUCUUGGUCCGAAAUGGGAAGGCCCGUACAGGGUGAUACGAGCAACUGGACCAGGAGCUUACAAGCUAGCGUACCCAGACGGACGAAAUGUGAAGAGGUCGUGGAACGCUGAGCACUUGAAAAAGUACUUCCAGUAAGCAAAGUGCUCUAUUAGUUUUCAUUUUGAUAAGUUAUUCCUUUCAAAUGCAUGAUGGCUUGUUGGGCAUGCAUAUAUGCUGUAUUUCUAUAACGCAUUCAAAGUUCAAUAAAGAUGAAUUCAGCAUGAAAUCCCCUGGCCAAUAAGUCCAUUAAAAAAUUCUACUAAGGCAAGUAAGUGCCUACUUCUGCUCGGUCAGCGAGAGACCAGCAGCUAAUUCUACAAAAAAUCUGCUAAGGCAAGUAAGUGCCUGCUUCUGCUCGGUCAACGAAAGACCAGCAGCUAAUCUAUGAAAGAUCUACUAAGGCAAGUAAGUGCCUGCUUCUGCUCGGUCAACGAGAGACCAGCAGCUAAUUCUACAAAAAAAUCUGCUAAGGCAAGUAAGUGCCUGCUUCUGCUCGGUCAACGAAUGACCAGCAGCUAAUCUACGAAAGAUCUGCUGAGGCAAGUAAGUGCCUGCUUCUGCUCGGUCAACGAAAGACCAUCAGCUAAUCUAUGAAAGAUCUACUAAGGCAAGUAAGUGUCUGCUUCUGCUCGGUCAACAAGAGACCAGCAGCUAAUUCUACAAAAAAUCUGCUAAGGCAAGUAAGUGUCUGCUUCUGCUCGGUCAACGAAUGACCAGCAGCUAAUCUACGAAAGAUCUGCUAAGGCAAGUAAGUGCCUGCUUCUGCUCGGUCAACGAAAGACCAGCAGCUAAUCUACGAAAGAUCUACUAAGGCAAGUAAGUGUCUGCUUCUGCUCGGUCAACGAGAGACCAGCAGUUAAUUCUACAAAAAAAUCUGCUAAGGCAAGUAAGUGCCUGCUUCUGCUCGGUCAACGAAUGACCAGCAGCUAAUCUACGAAAGAUCUGCUAAGGCUAGUACGUACCUGCUUCUGCUCGGUCAACGAGAGACCAGCAGCUAAUUCUACAAAAAAUCUGCUAAGGCAAGUAAGUGUCUGCUUCUGCUCGGUCAACGAAAGACCAGCAGCUAAUCCUACGAAAAUUCUACUAAGGCAAGAAAAUGCCAGCUUCUGCUCGGUCAACGAAAGACCAAUAGGCAAUUUUACAAAAUUUCACUAAGGCAAAUAAGUGCCUGCUCCUGCUCGGUCACCGAAGACCAGCAGGAAAUUUUGCGAAAAUUUUACUAAGGCAAACAGAUGCCUAUUCCUGCUCGGUGCACUAAAGAACCAGCAGGCAAAAUCAGAUAAAUGGUCAAGUUAAUUUGCAGAAGCAACCCAUGAGCAAAAAACAGGCAAGAAAGCCAAUAGAGAGCAUUUAAAAAUUUAUAAACGUUCAAAUGUUUACAAAGCAAAUGAAAAUCUAGAGUCUUUACAAAAUUAGACCUAAGGAUUAUGAGGGUCAACGGCCUCAGCAGGUGAGGGAUCAGCAACAUCAGGAGGUGGGAGAUCAGCAGUACCGGGAGGAGGAGGCAUGGACCCUUGACCCACUUCGAAAGUGCGUCCCCCAGCUUCCCCCUCUUGUACCCCAUCCAAAGGAGCCUCCACCUGAUCCUGCUCACCCUGCUCCUUGUCUGCCUGGCCGACCUCUACCAUAUACCGCUGCACUCCAGCCUCCAACUUGCUCAUGUCCAGCUCGGGAUAUUCUCCCUGAAGCACAGACAUAAUGCACUUAUAGGAGAAAGCAACCCUCGAGUCAUACUCGGCAUCCAACCGAUCGUCCACAUCAGCGGAUUUGCUUUUUUCCUCAGCCAGCUGCUCAUUCAGGGAUUUGAUUUCUCCCUCAAGGGCGGUCCUCAAAGUAUCUCUUUCACUUUGAGUUACCUGAAGGUCCGACUUCAGGCCACCCAACUCACCCUCAAACUUAGAGGCAGUGGACUCAGCAACUGCAACUUUCUCCUCCAGCUCUGUAAUCUGCUUGUUUAACUCGGCCAAUUUCUCCUUGGAGCGGUCAGCAGAUUCAGUUUUCUUCUUCAACUCCUGGUUAUCAGCUUGAAGCUUCCUCUCAUGACGCGCGGACCCGGUCUUGUAGCACGAGACCAUUGUAGCCAGCCUAAAGGAGACUCUUUGAACAGAAGCAGCUAACUCAGAGAGGUUCAUGCUCUCGAUGUCCUUCACCAUCUUGGGCCCAACCGAUUUUUUAUAAUCCUUCUGAUAUGGGCUCAGGUAGUCACCUUGAUCCCGAGAUGGAAGAGGAGAAGAUCGGUCCCCAGACUGCAAGCUGACCUCAGGACUCUUGUCGGAGAUUUUCUCCCCACCAAUCUUACGAGGUGGUGGAGGGGGCAGAGCAGGAACAGGCGCCUUGGAAGGACCGACGCUGGGUUUCUUUAGAGGAGGAGGAGGGUUGCUGGAGCUGCUUGGAGCCCGACCACGUUUUCUGCUCAUCGCGCUGAGGAUCUUGUUAUCCAUUCCAGCAGCAAUAUCUAUCAAGCCCGAACCGACCAAGUUUGUUGGCGACAGAAGGUCUUGGCAAGUAGACGCGUUCACCAGAGCAAUUUCCACCUGAAGCAAAGGUCGGUCUUCAAGGUCCUUCACCAAAACCCACGAUUCUGAAAAGACAAACAAGGUUAAAGAACCCAAUAAGUGACAAUUGGAGAAAAAACAUAGGCGAAAAAUGAACGACCUAGGGUGACAAACUGCGUUGGAAGGUAAAUAUCACCACCCAACGAACGAAGUGCUGAACACCACUUUCCCCUAGCAAAGAAGAAUUUGUUCUUCCAAUUUUUGCACGAGGAGGGGAAACCGGUGAUUGGUUUUCUCUUCGCAGAACUGGACAUGAAGUAGUACCAGCCCGCCUCCCUUGGGCUGCUCCGCAGCUGGUACAAAUGCUUCACUUCAACAAGGGAAGGCUCCUCCGACCCGCACCUCUCCCACAACACAAACAUAGCCGAGAGAACCCUCCACCCGUUUGGGUGUAGUUGACCUGGGGCCAGGUGCAUACCCCUCAGUAUCUUGGCAAAAUAACGUUGAAGGGGCAGCCGAGCUCCUAGUUUGAAACUCUCUAAGUGCAUCGUCACAUACCCUCGCGGAGGCCGACUAGGAAUGUCACCCUUCCCAGGAACUACAAGGAGAACCUCCUCAGGAAUGUCGUAGAGGUUCCUAAGCUUGAAUAGGUCAGUGUGGGUGGUAGCACAGGCUAUGUGGUCAAUAGGGUAAGAAUCCGCCUCCACCCUAUGCCCAAGGUUUCUUUUCUUAGGUGGUCGGCUCGGCCCGGAGCUGCUUCUCUCACCAUCACCCACUUCUUCAGGAACCCCAACCCCACCAGAACUGUGGUUCUCACCAGAGCCCGACGCAGGUCCCCCUCUAUUUCCAACAAGCUCUAGGUCAGGGGAAGAUGAAAUGGUCAAAGGACGUGGGUACUCAAGGGUGUCCCUGCCAUGGGAGAAGCCUACGCUACUAGAGGGAUGUAAAAAAUCAGUGGGUACUGCCAAGUUAAGGUCUUAAUCCCCCGUUUCUUCGUCACCCUCAUCGGCAAUCAAUUUCCUUCUCCGAUUUGACAUAUCAGAACCUCAAGAGGAAACCGAAACAAAUCCAAGUAUACGAAUACAAAAAGGGGCAACACAGAACCCAAUCAACAACAACCAAAGAAGAAGUUAAAGGCUGUACCUGGGAUAGACUGGCACUGAUAAUGUCGCUGUGAUGGAGGAAAAACCCCGCAAACGGAAGUCCUAGACGCGGAGAGUAUGAACAAAGUUCGUAAGAGUUGUCUCACAACAGAGAAGCGAAGAGAACAAAACGACGAUGAUUUAAGUCUAGGGAUUUGAAGCGAAAAGGGAAAUGAAAGCAUUUAAGUGAAGGGGAUGCCAGCUCACUCACCGAAUUUCGAGGAUGGAUAGCCCGUCGUUUCAAAUUUCAAAUACGAAGAGUCGGGAAGCGCCACGUCACUAACCGUUACAAGAGGCCAGGCUAGAUGCAGGCCCAGAUAUGCAAUGGACACGCUUAUUAAGGCCCAUGCUCAGGUCAGAAUCUCCCCAGAGGAAAGAUGGUACCGCAGGUCUGUCCCGGUAUAACAGAAGACCAGAUGAGAAGCCCCCGGGCUGGUAAGAUUCGACCAUCAGUUUCUACUCUUAACUCAUUUCACUCGCAAGACCAGAAACUGGGGGACUGGUGUUAAGUAAAUAAAAGCACCAGGUCGGCCAUGCUACUAUUUCCACGCCAGUAUGGAUCACCUCAACCAAAUGGUACGAGCAGAACACGGGGACAAAUAUGGUCCGACCAGAGAUGAGUACCAACCAGGAGAGUAUACCGACCAGAGGUAGAUACCGAGCCGAUACCCAUCCCCCAAAAAAGCGGAAACACGAUCUCACAGAAUCACGGUAGUUGCGCUUUCCCAGAACCGUUGCGGGAGACGCGAGAUCCCACGUUUGCACGUAAUGCAGUAGUUAGAGUCCCAUGAGGGGCUGCCACUACCCGAAAAAGGUGGGAUGAAGGGCAAACGGGAACGUGGGGACAGAGGCUAUAAAAGAAGAAGAAAUCGAUGAAGACAGGGAUAGAAAAAUUAUGAGAGGGAAAACGCUGCCAAAUUACAAUCAGACCUUUUUCUUACAAACUUCGAAACAAGUUAGAAACCCUUCUUGAAUCCAAAUUACACUGUUUUUCCGUAAACACCUUGUGCUAACUUGGGCAUCGGAGGGUUUACGCCGGCAAAACUACCGGCGUCUCUGAUCCAUUUUUGGUGAACGUAGGUCUAGUAAGAGAAAGGAGGGCGAUUCCAACCCCAGUGGUCCGAGCAACAGUUGACAACACAAACGUUGGAGAAAGAAUCUGGUCGGUCAAAAGGCGAGCAGAUUUAAGCAUCAACAAUAACCAACACCAGAAAAGUAGGAACAGUUUCAAACUUUCAACUAAGCAGCAUUUAUUAUUCCACAUCAGCAGUCCUAAACACAUCUUCUAACAAUUGCAACUGUUCAUUUUUGCUUCUGCCAAUAAAGAGUUGAUAGUAACCAAAGAUUAUUGUCUUUAUUGUCAUUUGAGAGUAACCAAUUACUUACGCAGUCACGUAAGUUGCUGGUUGGCCUCGCACAUUUUUGACAAGUUUGUUUCUGAAGGAAAGUAGCUGAGCAGCAACCUCUUCCAUGCUCAUUCGUUCUCUCGGCAACUCUGAAGAGCAAAUGACUCCGAUUCCCAGAACUGAAACCAAGCACUCUUUACCACCAAAACUUCUUGUCUCCCCUUCUUCUCUUUCUACAAGAAGCACUAGAUCAACAAUUUCAGCGAGUCUUUCAGGAAGAGCUUCCUUGAUAAAAUUAUGUAGGGUUAGAUUGCCUGUAAACAUUUCAUUUGUCGGCCUCUUUCCUGUAAACAUUUCCAGCAAGAGUAUUCCAAAACAGUACACAUCUCCACUUGUUGAGACUUCGCUCCCCAUUCCGUACUCUGCAAUUCGAAAACUAAAAUUGUUGGUUCAACUAGUAAAAUCUCAAAGGAUUGAAAGACAAGUUAAUUAAAUAAUAGUAUUUACCUGGAGCAGCAUAACCAACGGUUCCUUUUACUCCAACAGAGCUUGAUUGAUUAGAUGACAAGUUAUUGGUGGCUUCCAGAAGGAAUUUUGCUAAUCCAAAAUCACCUACAUGGGCAGUCAAUUCACCAUCCAGAAGAACAUUGUGUCGGCAUGAGUUGGCAUGAACUGUUGGCAUGUGCUGUCAAUUAUAGAAUUGAUUUUGUAAUUACGUCCAUGAAUCUUUUAGUUGAUCAAUCUUGUUUUUAAAUAUAGAAACAAUUUAUUUCUUCCUUUUUUAGGAUGUAAUUAGCUUCAUAUAUUGCCUCUGAUUUGGAGAAGAAUAUACGAUAGAAUUAUUUUCUGCAUUGAAACCUUUGUUUGUCAUGGUAUCAGAGCAGGUUCCUCAUCAAGAGAAUUUGUGUUGACAACCGAAUAUUUUCUUUUUCCUUUUUUCUCUCGAAAUUCGUAUUCAUAUUCUGAAUAUUCACCGUUGUUGUGAACUCUAUGGCUGAUAUCACAGGCGUAUCAAUGGAUAUUAUCCCACCACCAGCACCACAAGUUGUUGUUCAUCAAGACAACUCGGCAUUUCCAACUGGAAUCACUCUGGAUGAGACCAUCUACUCAUUAUGGUCUCAACUCAUGGAGAUGCGGAUUAGUGCUCGCAACAAAGCUGGUUAUCUUACUGGAGAAACGAAGAAACCAGCACCUGGAGAUCCGAAUCUUGGAUCAUGGAUUACUGAAAAUCAAAGAGUCAAGAGCUGGUUGAUUGACUCAAUGAGUCCAUCGUUGAUGCAACGAUUUAUUCGUCUCCCUACAACCAAAGAUAUAUGGGAGGCUGUAUCGAAAACCUUCUAUGACGGAACCGAUGAAACCUGUAUUUUUGAGCUGAACCAGAGAUCUUUCUCUACCAAACAGGAUGGGCGACCAUUGCCAACGUAUUACAAUGAACUAGUUGCCAUUUUUCAGGAAAUCUAUCAUAGGACUACCACUCAAGAAGGCACAGUCAAAGGGGUGUUACAGCUGCAUUCUGAAUGGCUAGGCUUCGAGUUCAUAUUUUUCUAAGUGGCCUCGACUCAGAGUUUGAACAGGUUCGUGGAGAAAUAUUGCGAAAAGACCCAAAGCUUGAUUUAGAAAGCACAUAUGCUUAUGUUAGAAGGGAUUACCAACAGAGACAAACAAUGGGAGGCUCUCAUUUAAUUUCGGAGAACCUUGCCAUGCUGGCCAGUCAAAACCGAAAUGGAUCUUCGAAAAAUCGAGGCAAUCAAUCGUCCAAUAAAGUUAACAACCUUGUGUGCACUCAUUGCAGAGAAAAAGGUCAUUCACAACAACGCUGCUAUGAAAUCAUUGGCUAUCCAGAUUGGUGGGAUUUCUCAAAGAAGCCCCGUAAGAAAAUAUCUGGGAAGGCUAAUGUGACAGCAGCAAAGGAUGAAAAACAACCAUCCCCUUUAGCAAAUGUUGCCCACCCAGGUAUUAUUGGUAAGGCAUCUGUAUGUUCUGUAACUUCUAAGAAUAGAAUGUGGAUUAUUGAUACAGGUGCAUCUGAGCAUAUGACCAGAGAUUCUGGCCAAUUAAAAUCUGUUCUUCCUUCUUCUCAAUCUGUUAUCUCCACUGCAAACAGUAAUACUUCUCCUAUUAUUGGGGAAGGGUCUAUUACCCUGAGUAAUACUCUUACAUUAGAUACAGUUCUUGUUGUCCCAUCUCUUGAAUAUAAUCUUUUGUCGGUUAGCCAAAUUACCUCCACACUUGCUUGCACUGUAACGUUUUGGCCCACUUUUUGUGUUUUUCAGGACAUCCUAACUCGGAAGAUUCUUGGUUAUGGUGUUAGACGGGGUAAACUCUAUUACUUGGAAUUGACAGAAAAUGAGGGACCAAGUAUCAGUCAGGCAAAUCAAGCUUCUAAUGAAGAUAGAACUUGGGCAAAUGUUUGGUUAUGGCAUCGUAGAUUAAGACACCUUUCUUUUGGUUAUCUCAAAAAAUUACAGCCUCAUCUUUUUUCAACUCUAAAUGGUUUGAAUUUUCAUUGUGACAUUUGUGAGAUGGCUAAAAGCCAUUGUACUUCUUAUUUACCAAGUUUAAAUAAAAGUCUAGAACCUUUUGUGGUGAUUCAUUCUAAUGUUUGGGGUCCUACAAAAGUUGCUUCUCUUUCUAAAGCUCUUUUUUUUUGUGACAUUUAUUGAUGAAUGCACUAGAAUGAUUUGGGUGUCUUUACUUAUCAGAAAAAGCGAUGUAUGUCUAGCCUUUCAAGAAUUUCACAAAAUGGUAAGUACUCAAUAUCAAAAGCAGAUUCGUGAACUUCAAUCUGACAAUGGUACUGAGUAUAUGGAUGCCUCUCUUGGCAAGUUUUUAAACAUUCAUGGAAUUCGUCAUCAGACCUCAUGCACUUACACCCCACAACAAAACGGGCUGGCUGAGAGGAAAAAUAGACAGAUUUUAGAGGUGGUUCGUGCUUCUCUUUUUGGCAUGAACAUGCCUCGGUUUUAUUGGGGAGAAGCUGUAAAAUCUGCAGCUUAUCUCAUUAAUCGAACCCCUUCACGAGUGCUAGAUUUUCAAACUCCCCAACAAAAAAUGCAAUCCUUACUCUCAAUUCCUCAUCUUCCUAAUCUUGAACCCCGAAUAUUUGGUUCUAUUGUUUAUGCUCACAUUCCAAAAAGUUUACGAACUAAACUUGAUCCAUGUGCCAAACGCUGUGUUUUUAUUGGCUAUUCUGAUCUUCAAAAAGGUUAUAGGUGCUAUGAUCCACACACACAAAAAUUACAUGUAACUUUGGAUGUCUCUUUUCAUGAAUUAGAACCUUAUUAUUCAGGGGGAGUCUCUGACCAUUCCCUCCAGGGGGAGAGUUUGUGUGAAGAGAAUGGUCAAAGGGAAAAUGAAGGAGGAGGUGAAUUUGUAGAAUUAGAAGACAUGGUCGAAAAACUUCAAAACGGUGAUGGAAAUGAGGUUCAACAAGGGUGUGAUAACAUGACUGAAACCGAAUGUGAUCCCUCCAAUUUUCUGGACAUGUCCGAAGCACAAUCAAGGCCAUUAGAGCUACCCAUGUCUACACCAUUAACUGAAGAAUUAACCGAAAGUGUUCCUCCUCAGGUAAUUUCAAAUCCAUUGUCUAAUGAGUCUAAUGAACUAUUUUUUUUUGUAGAAGACAUGAAUCCUAGAUAUCCACAAAGGUCAAAUAGAGGAAUUCCAAAGAAACAAUAUGAACCUGAUCCCAAAUCCAAAAUAAAAUACCCAAUCAGUAAUUACAUGUCAUCUCAUAGGUUGUGUGAAUCAUAUGCACUUACUAUUAAUCAAUUAUCCACUAUAUCUAUUCCUAGUAGUGUACAGGAUGCUUUGGAGGAUCCAAAAUGGACUAAGGCGAUAAAUGAAGAGAUGGAAGCUCUACAAAAAAAUGCCACUUGGGAACUGGUUUCACUACUUAAGGGAAGGAAAACAAUUGGAUGUAGAUGGGUAUUCACAGUAAAACUCAGAGCGGAUGGAAGCAUUGAUAGGUAUAAAGCGAGACUAGUGGCAAAGGGAUAUACACAAAGGUAUGGAAUAGAUUACCAAGACACUUUCGCACCAGUAGCCAAGAUAAAUACCAUUCGUAUUAUUAUUUCUAUAGCAGCAAAUCGAGAUUGGCCCUUAAAACAGUUCGAUGUCAAAAAUGCUUUUCUCAAUGGAGAUUUAGAAGAAGAAGUUUACAUGGAGCUACCUCCUGGUGUCAAACAUAGUUCUAUGCGUAGGAAUGAAGUAUGUAAGCUGAAGAAGUCCUUGUACGGACUAAAACAGUCACCUAGGGCAUGGUUUGGGAGGUUUUCAGCGACAAUGAAAGCUGCUGGUUAUAAACAAAGUAAUUCAGACCAUACUUUGUUUAUAAAACACAAAGGCAGAAAAGUGACGGUGUUAAUAGUGUAUGUUGAUGAUAUGGUAUUAACAGGGGAUGAUUUAUCUGAAAUGAAAGCACUACAAGAACAUUUGGCUGCUGAAUUCGAAAUGAAAGAUCUUGGGCAGCUUAAAUACUUCUUAGGGAUUGAGGUAGCAAGAUCGAAAAGUGGAAUUUUUCUUUCACAACGAAAAUACGUGUUAGAUCUCCUCACUGAAACUGGUAUGCUUGAUUGUAAACCAGCUGAAAUGCCUAUAGAGAUGAAUCACAAGCUCGGGAUUUUACCAAAUCAAACUCCAACUGAUAAGGGUCGUUAUCAACGGCUAGUUGGGAGGUUAAUCUAUUUAUCCCACACAAGGCCAGACAUAGCAUAUGCCGUAAGUAUAGUAAGCCAAUUCAUGCAUUCACCAAGUGAAGAACAUAUGGAUGCAGUCUAUCGAAUUCUGAGAUAUUUGAAGUGUGCUCCUGGAAAAGGUUUAUUGUUCGCAAAAAAUAAUGUCUCAAACAUUGAAGGAUAUACGGACUCUGAUUGGGCAGGUGACCAGAUAACAAGAAGAUCGACCUCAGGUUAUUUUACAUUUGUUGAAGGCAAUCUCGUCACUUGGAGAAGCAAGAAGCAGAAGGUUGUGGCAAGAUCAAGCGCUGAAGCGGAAUUUCGUGGAAUGGCACAAGGUGUGUGUGAGAUGUUAUGGAUCAAGAACAUACUAAAAGAUUUGGGGAUUGAUUAUGCAAAACCCAUGAAUCUUAAAUGUGAUAAUAAAGCAGCCAUAGAGAUUGCCCAGAAUCCUGUACAACAUGAUCGCACAAAACAUGUUGAAGUAGAUCGUCAUUUCGUCAAGGAGAAGCUUGACGAGAUUCCGAUGCCUAACACUUCUCAAGGCUUGACACUCCGCCAUGAAACUCUUUGAAGCUCCUCGAUGUUGAAGAUUAAGCACCUUAACUGCCACCAACGUUUCAUGAUCAUCAUGAUUGAGGACUCCUUUAUAGACCGAACCAAAGCUACCGGCAGCAAUCAAGUUUUCCAAAGAAAACCCAUCGGUUGCUUUGAACAUAUUCUCAUAGGACACUCGUAAAACCGAAGCCAAGGAUGCUGAUGGAGGAGUGGCCGGCUCCCUUUUUGAUUUGCUCCGCCGGGAAGUAAUUAUCAAACACGACAUCCCUGUCACUAACAAAAUUAUUGUAAUUACAGGAAUAAUCAGUUUCAGGGAACGGGCACGUGAUUGCUUUGAUUCUUUGAUGGAACAAGUAGAUAAAUGCAAGUCAGAUAUGCCACCACAGAGGUUAUCAUUUCCAUCAAGAGAUAUAGCACUUGAAUUGCUGAAGACUCCUUUUAUUGGUACUUCGCCCUCAAAAUGAUUAAAAGACAGAUUUAAUUUCUGCAAAAAGAGAAAGUUUUCAAAAUAUUUUGGAAUCCGGCCAGACAAAUUGUUCCGCGAAAGAUCAAGCUUCUCAAUGCCUCUCAAAGAACUGAAUGAUGAAGGUAUAUUCCCUUGAAAGAAAUUACCAUUCAUGAUGAGUUGCACCAACAAAAUGCAACUUCCUAUACUACUUGGAAUUUCACCAGACAAUUUGUUCUCAGAUAUAUCUAUAAAACCCAGAUUUUUCAAGAUACCAAAAUUUGAGGGCAAAGGACCAUUCAACUGGUUUUGAGAUAGAUCAAGAUAGAUUGACAAGGAAGAGAGACCAAUUACUUCAGUGGGAAUGGUACCACUUAGGUUGUUAUUAGAGAGAUUUAAGGAUAUUAAGUUUUGGCAUUUCCCUAGACUUGAUGGAAUGCUUCCCUCUAACAAGUUUGCGGAAAAAUCUAGUAUGGUUAACGAUGCCAAAUUUCCUAUAGAAGAUGGAAUUUCCCCCAAAAACUUGUUCCCGUUCAGCCCCGACCCCUGCAGCUUUUGAAGAUAUCCUAUGCUUUCCGGAAUUCGGCCUGUGAAUUGGUUGUCCCCAAGGUCUAAAAGCUCUAAGUUAACAAGAUUUCUUAAUCCACUUGGGAUAUUUCCGAACAAUUGAUUGUUUCCAACUGAUAAUUUUCUAAGUCGGGUUGACAAGUUCCCCACAGCUUCAGGUAACAUUCCGCCACAAUUGGUGUCACUAAUUUGCAGUAGCUCUAGUCUAGAAGCGUUAACCAAAGAAUUGACAAAUUCCAAGUCAUCUUUUUCCCCAUUUCCUAAGGGAUGCUGAGAAAUACUAACCUCUCGGAGUUUAUGUAAAUUUUCCAAACUAGGCACCUUUCCACUGAAUCCAUUCCCUCCGAUUGCAAGUGUCAUUAGAUUUGAGGUAUUGGAUAUGGAAGCAGGAAUAGGUCCAGCAAACUGAUUAUCAGCAACGUUUAAUAGUUCAAGAUUAGGAAGAGUGAAGCCUAAGUCUGAUGGAAAGCUUCCUUGAAGUGGUUAACAGGAAAAUCAAAAACACUAAGCGAAGACAAGUUGUAGAUAGAGACAGGGAUUUCACCUGAUAGCUUAUUUAUUCCAAAUGCUAUAAUACGCAUCCUCUUAAUCUCCCCCAGGGUUUCAGGAAUUUGUCCCACAAAUUGAUUUCGAGCUGCUGAGAGGACUUGGAGUGAUGACAAAUUGCCCAAGGAAGAUGGGAUUUCUCCUGACAAACUGUUUAAGUGUACUACGAGAAUCUGGAGCUUUGAUAAGGAGCCCAGUUUCCCUGGAACUUUCCCCACAAGCUCAUUGGAGCCUAACGAGAGGGAUUCAAGGUUAACGCAAUGCGAUAUGUUGUCGGGAAUUUGACCUCCGAAUGUAUUGUUGCUCAGCCAUAAAAUUCGUAACCUGAACAGAUAUCCAAUCUCUUGAGGGAUUUCGUUUCGGAAGCUAUUGUUUUUUAGAUCUAACACUCUGAGAAAACUUAAAUUACCAAUGUGAGGCGACAGAGACCCCUGCAAGAGUAAAGAUGGAAGAAGUAAUGCAGUCACCCUUUGGUGCCGUGGACUGCAAGUGACACCUUUCCAUUGACAAAAGUGCCUGGAAUAGUUCCAUGAACUCAAAACCUCAAGAGGAUCAUGAGUAACUUUGGCCUUGAAUUGAAGCAAUGCAAGUUGAUCAGUUUCAUUGCUUUUGAGCAUAUAAUCGGUUGACUGCAAGCUGAAGCUGAAGCAACAGAAAAUAAAGAAACAAAUGCUUGCAAUGAUUGAACUCGUCAUGUUUACAAAAUCCAUUUAACGUCCGAAGGAAAUUAAAAUGAUAAAACUUUUAUAGAGGUUGGUAGGAUAAACUAUGUUUGCAUAUUUUUUGCAAUGAUUUAUAGACUCUGUCCCUGAUGCUCAAAUGUGAACCGGCUGGCACCGUGACAAUGAAACUAAUACUUUUUGUUUUUCUAAUAAUAUUAAUUAUCAUAUUUAUUACUAUUGUAAGAACAAUAUAUUCCAGCUUUAAAGAAAGACCCACCGGACUUCCUUUUGAGUCUCGGUCAGUUUCCAGCAUUUUGUCAUUUUUAUUUUAUUUUAGUGCUUAAUCCACAGUAAAUAUAGAACAAUUUAAUCAACAAUAUUGAAAAAGAAGAAAAGUAGGACAAGAGAAAGGUAAAUACGAUGGAUGGAGUGUUAGACUACUGUUAAAUGAGUUGGGAAACGUUCAAAGCACGACGGGAAUUAGAAAAGAAAAAAAGUAGGAUAAGAAAGUUAAGUAUGAUGGAUGGAGGUUCAGAUUAUUGUUAAAUGACUUAGGAAAGACUUAAAGCACCACAGGAAUCAACGUUUCACAAAGCUUUUUUCCCUUUCUGAAAUAUUCGGUGCAGUCACCCCCAGAUUUUGCUAGUGCAACCAAGAGACGUCAUGCCGUUAUCAAUUAUAAACUGUAAAUGACAUGUUGUUUUUACAAGACAUAUUAUGCGUCGAUACAUACCUUUUCUGGUUGUUGGUCUAUAUAAAUAUAUGAGACGGCAUGUGUGUGACAACACUUGUCAUUUGUGUUUACACGGCCUGUCGUUUUCAAAGGAAAAUUUUAUCAUGGUAUUCUUAUCUCCCAGCUGCCGUUUGCCGUUUGGAAUUGUUCUGUACAAGAUCUUGAUCAUCGAAUUUACUACGAGGGCGUAUGUUUUAUUUUCUCGAAUUACAUUGCCGCCUCAUCUUUUGUGUUUUCGGUUCUGUUGUGGAUCGCCUCUGUUUUUGUUGAUAGGCGAUUUUUACCUAAACUAAACCAUUAUUGGUGGCAUGUUGAUCCUAGAAUUAAGGUGUGGAUGGCUCCACUACCGCAUAAAAAGGAGAAAUUGGCCAACUAUUAGGGAGGGGGCAAUAUAAGUUAAAAACAGAGAAGAAGUGGGUGUGGGGGGGGGGGGGGGGGGGGGGGGGGGUGGAUUAUGAACCUUUUCGAUAAUAACUAGAGAACACUAUGCAUGACAUUUUGGAUGUCGAGAAAUUCAUGUUCAACUCACUGUACAGAUCGUGCUCUCUUUCCCCAUCAAAACAAAUUCAAUUGUUGAAGUUGUUUUUCGGCAUCAACAGUUUUGAUGUGUGCUAUGUUUUUAAUAUACAAACAUAAUUUUCUUUAUUCAGAUUGGAGAUCUUUUUCAUCCAACAUAAUUUUAUAUCCCUAGUAUCAAUUCGAUCAUUUGAAUAGCUCUUCAGUUUUAAGUUCUGCAAAAAGAUAGAUCUAAAUUCACCCUCAAAAUGGUUAAAACUUAAAAGAGACUUAAAUUCUGCAUAAAGGGAAAGCACUCAAAUUUUUUGGAAUUUGGCCGGACAAAUUGUUGCGAGAGAAAGAUCAGUUCUUAAAGAACUCAAUGGUCUUUUCCCUUGGAAGAAAAUGAUGAGUUGUUUCAACGUAAUGCAACUACCUAGACUGCAUGGAAUUUCACCAAACAAUGACAAUUUAUUCUCAGAUAGAUCUACCGCACCCACAUUUGUUUAGUCACCCAAAUUUGAAGGCGUCUGUUUUGAGACUGAUCAAAACUUUUUCCAAAAAUUCGGGAUUCAGGUCGAUCAGGCCGGUUAUGUUUUGAAAAACUUGUAAAUUUUCAGUGAUCAAACUUCAAAACUUUGCAAAUAGGUCAAAAUAUGAAAAAUACUUGAUAUAUUAUUGAAUACUCAUUUUCUUUUGCAUUAAUAUAAGGCUGUGGGUGGUAUCUAGUAAUGUUGGUAAAAUUUCUUGAGUUGAAAACAAUAAAACGAAAACAGCUCUAAUAGAUCCACCCCUGUUUGAAACUCACUCAUAUGGAUGGGAAAGAAAUUUAGUUACCAUUGGAUUAAAAAAUUAUUAUUAUUAUUAGAAAAAAAAAAUUGUAAGGCUUCGACAAGAUUUGCUAAUCAUGUAUAGAUUAAAAUUUAUGUGGGUUUGGCCACCAAUUUAGCAUUAGGAACUUAUUGUUUAGGAAGCUAUGGUGGGUUUCGUAGUGGGACUUAUCCUGUUUAAUGCAUUUGGUGAUUUUAAACCAACAUUUAUAUAAUCCCAUUAUAAAACUCAUCAAACCUUCUAAAAUAACAUGUUGAGAUAGUGUGCUAGAUCCAUAUAAAUGUUUCUCCAACUUCUUAGCUUGAAGCAAUAUUCAUUUCCAUUGAUAGUUUAAUGGGCAAAGCCUUAUGAAUUCUCCAUGUUAUCAAGUUAAUUUUUGCUGGAAAAUGCAAUCUGGAUAUGAAUAAAUUUUUUGUGCAAACAAAUUUUCUAUGUUGACACAUCCUCUAGAACUUUCAGUAAAUUUUAUGGAGAAGCUUUAACUUCUUAGCCGUUGAUUUCAAAUAUAUUAAGCUCUUAUUUGGUAUUAAAGUAUCAUGGCCUAAAAGUUAUAGUUCGUAUGGAAAGAAAUUUGUAAUUACGAAAUAAAAAUUGAUAGUGUGAUAAAUAUAAUUUCAGAAUAAAAAAAAACUGAACUUUAAAAUUACAAUAGUAAUUAUAAAGUAUUUACUAAAUAUAUUAGUGUUGCAGUGACUGCCCUACCACAAUGACAAAUAGGGGGCUAAUACUACAAAUUGUUCCAUUAAAAGUCUCCCAAAAAGGAAGAAGUGACUUAAAAAAUUAAAAGAAUGCAGGAGCUGAAGUUGGCAAUUUUGCCUAGUAAAGUCAUCCAUCAGCACUAGCAAUUUCGUAAUAUACAUUAGUGGCAAUUUUGUAAAAUUGAAGUAGUGAUAGUUUUGCAAAUAAAAGUAAAAACUUUUUCCCUAAAUUCGGCUGAGCUAAAAGCCAGCUUAGCCCACACUCUCCUUCGCCACCGGUUGACGAGCUCUUUCUUCAAUUUCUGAACUUGAAGUGAUGCCCCAUCGAUGUCCAGAAUUUUUAAAGUCUCCCCAUUGUACAAGUUAAACAAUAAAGUCAGAAUGAUGUCGGAGUUACAAACAAUCAAAUAUGAUCCUAAUGAUUCUUUUUAGAGAGUCACCUGUACGUUGACGUGUUUAAUUGAUGUUUAUUUAAGCAGAAAUUGAAUUUUGAUCCUGAUUAUUUAGAUGAGAACACACAUUCAUGAGUAAUUACUUAAAAUUAAAUUAAUCAAAAUAGUAUAAAUACAAGAGAAAAUCGAUCAUAUGCGUGCAGACACCACAAACGAAUUAUAUAUAUCACCGCCGCACAUAAAUCUGAUUCCAAUGAUAUAUGAUUAAUUAAUUAAUUUUUUUAAUAACAAUUAAAUUGUAAUGUCAAUUGUCCACAUAAGAUUUUUUUUUUUUGUUGAUGAAAGUUAGUAAUUUUUUUUCCAUCUUUUAAAUAAUAAUUGUUAAUACAAAUCAAAAAGAUAUUAGCACUUGAGAUCAGGGUCUACUUGAGUUAGAAUUUUUUAUUGGAAAAGUUAUUAGCCAGCGAUGAAAAAUAAAGAAGUAACACAAGAUAAAGAGUAAAAUGAGAGAGUAUAUAUUAUAAAAAGAUUUUAUCCAUUUCAAGUGUGUACCAAACAAAGAGAUGAACUCUUCUUUCAUAAUUACAUAAUUAUUACAAGAAAUUAAUGAAAAUAUUAUGGAUUAUAAUUCCUUGCGAGAUAGUGGGAGUUAUAGAAAAGUCAAAAGUUGUUAGUGGAAAAUAAGGGGAGAGUAAAAGAUAUAUGUUAUGAAGGUUUACAUUUAUUUUAAUAAAUUCAUAGUAUUUUUUUCCUUAAAUAAUAGGGUGUGGAGAACAAUUGGAAGGACUUUACGUGUGUGUGUGCCGACCGCGUCUACUCCGAGCUGCUCCAGCUUGUCGAAGCGUUUAUAGUGAACGAUUCCGAAAAUGACGUGGAUAAGGCUUGUCGAGUUAUUCUGCUCAUGUGUCUUUCAAUUGCUGCUCUUUUUUGGUUCACUCAGUGUAACGUGACUGGGUGAGUUUCUUAUUUAUAAAUUUUUAAAUAAUUGCAAUUAAUAUAAUAAAUAUUAGUAAAAAAUUAAAAAAAAAAGGUUUAGUGAUGAACGUUUGAACUUGAAUUAAUAGAGGCCUUUAGUUGAUAAUUCGCCAAAGUGUUGGUUUCCACUAGAAGUUUCAACUUUAGAAGGCAACGAAUUGAUAGAGUGGGAGAAUUGGGCGCGUUAUCAGCUCAUGUCUGUUGGCUCUGACUUGCUGGGAAAGUUCUCCUAUCUUCAGGUACUCAGUCUAUCGAAAAAUGAAUAGAUUCUAUUGCUUAGACAGUGUUAAUGUUAAUAUUAUCUUUUUUAACUUAUUUUACAUUUUGUGAUCUUUUUGUAGUAUAUAGUUUUUGCCAAAAUGUUGAUCAUGAAGACAAAAGAUUUGCUGUCUGAUGCAACUGUGUUGCCUGUGAAUGGGAUUGGAACCAUUUCAUGGUGGCUCACAAGACUCCUACUUAUGGAUCAAAGGAUUUUAGACGAGCAGUCGUCUUCUUUGUAUGAUCUAUUGAAAGUUUUUAUGGCUGAGACUUUACAAAAUUUUGGCACUUUGGUAAAUGUUAGUACUUAUUGGGGCAACCAGUUGCAUGAUAUCGAUCCUUCAGAGAUUGUUUCAACAUUUCAUUUAGAAGCAGGACUGUUAGAACACAUUUACAGGAGAGUUGAUUCUUGCAGGUGAGUUAUCCUGGGAAAGUUUUAUAUUCGAUGGUCUUAUUUCUGGCUUCAUUAGAAAAGUUUUCUCUUGGAAACAUGUUAUUUCCAACAUGGAACUUGCCUGUAGAACUCUCUCCGUCAUCGAAAAUGAUUUUGUGCAUUGUGUGUCAGGGAGAUGCAAGAACAAAGUUUUAUGUUUGGACUUCAUCAAAAUCUCCCUUUUUUUAAUGUUUAUUGUUUCAAUCAUCAAACAUUAGUUUGAGUUGUUAGCAGUGGAAUUUGCAUUAACUGAUUACUAACUUCCAUCAUUACCUUACUAUAGGACUUCUUCUAUAGUUUCUGCUGAUUUCUAAAAUGCUUUAUGGUAUCAGGAAACAUUUUGAAUCAGCUGAAGUGGCAGCUGGUCUCCAGCUUUCAGUUACUGGGGUUCUUGGUUUCCGUACUGUCCGUCAGGUAAAGAUUGAAUGUGCAUCAUUUAUAAAGUUGUCAGGAUCUUCCUUCUUAGCUUUGAGAUUGCUCCUGCAUAUAGGUAGAACCAAAGGCAAAAAUGGUACUUGUUGCAAACACAAGCUCAACCAACACUUCUGAUGUCUGCCCUUCAAUAAACCAAGUCAUUCAUACACAUGAUUCUACUAUUGGUGAUGCCUCUGAUGUUUUUGUGACCCCAAAAUUAUUGGGGAAUAGUCAUGAAUCUGAAUCUGGAGUCCAAUGCAUUCACGCUGGUGGCUCAGCAGCCCAUUUAAAGGCAAUCCAACAGGCAGUGAUCUUGUCGAGGUGCGUUCUAAUAGAAAAGAGCUCACGGGAAGAUGAAAUGCAAAGUAAGUUGUUUUAUGGUUGGGCGGUGUGUAGUCCUCUUGUUAAAGGCCAUAAGAUGUUAAGCAUAUUGCUAUUUAAUUUUUAAAUCAUUCUCAGUAAUAAUUCCUUUAGUAGAUUGAUGAUAAGAGAUUGCAUUACAGAUGAUAACUGAGCACAAUUUCUGUAGUUGUAUCCCUGUACAUCCAUCUUAAUAUCCUCAUUAUAUUCACAUGCCUUUCACGGGUGUUAUUUCUGGAUGCUGAAUGCUUUGUUCCACUUUUGGAAACCAAAUGCGUUGUUACACAAAGCUGAGCUGGUUGAAAAGCUAGCUGAUGAGGUCAACAUGUCCCUUAAGUAAUUUGAGGAUGAACACUGUGUUCCCGAAAGUCUUACUCUAAUGAUACUUAAAGAAGCAAUGAGACUGGAUGUUGCAGCAGCUUUGCUGAACUCAACCCCAGUUCCAAAAAUGGAACAUGUGAAAACCGAAAAUGCAUUGUUCUUUUUUUUCCUCUUUAUGACUUCUCUAGUUGGGGAAUGUAUUAGAUAUUCACCUAAUCAGUAGGCCUUGAAGGGAUCCCAUGUUAGCCCCUUGAUGUUGGUCUGUAACUAAGUAAAUACUUGACCUUGAAAAAGCUUUUGGAGGCAUCAGUUUCUCUCUGACUGUGUGCUACUUUUUGGAUCUGUUGAUUUGGUCAUUUGCUGAUUUAUAGUUAUUUUUCUGAUUCAGGAUGGGAUAUGGCUCCAUACAUAGAGGCAAUUGAUUCACAGCAGUCGUCAUGCUUCAUUGUAAGUAUAUAUACAAUACAGCAUCAGGUUUUCUUGAUUUUAAAUCUCAUAUUCUGAAGUGGUACUUCUGAUUCUCACAUGAUUUUUCCAUCUUUCAGCUAAAGUUUUUCUGUGAUCUCUUACGUAUUAGAUGGGAGUCCACCCGUAGUCGCACAAAAGGGCGUGCUUUAGAGAUGAUGGACAAACUGGUAUGAUCUGUGAGCCUUUUCUUCUUAAAUAUUUUGUUACCUAAACCAUUUUCAUUCAAAUUGACAAGAGUUGCUUAUCGAUCUAUAGAAGAUUCCAAACUUUCUGCAGCUAGUACUUUAUUGGACCCAAAAGCUUUUUUGCUUUUUCUAAGCUGCUAAUCAAGACUAGGUUUCUCUCCCUUAUAUCGCUAGAUAUGCCAUUAAUCGUUUGAUUUAAUUGUCUAGAGAGAUUAGGUACUUGCAUCUUUGCUUUUCACUUCAUAAGUGAUUUCAUAUGCUAUCCUGUAUUCUGGUUCAAGAUUUUUGAAGGUUGCUUACCAUCAUAUUUUGCUUUGUUUCAGGUUGAGGGCAUUUCUAAUUCUUCUCCCGGUGUGACUCAAAGGAUUCCCUUUUGUUAUGUGAUUUACGUUCCAACUAUUCCUGCCCUGCGAAAGUAAAACUAUUUCUUCUGCAUCUUUGAAUGAUUGUGAUUUAAUUUUCUUGUCAUUUUGCCAACUAUCAUUACGCUGUCAUUGUUUCAUAUCUUAGUUGACAUAUGUUGACUUGGUUAGAGUUUAAUUGCUCUGUUUAUUCUCUUCAUAAUCUGUCUAUUUCGAUUUUUCUUGAUUUUAGGGAAUUUGCUGAACUUUUAGUAAGCUGUGGCUUGAUUGGAGAGGCUAUUAAAAUUUUUGAGGAUCUGGAGUUGUGCGAUAAUCUAAUAUACUGCAACUGGUAUGGUGUCAUAGAUAACCAUUAUCCUAAUCUCUCUCUCUCUCUCUCUCUCUCUCGUGUUGCUAAUGGGAGUUGGUUUUGUGUAUGAUGUAAAAAACAGCCUAUUGGGCAAGAAAGCAGCAGCUUUUGAACUAAUAAAAGCAAGGCUGUCUGAAAAGCCUAAUGACCCUAGAUUAUGGUUUAUUGAUGAACCUUUUCUAUGAUCCAUUUUAUAGUUACUUCUCAUUUCAGUUAUAUCCAUUGUUGAUGUCACUUAUUGCAAUCUAGGGAUAAUUGUUCAUUGGAUGUGAGGAUAUUGUCAGAAGAAAAUGAAACCUUUUAAUUUUAUCUUUUACUUGCUGUAUCCGAUUUAAAAGCUUACUGUGCGUUCUUACUGAUUGCUUUUGGUCUUGCAUUUGAGUCAAUGUAUUUUAUACUCAUAUUCUGACAUUUAUUGUUAGUCUUCUGACGGUUCUGCACCUUGGUCCUAUAUUAUCUUCAGCAGUAUUAUCUAAAAAAUAAGUUUUUGCCGAAUAUUUGCAUUCUAAACUAGAAAAGGAGGGGCGCCCGGCGGGGGGGG
rnacentral:lncRNA from 1 species